rnacentral:lncRNA from 1 species
AAACCUGAGGAGUCGAAGCACCGCUUGAGUUUUGUGAUUUUGCAGAGCCAAGUGCAUGGGGCUAAACCCAGCUUGGUUUAGCUUUCUUGCAAACGUUGGCUUUAAGUUCAUCAUCUCCAUCAUAAACUCUAUAUUCCCUGCAGAGACUGCUACGUGCAAUGGGGUAUCAAGAAAAGGAACAUGAUCAAUAUGCUCUAAAACACAUUGAUCAUUCUGAAUCAACUCAUAUAAGACGUUAAUAUGUCCUUCUUGUGCAGCAUUUCUCAUCGUCUCAUCCAUGACAAAGAGUGUGUGUUGGAAGGAGGGGAUGGAAUACAAACACUAUACUACAUUAAAUACAAAACUAAUUAAUUUAACAUAAUAUUUAAGAUUAUUUAUUAAUAUAUUAAAUAUUAUCAAGUGUCGAUUCACUCAGUAUAAACACUAUUAGUACAUUAAACCCUAAACCCAAUUAGUAUAACAUGAUUUCUAUAAUUUUACCAAACAAGAAAUUAAUAUAUCCUUUACUUUUAACUAUACAAAUAAGAAAUUUCAAUCUUCCCCUAUUUUCUUUCCUUUAAUUAUAUUUAUCCACAUAUAGGCUUAAUGUAGAUUUUGUUUUAUUUUAUUUAUUUUUUACCAUUAUCCUUUAUAUUUUAUCUUUAAAAUUUUAAUUAUAUUUCAAAAUUAAUUUUAAAUAAUAUAUCAAAUAUAUUUUAAAAUUUAAUUUUUCAAAGCUUAUCUUUUUUUAAGUUUUCUUUCAAGUGUUGCACUCACACUCGUAAUCCUCACAUGGUGGAAUUGCCUACAAUAAUGAAGGAAAGAGCAAAGCACUAAGGACUACCCAAUAAUUGGGAGGCAAUGGCAUACCCUACAUAUACCAUUUACUGUCAGUGGUAAUGGAUCACUUGCCUACUUUACACGUAUUUUGUUUUCUUUCACUUUUUCUUGUCCUGCAUUAUUUGGAUUUGUGAGUAAAACUGUUGCUACUUAUUGAUCAUACUCACUAUGAAGUAUCAUCUCCCGAGAGCACACAAACUCUUCACAAGUAUCACAAGUAUCGCGUAAGGAGAAAUGUCGAAUUUUAGAUUACAUAAUAAUUUCAUCUUACCCAUCAUAAAAUUCAAAGUUUAGAGAUUAAGAAAAAUAAAAAAUAAAAUUAUAAUAACUUCUUUAUCAGAUGUGUGCAGGAGUUAUGUAAAAAAAAAAGUAUUUAUUACACAGCAAAUAAAAGAAUUUGAAAAUUAAAAAAAUUUUGGUGCUAUAUUUUUCACUUUCCACAUGAUCAUCUGGUGUGUGCAGAACAAUAAAUCUAAUCUUUACUGCUAGUCUUUCUUCUUUUUUACUCUGAAUACUCUUCUCUUGUUGCUUUUAUUGAAAUAAUGUAAUAAAACAUUGUACCAAUGGAUUGUUGAACUCUUCUACCAUCUAAUUUUUCUUAGUAUAAAUAUUAAAAUUAUAACCAUUUUAGUUGUUUAAUAUGAUCAAGUUAUAUAACUUGUGAAUACUUUUUUUUAAGGAUUUAUCUUUAAAGAAAGUAAAAUAAUAAAUUUUAGUUCAAGAUUGUUGGAUUAAUCAAAUAAAAAUUCGAUUCGAUAAUAAAAAUAUUUUUUGUCCAAUUUUAAUUGAAUUGGUGUCAUAAAUCAAAUGAACACCAAUUCAGUUGGAAAAUUACGAAAAUAUCUAUCCGUGAUUAAAAUAAGUAAUAUUAUUCUAAGGUCAUUUAGCCUUUUUAUGUAAAAAAAAUUCAGUAAAAAUAUGAAUAUAAUGGGAUUUGAAGUAAGACUCAUCUACUCGAUUAACUCAAAAUUUUUACUCUAUUCGAUCGAACAUUCACUUCUAAAUAUUACAUUUCCUUUAAUUGUGUAGCUAAUUAAGUGCUCCUUAUUUCAAAAACAUUUUUUUUUCUUUUUUGAUAGAAAUUGAUAUUUAAAAUGUAAAAAAUAAAAUAAAAUAAAAUACUGUUUGAACAUGUAUAAAUUAAUAUUGUACGCAUAAAAUUUAUAUUGAAUAAAAUUUAAUACCAAGAAAAGUAAAAAAUAAAAAUGUUAAAAUAAUAUAUUGGUGAAUCAAAUUUAAUAAUGAAUUUGUAGUUGAUAGUUAUAUACAAAAUGGAUGAUAUAAUACGUCUGAAGUCUUCCCUUGGUUGACCAUAAAAGGUUAUAGACCUUUUGAAAUCUUCCUAUUGUUGACCAUAAAAGGAGAGGUCAUCCUCUUCUGUGUUUUGUUUCCUUUAUUUGUGUGGCUAAUUAUGUGCUCUUUAUAUCCUUUCAAAACAAAGUUUUUUUCUUUUUUGGUAGAAACUACAAUAAAGAUUAUUGUAAUUUAAAAUCCAAUUAAAGUUACUAUUUGUUACGUGUAACAUUUAUUUCGAAUAAUUUUUAUUAUCGAGAAAAAAGUAAAAACAAAUAUAUGAUGUAAAAUUGUUAAUUUAAAUAUUAGCUCGAUCGAUAUUAGUAUUUUGUCAAUGUAGGGGAGUGUAGGUUUAAAUAUAUUCAAGUGUGAUUUAUCCUUAUAUUUAAACAUUUGAGAAGGGUUGGGGUGAAGUUAGAAUUUCUUUUGGGGGAGACAAACUAAAUUGUAUACUUUUAUGAGAGCUAAAAUAUAAUUUUACCAUUUUAAUAACUUAUAUCUUUAUAAUUUUUAAAAGACCAAAUAAAAAUUUUAUCAUUCUGAGGAUAAAGUACAAUUUUACUAUUUACUAACUUAAAAUUAUAUUAACUUACUAAAAUUUAAAUUUCACAUUUUUAAGGGAAUCCUGCUAGGCCCUCCCUCCUGCCACCCUUGGGAAGGUAUAAAGUGAAGCAAUAAAGAUCCAAAAUAUAUAAAUACUUAUCACACUUGACCUAUUGCUUUUCUUCAAGCAAAACAAACGCUAAUGCACAUGAAAAUGCAAAUUCACAUCCAAACUAGUGAUGCAUUCUAUAUACAACCUAGUGAAUAAAUAAAUAAAUAAUAUUUAACCACAGAGUUGUCUCUAUGUAAGUGCCUUUAUUUAGCCUCUUUGAUUAGAUAUUCUUAAAUGUUAUUUCACCACUGAAUAAUUCGAAUAACGACUUGACUUAGUAAAAUCGAACAUUAGACACAAAUUAAAACCCAAGGCAACUUUGGACAUUUGAUCCCCUUUCAAUUCUUUAACCGACCAUUCAUUUCCCCUCUUACAUGAAUCCAAAUUUCAUUUCAUCCGGGAAAAGCCAUCUUAUUCUCAACAAUGUCUUUGCCAUUUGAUACAAAAGCCUUCCGUUAGAUAGGAACAGAUUUGAUAAAUACUAAUAAUUCUCAGAUGGAGUAUUAGAACGGAAAAAUCCAUUAGAUAAUGAACUAUUGGUUCUAAGCCAUCUCUGGCUAUGAAUCAAUAAUUCGAAGUGUUUUUCUUGCGUAUUCUUGAUAAACCAGAGUUUAUAUAUAGAUGUAGGAGGACUUGUUUGGGAAGUAAGAAGUCUCUUUGACAUCUCUUCAUCUGCAAAGAAUUCUCGGUAUGAAAACACAGAGACAAAGGGCUGAUCUUUGAAUAGGAAAAAGAGUGGAUCAACAGGAUCCCAAAUGAAUUGGCUUAUUUGAAAAAAGCCUUAUUCUUUGGAAGAUCUGUUUGGGAAGUAAGAAGCCCAUUUGAUAUCUCUUCUCUUGUAACUUCAUCUUCUAUUUUUUGUUCAACUUUACCAAAAGUCUCAAGAAUUUUUUCCUCAACCUUUUUCACUUUGGCAAAACUUUCUAAGGAACGAGGUUUUAUUGUGAACGACUUUGGUUCUAAUCAAAAUAAAUUCUCAGUUUCAUUUAAGGGUUUGAUCAUUGAUGCAAAAAUGAAUUUCAAUAUUCUUUAAUAAAUUGGUUAUAGUUACCGAUGACCUAGUAACUCAAUCUCUUCUUACCUUUUCGAUAAUCAAGACAAUCGUCAUUAAUUACUUCUCUUAUUGACAAUCAAUCUUAAAACGAUCGCUUAGAAAUUUAAUUUAUCUAUAGCUUAAGAAUGAAAGAGAUUAAAUUCUAAUCAACAAAAGCACAAUCACGGUUUAUUUAAGUUAGAUUGCAUGCCCAUGUUACACAAAUAAUCAUGCAGUCGUCACAAAUAUUAGAAAUCAAUUGAUCAACUAAAUAUCUAAUUUACAAAGCAAUCAUUCUAAACUAUCAAAUACCUAUCAAUUAUUUAACAAAUCUGAACAAUUAUAAUUAAAUUAGAAAAUAUGCAAAUAUUAAACAACAAAAGGGUAAUUAUGAUGUUUGGAUUGUUUUGUUAGAUGGUGGUCAUCUUCCUAUGUUGAUUGUUGGCGUUUAGUUUCUUUUUAUUGGAUGUAUCUGAUUUGUCAAUUUUUGUCUUCUUAUUUUUAAUAUAAUAAUUUUAUUGUUGAGAAAAAAAUUUAUAAUUUUAAUACAAAUUAUCAAAUUAACUAUUAACUUUUAAAAUUAAUGGUUAGUUUUAUUUUUAAAAAGUAUUUUAGCAUUUUAUUUAUUUUUUAAUUUAAAAUCAAAUAAUUAAUUAAAUAUAUUUAAAUUGUAUUAAAUAAAAUCAAAUUAAUUUUUAUGAGUCAUAAUAUAAUUUUUUAAUAGUUUAUUUUCCUAUGUGGAACAAUUAUUGAGAGUAAAUAAUCUGAUUACAUUAUUAAAAAAUAAUAGAAUAAAUUAAAAAUUCAAACAUCUUAAAAAGUUAAAAUAAAAUUUAAUUUAAAAAUAAAUAUUAAUAUUACAAAUAUAUUUAAAUUUUCUAUCUUAAUCUUCUACUUCAAUCCAUUAUUCUCAUCAUCAUCUUUCAUCUUGAUUUUCUUCAACCUAUCAUCAUCUAGACUAGUCAUUUUUUGACCGGACAAGUCUAAUCAGCUUCGAUCAAUAUUGGACUUCUAAUGUAGUUAAUUGCUUUGGAGUUGCAAAUUACUUAACAAUAAUAACAAAUUGAAGAUUUGUAUAAAAUUGUAGUGAUAAUACUACUUAGAAAAAUAGUAUAAAAUAAAAUUAAAAUUAAUAAGAACAUACAAUUAUAAAGUGUAUUUUUUUAUUAAACAAUGAUAGGGGAAAGUAAAUAAGGGUGACUUUAAAACAAAUUUAGUACAAUAUGUAUUGCAAACUAAAUAAAUAUGUGGUGAUGAUGAAUGAUUCAAUAUUAUAAUUUUAUCUUACUAUUGAUUAAAAUGAUCUUUCGUCACUUUUCAAUGCCAUUGUCCUUUGAUUAUGACUUGAAAUUUUCUCUUCAAAAAGUUAUUAUUACUUUAACAAUUCAUUAUUUUUGAGACACUUCAAACUUAACAAUGCUAAUAAUCUCUAAUUGUUUAAUGUUAUUUAUAAUGAUAAACCUUAAUUUUAGUUUGUAUAUCACUAUAACACUAAUUAAAUGAUAAUUUAUUUAAAAUACUAUAUAUUAUUAAUAAUUAAUAUACUCAAUUAUGUAGUUUAAAUCAAUAAAAAAACUCUAUUAUACAAUAUAUAUAUAUGAUUUUAUCUAUUACUUUUAUAGAAAAUUUUAUCUAUUAUUCUUAAUUGUAUAGUUAAAACAAAUAAAAACUCUAUUAUUUAAAAAUAUUUAUUUACUUAAUGUUAUUUUAGUAAUUAAAUAAAUAUCUAAAGGUUUUUUAAUCCAUUCAAAAAAAAUUUCAAAUUUGUGCUUUUAUAUAUAUUAUAAAUUUUUAAAUUUCACAAGAUGUAUAUAUUUUUAAAAUGAAAUAUGUAAUAAUUGUUUAAUAUGACUUACUAAAUUAAAAAAAAAUUGUCAAUACAACAAAGACAAAUCGAUAACACAUGUUACAAAUAGGUUAAGAAUAAAAAUACAUAUACAUAUAACCAAGAAGAGCAUUCUGGUCUUACAAUGUGCACAAUACCACGCUUGAAGCAAAGUCAACAUAGUUGUUAACUUGAUCCUCUUCAGAUUUAGAGUUGCUAGAAUUGUUUUCAUCACUCCAUGUAAUCCACAACACCUUCUUUUUCUUCUUGAGAGUGUUAGCACACUUAACUUGAUUUAGCACACUCAACUUGAUUUUGACCAUAGCCAAAGGCUUUCAUGACAUUGGAUGUCUUUUUUCUUUUCUUUCUCAUUCUGCUCUUUGACAACAGUAGUACUUUUGCUCUUGAUCUUAGGAGUAUUAUUUGGGGUUUCAAAUUUCUUAAACUUUCUAGCUUGCUUCUUAAAGGAUUUAUUGAAAUUCUGAGUAAGAAGAGCAAUCUCUUCUUAAAGUUCUUCAAAGGUAUUGAAAAUUGACACUUCAUUGGCAUCUUGGAGUGCAAUGCUUCUCUCUCCCUUUGAUUUAACUCUCUUGAUUUCAUCUAGAUUUAGCUCGAAAGUUUGUAGAGACCCUAUUAACUCAUCAAUCUUCAAGCUCCCCCGAUUUUUAGCUUAUUCAAUAGUAGUCACCUUAAUUGAAAACCUUUCAAGUAGUGAUCUCAAGGCCUUCCUUAAGAGAAGAAAAUGUCUCUGCAGAGUUUGACCCUUGUUAACAAAAGCAAAUAAGACUCCUUACAAGACAUGAAGGGGACCAAUUUUUGGAAUAAGUAUUCGAUGGCGAACACUAUUUGUCAUUGGAAAUCGUCAAUAUGGUUUCAAAAUUUAAGAUAGCUAGAAUAAGAAUAACAGCAAAGAUGACUAUUUGUACAAGGUCGAAGAAAAUUUUUUUGGGUACAAUCCUGUAUAGCAUAUAAUAGGAUCAUCUGUAUAAUACUACAAGAGCUAGUACCGUUGACAAGCAGUAAUUAGCAACGCUGAGAUGAUGAUAGGAUAAGGAUCCAAUAGUCAAAAGAUAGAAUAUAUACUGAAGUGCGAGUGUCCAUAUGAAAGCAGCAACUAAAAGCAUGUAACAAGUCCCAAACAAGGAAAGUGUUAUAUGAACAAACAAGAAGAUUGAACGGCUCAGUAGGAGACAGGCUGUUACAACAAUUUCUGCCCAAAAGGUUAAAGUGUUGUAUAACCAAAACAUAGUGGAUACGUCUACUAAAUUUAUCAAAUCUUGUUCAUCGGUUGUAGGACUUGGGUCGGGUGCAGUGCUAUUUGAAUCUAAAGAUGUGUGAUACUUGAGUUGGUAAUUCAAGAAUUUUGACAUGCUAUCAGGAUUCUUUGUGUUAGCAGUUGAAUAAUUAGUUGUGAAGCUAGACUGUUAAAGAAGUUAGUUGUUAAAAAGCUGUUAAAGAAGUUACUUUGUUGAACAGCUUGGCAGUUUUAAUAUCCUGUUUAUAAAUAUAGAGUCAUGUGUAAUUGGAAAGAGAAGAUAAAAAAAUAAUUUUUUUUUAUUUUUGUUAGUCUGUAUUAUAAUCAAACAUGGUAUCAGAAGUCAGGUUACUUUGAUGAUCUGCCAUGGCAUUUACCAGCUCCACUGCAACCUCCACAGCUUCCCAACGAUGGUCUCCUCACCUUUUCCUAAUGGUAUGUUUGACAGCCGGUUCUUUUCAACCAAAAAUAUUAAUAUUCUUCUUGAUGAUUCUAAUUACUUGUUAUGGAAACAACAAGUGCUUCUUGCUAUCAAGACUCACAAGCUGCAGCAGUUUCUUGAUGGUCGCACGAUUCCUCCUCUCUCACAUGUUCUUGAUGAUGAUGGAGUUCUUCAUGACAAUCUAGAUUUUGGACAAUAUGAACAGUAAGAUAGUGCUCUUGCUUCUUGGCUUUUAUCGUCUAUUAGUCAGAGUGUUUUACCUCAUCUCAUAGGUAUGGAUUCAAGCUCUCAGAUCUAGAAUACUCUUGCCACCAUAUAUGGCAGCAAAACUACGUCUAGGUUAAUGUUCUAUAGACGUGCUCUUCAUUCUUAGCGAAAGGGAGAGUUAUCGAUGAAAGUUUUUUUGAUGAAAAUAAAGAACUAUUGUGAUAACCUUGCUAGUUGUGGUGAAGUUAUUAGUGAACCUGAACAUGUCACUACUAUUCUAAAUGGCUUUUCUCCUGAGUUUGAGGCUAUUGUCACAGUCAUCACAGCAAGUCAAAUCUCCUAUGGUGUUCAGGCAAUUACAACUAUGCUUCUUGACGCUGAAGCCAAAUUACAAACUACGCUGGUUGAUGUGUCUAGCUCCCCUAAUAUAGUUACUACUCAGUCAAUUAACUCUGUUGCUAGUAUUCAACCACCACUAUAUCGUCCUGCCUAUGCUUCCGGAUGUGGUCGUGGAUGUGGACGCUCAUCUAGCUCAUGUAUUCAAUGUCAACUAUAUGGGAAAAUUGGUCAUCUUGUAGGUCAUUGUUAUCAUCGAUUUGACACUACAUCAAGAGUACAGCUUAUCGACCUCCUCCAUAAGCUAACAUGUGCAUGUUUGGUAAUAGAGUAUCCAUGCCUUGGAUGCCUCCGUAUAGCUCUCCUCUACCAGUUUUUUCUCCAGUGUUGAACUCUCAAGGCAAUUGGGGUUCUUCAUUUCCACCAUCGUAACAUUGGUCACACUUAUCUCCUACAUCCACACAACAAAUACCUGUACUAUUAUCUAACUCACAAGCUUAUGUUGCCACUCCAAACACUAUAGGAGACAAUGCCUGGUAUCCUGAUUCUUGGGCUACUCAUCAUCUUACUCAUUUUGCUACUUCAAUGAGUGACAGCACUCCUUAUAAUGGUUCAGGUAUGGUAUAUAUGGGUAAUGGUGCUACUCUACCUAUUAUUUGCACUAGUCAGUCAUCUUUACUCACUUGUUCUUGUCCACUUUAUCUACGAUCUCUUUUAUUUGUGCCUAACAUCACUAAAAACUUCAUGUCUAUGUCGAAAUUUGCAAGGAACAAUCAGGUUAUGUUUGAGUUCUUUCCUAACAAGUGUCAAGUGCGUGAUUUAAGAACGAGAGAGGUGUUGCUACAAGGAUCAAUUCAUGAUGGUCUUUACAAGCUAAAUCUAUCACAUGCCUCCAAGCCUUUAUUGCUAAACUGGCUCAGUUUUUUACUAUUAAUAAAGUUGUUCCUUUGGAUGUAUGGCACUAUAGAUUAGGCCAUCCCUGUCUAGCUACACUAAAGACAGCUUUGAAUAGUUGUAAUGUGCAAUUUUCUGUUAAUAAAAUUGUUUCGUGUAUGUCUUGUCACCUGGGAAAAGAGCAUAAACAACUUUUUUCUCCUGCUGUUUCUGACUAUACCUCUCCAAAUGGUGGCUGCUGAUGUUUAGGGGCCUGCUCCAAUUUACUUAAAUGGGUUUGCUUACUAUGUAGCAUUCACAAAUGCUUAUACUCGUUAUACAUGGUUGUACUUCUUAAAGAAAAAGUCUAAUGUGGCCACAGUGUUCUAUCAGUUCCUUCAGCAAGCUGAGAGGUGUUUUGGUAACAAACUCAAGGCUCUUUAAACUGAUGGAAGAUGAGAAUUUUAGGCCUUAAGGUGGUUUUUGGCUUAAAAAGGAAUUGUUCACAGGCUCAUCUGUCCUUAUACGUUUGAACAGAAUGGUUUGGUUGAGAGGAAGCACAGACAGAUUGUUGAAAUUGACCUCUCUAUGCUUACCUAUGCUUCACUGCCUCUUUGUUACUGGCAUGAUACAUUCAGCAGUACAGUGUUUUUGAUAAAUAGGUUACCUUCUCAACACCUAGGUAAUAUCACUCCCUAUGAAAAAUUGUUUUAGUUGAAACCAAAUUAUUUGUUUCUUCGAGUGUUUGGAUGUCUCUACUUUCUUAAUAUCAGACCAUACAAUACCAAUAAGUUACAAUUCAAAUCCACACCUUAUACCUUUCUUGGAUAUUCCUCUAACCAUAAAGGCUAUAAGUGUCGCGAUGCUUUAGGAAAAAUUUAUAUAUCCCGACAUGUCACAUGUCAUGAAUAUGAGUUCCCAUUUUGAACAAGUCUAAGUCAUUCCAAAUCAUCCAGUAGUAACCCACAUUAUUCUACAACUAGCUCCAAGUUGAUCAUUGUUCCACAUCCACCACCAAUAAAUUUGACUACCAUACAACCCCAACAACCAGGAUCACAACAACUUUUCUUGAGUGACUCACCAUCACCUGUGUCUGACCCUAUUGAACCUACUGUCCCAUCUGAGUCAAGUCAACCUAGUUCCAUUAUCCCAUCUGAGUUUAGACUGGCCUCACCAAAUAUAGUCAAUACCCAUCCUAUGGUCACCCGUAGCAAAGUAGGUACCUUCAAACCUAAAAUAUACCAUGCCAAGGUACCUAAUUUAUCUGAAACUAUACCUAUUGAUGUUCAUGAGGUAAUGAUGUACCCUCAUUGGCGAGAUGCUAUCCAAAAUGAGCUAAGAGCUCUCACAAAAAAUAAUACUUGGACACUUUGUACUUUUCCUUCUUCUAGGAGAUCCAUUGGCUGCAAGUGGCUCUUCAAGGUUAAAAAGAAGCCUGAUGGGACUGUCGAAAGGUACAAAGCAAGACUCGUUGCUAAAGGGUUUUUGCAACAUGCUGGAUCAGAUUUCAAUGAUACUUUUAGUCCCGUAGUUCGUACUACUAUUGUGAGGGUGGUUCUCUGUAACACCCCUAACCCAUGUCCGUCACCGAAACAGGGUUAUGAAGCAUUACAGAACAUAACACGGUUCAAUACAUACAUUUAUCAAUAAUUAUCACAUUGUAAUUAAUAUCAUAAAAUAAUCUCUAACAUACUUAAAAUGAGCAUACAGUUAUUAAACACUCUAAAACUACAGCUAAAUAAACAUAAUUAAUUUCACACCUCACAAGGCAUUCGGUAAUAAAUCUGCAACAUUUAAACAUCUAUGACCAUGACACAUAUAAUACCAUUUCAAACAUCAAAUUCUGAUACCAUUUAUCUCAUUCAAAUAAGCAACCAAAACUAAUUCAAUAUAUGCUUCAUUCGUAACAUAAUCAUGCAAUCAUUUUUAAAUACAUUUUUAACUAAACAGAACAUACCAAAUUCACAUGUUAAUCUCACCAAAUUAGCAACUACCAAUACUAAACACAAAUGCCAAAUCAAAUCAUACCAAAACCUCAACUAUAUGUUAUACUAACUAUACUAAUUUCAUUCUUCGCAUAAUCAAUCAUAUAAACACUAAGACAUUUCUAAUAAUUUGGCCAAAUGCAUAGGUUAAUAAUAAUCCACACCAAAUAAUCAAAUUCACAUGGCAUAGAAUAGUCAUCACAUAGCAAAUAUGAACACAUACUAAUAUUAACAUCUAACCGAAUAAUUAACCAUAUGACUAUACCAAGUUUGCCGAAUCUCAAGAUAUAUUAUAAACAUCACCUACCAUUUGUCAAUUCACAUAAUAAGCUCAUUUGCAUAGCCAAAGUAACUUCCAACAACUACACCAUUUACAAACCAACUUACAUGGCUAAAACCACAACCCAAAAACCUACCACAUGAUCACUAGCCUAUACAUGCCAUAUACUAAAUUUACAAGCUUCAAAAGUACCAAAAUGAUGAUCGAUAGUGUGACGAUGGUUCUUGACGAUCCCCGAGCUCAAGCUAGCUUCGAUUAUCUAAAAAAAUAGGGAAAAAAUGCACACAAAGUAAGCUUUCAAAAGCUUAGUAAGUCAUAAACAAAUAAAUAGUCAUAAAAACAUAUAUAAUCUAUUUUAGUUAAGCCGAAUAUAACUAGUCUCAAACACAUAUAUAAACACUAUUCUCAUGUAAUUCACUUUGUCUCAUUAAACAACAUCACUUACCUUUUUCUUUCAAAGUUCAUACCAGUUUCACACAUACCUGAAUCGUUUAUCUUUUAUACCAAUUUUGCAUCGUAUCGACUUUACCCGUUAAACCAUUCGAAAUCGUUGAGGAUACUCAAAAACACAUAUAUCUCAUACAAUGGCAUAUCCCAGAUAUGGUCUUACAUGUUAUCACAUAUGGAUGUCACUGUCCCAGACAGAGUCUUAUACGAAAUCAUAUACGAUGCCACUACCCCAGACAUGGUCUUACACGUAAUCUCAUAUCGAUGCCAAUGUCUCAAACAUGGUCUUACACGAAAUCAAACCUCAAGAGUCCUAAUGUCAUGACGUUUGUAUCCUAUACUACUCCUAAGGUUCGUACAGGACUUUCGGACAUCGUAACUCUGUCAAUUCUAGCUCGUUUUCAUCUUUUCAACAUUUGAUACAAUUCAAUGAUAAUCAAACAUAAUUAACAUAAUUUAAACGCAUUUAUUUGUAUAUGAACUUACCUCGAAUACGGAAUGAAUAGAUCGGAUCGACUACUCGAUAACUUUCAAUUUCCCCUGAUCUAAAUCUAAUUUCGUUCUUUCUUAAUCUAUAUAAAUUCAAAUUUAACUUAUUUAAUUAUGUAUUCAUUCAAUUUCAUCUAAAAACACAUAAAUGGGUAUUUUGCACUUUAGCCCUAAAAUUUUACAUUUUUGCAAUUUAGUCCCUAUUUCAAAACUAUACAAAAUUUCAUCACCAAAGCAUAGUCGAAUCUUCCCUAGCUCCUUAACAGCCCAUUAAUUCCAUUUAUUUCACAUUUCAACCCCCCAAUUUACAAAUUUCAUAAUUUAAUCCAUAAUAAGCAUUUUUAUCAAAAAUCAUUUAAUAAAAUAUGAUAAUCUAUCAACAAAUAUUUAUUUUUCAUCAUCAAACAAUAAAAAGCUUCAAUAUUCAUCAAUGGAAUUUCACAAAAUCAUCAUCAAAUUCAAAAAUUAAAGCAUGGGCUAGCUAGAAUACAAAGCAACGAUCUCAAAAACGUAAAAAUCAUCAAAAAUCGGACUCAAAACAAUCUCAAUCAAGACUUCAAAGUACUGAACCUAAAAGCUUCAAAAUUGUUUCUUUUCUUUGUUAUUUUCGGCAAUGGUGGUGAAAAGAUUAACAAAAUAAUGUUUUUGUUUAAUUUAAUAACAUUAUUUACAAAGUUACUAUAAUGCCAUUAAUGAAAACAUUAAAAAAUCAUAUAAUGGAUGACCAUUUAUGUCAUUAUCCACUAACUAUGGUCUAAUCACAUCACAAGGACCUCACAUUUAAUUAAUCAUAGCAAAUAAACUCUUAAAUAAUUUAUAUGCCACUUUUGCAUUUUACGUGAUUUAGUCCUUUUAUCAAAUUAACUAACCAAUCGGUAAAAUUAAAUCACAAAAUUUUCACACAUAUCAAAUAACAUGCUGUAAACACAAAAAAUAAUAUUAAAAUAUUUUUAUAACCUCAAAUUUAUGGUUCCAAAACCACUGUUCUGAUUUAGCUUAAACCAGGUUGUUACAUUCUCUCUAUUGCUGUUAUGAAAGGGUGGUCUCUAAGACAAGUAGAUGCCAAUAAUGCCUUUCUUAAUGGCGCAUUGAUUGAAGAAAUCUAUGUGGAUCAACCCAGGGUUUGAAACUACAAAUGUCACGGGUAAUCAACUUACGUGCAGGUUAAAUAAAGCUCUGUAUGGUCUCAGACAGGCACCCCGAGCAUGGUUUAAUACGUUGAGAGAGUACUUGGUUGACCAGCUUGGUUUUCGUGCCUCUAAAGUUGAUCCUUUAGUAUUCAUACGAAUAAAUGGUGGGUUUUCUCUAUUUCUAAUGGCCUAUGUGGAUGGUAUUAUCAUCACGAGAAGUUCACCUAAGAAGAUUGACAAAGUUGUGCAUUAGCUACAUAGUAGAUUUGCCCUCAAAGACAUGGGAAAUCUUCAUUUUUUUUCUUGGUAUUGAAGUGCAUCAUAUUUCACAUGCAAUGUUUCUUACUCAAAAGAAUUAUGUUCUGGAGUUACUUCAUAAGACAGGUAUGGAGACUGUAUCACCUACCCCGACACCUAUGGUAGGCACACCAAAGUUAACUGCUACAGAUGGCACACCAUUUUCAGAUGGUCAUUUGCAUUACAACAUUAUUGGCACUCUGCAGUAUGUAUGCAUUACACGUUCAAACAUAGCCUUCUGUGUCAACAAACUGAGCCAGUACAUGAAUGCUCCACAAAAUACACACUGGCAUGCAAUGAAACGUGUGGUACGAUAUCUUAAUGGUAUUUUGGAUCAUGGACUAUACUUCAUUAAAGGUUGUUUUGAGUUAACUUUUUUAUUAUGAUGCUGAUUGGGCAUCUACAACUGAAGACAGGUGAUCUACCACUGGUUAUUGCAUUUUUCUUGGUUCUAAUCCAGUUGCUUAGUGCUCCAAUAAAUAAGUUGUUGUUUCUUGUUCUUCCUCAGAAGUAGAGUAUCGUAGUCUUGCAAACUGUGUUUUUGAGUUGCUACGGUUAAAGUAGUUGUUGACUGAAGUUGGCAUCAAUCUCCAGCAUAUACUAGUAGUGUGGUGUGACAACACCCUCACAGUAUUGAUGGUAGCCAAUCUGACUCAUCAUGCCAAGGUUAAGCACAUAAAGGUUGAUAAUCAUUUUGUUCGAGAAAAGGUUCACGAUAGUAUUCUCCAUGUAAAUUUUUGCCCUCAGCAAGUCAAAUUGCAGAUGUCCUCACCAAGCCUAUUACUCCAAAAUAAUUUUCCUUCUUUCGAGAUGCAUUACGUGUACUCCCUCCCAGUAGCAAUCAACCAAACAAUCAACACAAGAAAGAAAUGUAAGAGAAUGUUAGCAGUUGAAUAAUUAGUUGUGAAGCUAGACUGUUAAAGAAGUUAGCUGUUAAAAAGCUAUUAAAGAAGUUAGUUUGUUAAAUAGCUUAGCAGUUUUAUCCUAUCUAUAAAUAUAGACUCAUGUGUAAUUGGAAAGAGAAGAUCAAGAAAUAUGUUUUUCAUUUUUGUUAGUCUGUAUUAUAAUCAAACACUUUGGAGGGUUCAAAAUGGCAGUGUAUGUGGUUGUUAUAAUUAGCACUAUGGCUACUAAAAAUGUGACACGAACAAGGCCUUCAUCAAACCUGAGGAGUCGAAACACUUCUUGAGUUUUUUCAUUUUGCAAAGCCAAUUGCAUGGGGCUAAACCUGGCUGGAUUUAGCUUUCUUGCAAACAAUGGCUUUAAGUUCAUCAUCUCUAUCAUAAAUUCAAUAUGCCCUAUAGAGGUUGCUAUGUGCAAUGGGGUACCAAGAAAAAGAACAUGAUUAAUACACUCUAAAACAUAUUGAUCAUUUUGAAUCAACUCAUAUAAGACGUUAAUAUCUCAUUGUGCAGCAUUUCUCAUCGUCUCAUCCAUGGCAUGGUGUGUGUGUGUUGGGGGCAGGGGAUGAAAUAUGCAGGAACAGAAUACAAUAUAGAAAAGGAAAUAGAACCUUUAUUUUGUAGAAACACAUAAGUCCAACCAUAAUUUUAUACAUGACUUAAAUGAGCUAAUUUGAGAAAGUAAACAUUUUGAAAGGACUCAUGAAAUCUUAGACCAAACAAAAAGCAAGCCUAAAAGAGUGAUGAAAGAACGCUUUAGCAGAACAAAUGAUUAAGGGUUUAUUGAAGUGUUUAAUUUUUUUUCUUCUUCCGUUUUGUAACACAUAAUUAAUUUGGGUUUAUGUUUGAUAUCAAAAUCUCACUUGUUAAAAAAUAUACAAUAAUUUGGUUAAAAAAUUUAAUAAUUAUAUUUAUUUUUAAUAAUUUUUAAGAUAUUAAUUAAAUGAUAACACGUUAUAUGAAAACUCUAAAACUAGAUAUAUUUAAUUGUAAUAUAAAUAUUAUUUCGUUAUCUAGUUCACUAAUGAUAUGCAAAAUUAUAAUCCUCUCUACAUCAAAUGAUUUUUUUUCAAGAUUACUUAUAAAUAUAUUAUUAAGUGUAUCAAUAUGGUUCACUUAAAUACAAACAUUAUUUUUUACAGUUUUCUGGAUUGAAGUGCACAAUUUACCGAUGAGAUUUAUGUUGGAAGGAAUGCCAUGCCAAUUCGGUAAGUUCAUUGGUUAGUUUUUGGAAUAUGAUGCUAGUUCGGUAACAAGAGCUAUUAAGAAGUAUAUGCGUAUUAGAGAAAAAUGGAUGUUCGACAACCUUCGAAAAGAAAGAAGUGAAUAGUUGUGGACUAAAACUGGCCGACUUAUGCAUUGUUUUAGUAGGAAAAAUUUAUUCUAUUUUGUUUCUUAUGUGGGAUGUUAGGGCAUGGGGAAGGGUUUUGCCGAGUCAGAUUGUCCUUAGAAUCGCAGGAGGUGACCUUCGAAUGGGACAUAUCGUUAAAAGCGGCACCAAAGAAGGCAUUGUCAGAAGAUAGCAGAUGGUUGAGGGACGACAGUUUGGGAAGCAAUCCGAUAGGAAUAGAUAUGGAUGACAACAAAGGAGGAAGGAGUUUUGGUGAUAUCCAAAAGUCUUGGCCUUAUCAAAUAAGGGGCGGGAAAGGAGGAGAUUAUCUAGCCGCAAAAUCUAAGGUGAAUUUACAAUCCAACAAAGAAUGCUUCAAUCGUCAAAGUAGUCAAGCCCAAAUACAGGGCUUGAAAGUUAUGGGCAAAUGGAGUUGGGUUUGGACAUGAAGGAUAUUUAAAUUGAGAUUGUGGAUAGUAAGAAAAUAUGAAGAAUGCAUCAAAUGAAUAUUACUAUUUCUAGCAAAAUUCAUUCAAUGAAUUUGAGAGUCCCUUCUAAAAUAUCGGCAACUAUUUUUAAGUAAAUCGACUGAACACAGUGAAAAUCCUCAGCUAGAAUAUCUAUGAGUUGGAGCAACCACGAGACAUGAAACGUGUCAAAAAUAAUAUGAGACUUAUUAAGCCCCAACUUUUGUUUCUAAUAGAUACAGAUCCAUGCAAGACAAAUGGAACGAGUUACAAAGAUCAGUGGUGUGUCAUUGAAAGCACAAAAAAUAACCUAUCCCUAUGAAAUAACGAAAUGAAUAGUAUAUGGGAAGUAGAGUCAAAUCCUCAGAGGCUGGAUCACUACAGCUUCUUGUUUCUCAAAAUCCUGGGCACAAUCGUGCCCAAGAAAAACGUAUAAGCUAGGAAAAAAAUAAAAGAACAGAAUUAAAAAUAUGGACAAGAUGAAAUUGAAUAAAUUGAAAUUGCAAUUGUUAAAAAAAUAGAGUUGAGGGAAGGGGUUUUUCAAUUUGAGGAACUCCAACUUCUGAUUAUUUCGAUCCUCCUUGGAUUCAAUCAUAGGCUUUUAGGUGGUCAUUCUCAUGACCGAAUAAGCUAGUUAUAGUGGAAGAGGACGCCUACGACCACCAGCUCCACUUAGGAUUUUAGCCUUUAGUGGCUCAUAUUUUUUGGGAAAAAACACAAGUUUAAUGGAAUGAAAAUUUACUAGAAAAUAAAAGGAACAAAAGUUAAGAGCUUUAGAGGGAAGGAGCUUUUUACAAAAACGACGAGUGACUAUUCAUGUCACUUCAUCCCCUAUUUAUAGUACAUAAAAAACUUAAUUUGUUCCUAUUUAAACUCUAGAAGAUAAAUAAAGAUAUAAUUUGAAAUUAAAUCUAAACAAUAUCAUAAUAAUCCUAACAAUAAUCCUAAAAAUAAAAUUCAAAUUUAAAUAAAGUAUUAUGUUCAUAAAUCUCUUCUUUGAAUUUUUACCCGAAAUCUUUCACACUUUGUAUUUUCGACACCACUUCUUUCCUAUUUCGCAUGCUGGCCCAUUUUGUCUUUAAAUUCACACUUUUUGUCCCUAAAUUUUCUUUUUCCCUUAAUUUAGUCCCUACAAGUUAAAAAACCAUAAACAACUCAAAUUAAUAGGAUCAUACUCAAAAUAUAUGUAAUUAAUACAUAAAAGUAUGUCAUUUUAGAGUAUUAUCAAUCAGUCCAAUUCGUUUAAUGACAGUGGAGUUUGAAGAACUGUCGCCUCGCCAAACACCACCAGGUGGGCUAAGAGCUUGGUAGGUUGCAGCUAGAAGGAGACUUAAAAUGCCUAGUUAGACAUUACGGUCUUGGUCUGAUAUAUUAUCCAUAUUGUGAAUAAUUACUAGUGAUGCUUUGGUCACAUACUCGAUGAUUUGCUUCUCAACUUAUAAUUAAAGUAUGAAAUUACUGGAAUAAAGCUACCACGUAGAAUAGUAAUGCUUUCUUUGAUAUUAUGCCUUCGUGCAACAUCGAGUGCUAUCAAACUAUGUUGAUUGGUAGCAUGCUUAAUCGCUUUGCAGUUUAAUAGCAGUUUGACCAUCUGUUGCAUUAAGAAUUAGAGAUAUAAAAAAGCUACAAUCAAUUAAUUGUGUCCAUGAAAUAUAAAAGAACUAUGUAAUGUUAAUUAUCAAAGCGGCUGAGUCAAACCUAGGGUUGAUUACUUCUAGGAGCAAUAUGUAGUGCAGUGUUCCAUUUUUACCUUUCCUAUUUACCAAUUCCGAACAAUAGUCUUUCUUCCUAUAUGUUGGAGUUAGGACUUGAAGAACUGUUGGUGUAAGAACAAAUAGCAAUCAAGUUCAGCUAAAAACUUGAGCAACAAGAAUCAAGACUUGCAGCAGAAACAAAGCAGAAAUUCAAACAGAAAACUUAAAAUUAAAGCUAAAAGAUGGAGAUGGAGAAUAUUUGAAUAAAAACUUGAUUGAAUUCAUUCAAAAUGAACAAUGGCAUAAAUCCAAUACAUAAACCAAGCUUUUAGCUUAUCAAAAAUAGUAUGGCCACCUAACCAAUACCUACUACCACUAAUACAUUGAAACUUGAAGUAAUUAACUUGUACACAUAAACAAAGCUGAAUUAAUCAGCUCAAUCACUAUCAAUAUUACAUCAAAUAUCAACCUAACAUGGUUCAAAAUGAACUAGAUUACAUUACAUCAACUAAAAAAUACAAAAUGAAACAAAACAUCCUUAUUUGCACAUGAAAUCAGCAACUUCUGCAUGGCUUGGUCUUCAUGACAUGUGCUUGGCUGCCUUUGGUGCUGCAUGCUGACCAACCUUCAACACUCCUCCUUGGUUAGCAUGUUGCGAAUUCCCAUCUCAGCUCUCAAAUGUUGAAACCUUGAAACAUUAAGGGCCUUUGUUAGAAUGUCAGCUAAUUGCUCUUCAGAACUGCAAUGAACUAGUUUUACUUCAUGAGCUUGCUCCAUUUCCCUAACAGCAUAGAGUUUGAUGUUUAACUAGUUUGUCCUCCCAUGAAAAAUAGGGUUCUUUGCAAUUGCAACAGUAGAUUGAUUGUUACACAUUAUCUCUGGUGCUUCAUUUUGUUCAAGGUUAAGAUCGGCCAAGAUCUUUCUAAGCCAAAUGGCUUGAUUAACAGCUCCAACAGCUGCUACAUAUUCAGCUUCAACUGUAAAUUGAGCUACUACUGUCUGCUUCUUCGAACUCCAACAAAACAUGGCUGAACCAAGAUUAAAAGCAUAACCUGAGGUGCUUUUCAUAUCAUCUAUUGAACCAGCCCAAUCAAUGUUAGUGUAUCCAACUAGUUUCAAAUGUUCAGCCUUGCUAAAUAACAUGCCAUAGCUCAAGGUUCAUUUGAUGUACCUAAGAACUCUCUUGGCAGCCUUGAAAUGACUUUUAUUGCAACAAUGCAUGAAUCUUGAGAGUAAACUCACAGCAUACAUUAUGUCUGGCCUGGUAGCAGUUAAGUAUAACAAACAACCAACUAGACUUCUAUAGGUUGUUUCACAUACUCUCUCAAAAGUACCUUAGUUCGAUAGCUUCUUUCCAACAGCAACUAGUGUGCUGGUUGCUUUACAAUUCCACAUUGAGAACUUGUUUAAGGUCUUCACAGCAAAAACUUUUUGACUUAAAUAAAUUCCUUCCUGUGUUUGUGUUACUUCCAUGCGUAGGAAGUAGGACAUCAACCCCAAGUCUGACAUUUCAGACAUUUGUUGCAUUUUGAUUUUGAAAUCAACCAACAUUGCUUGGUCUCCUUCUGUCACCAAUAGGUCAUCAAUAUAUAGGGACACAAUGAGCUGUGUUUGCACUCCUGUCUUUUUGACAUACAAUGUUGGCUCACUAAUACUCCUUUCAAAUCCCAAACUGACCAGGUAUCCAUCGAUUCUACUGUACCAGGCACUUAGUGCUUGUUUUAAGCCAUACAAGGCUUUGUUUAACUUGCACACCAUUUCUUCCUUACCAGUCACCUUAAAGCCUUGAGGUUGCUCUACAUAAAUUUCUUCUUCAUGAAAUCUAUUGAGAAAAGUUGACUUUACAUCAAGCUGGUGGAUUUUCCACUGCAUUUGUGCUUAAGGCAACCAACAAUCUGAUGGUGUCAAGCCUGGCCACUGGCACAAAGGUCUCCAGGUAGUCUAGUCCAUACUUCUGACUAAACCCUUUGGCAACUAGCCUUGCCUUCAGUCUGUUCAAGCUACUAUCAGUAUUGUGCUUGACUCGAUAAACCCAUUUAACCCCAAUAAUCUUCUUAUUUGCUAGUCUUUCAACCAGUUCCCAAGUUUGAUUCUUCUCGAUCAUACUGAUUUUAUCAGCCAUUGCUUGCUUCCACCCCUGCUGACCUUCAGCCUCUUCAAAACAGCUUAGUUCUGCUAUGGCUACUUGAGCUCUUUCACAAAUAUCAGCCAAUGUUCUAGUGCCCCUGACUGGUUCAUCAUCAACAUCCAUUUCAAGACUAUCUUGAUCAAUUUCAACCUAAUAUGUUGCAAGAUCUUCAGAGACUGCCUCUGGUUCAUUCUUCUCCCAAUUCUAGCUUACGUUUUCAUUAAACACCACAUCUCUGCUUACUAGAACUUUAUUUGUUGAGGGAUCCAAAAUUCUAUAGCCCUUUUUUACUGUGCUAUAGCCUACCAGAAUACAUGCUUGAGCCUUUUUAUCCAGCUUGCUUCUCUUCACAAUUGGAACUUGUGCAUAACAUAUGCAACCAAAGGUCCUAACAUGAGCCAGUGAUGGCUUGAAUCCAAACCAAGCUUCAAAUGGAGUUUUUUGAGCUAGGGCCUUAGUUGGAAGCCUAUUUUGAAGGUAGACAGCAGUGUUUACUGCCUUAUCCCAUAAGGUUUUAGGCAAUUUUUUUUCAAACAUUAGACACAUGGCCAUAUCCAUAAAGCUUCUAUUCUUUCUUUCACUUACACCAUUCUGUUGAGGUGUAUAGAUAUUGGUGAGCUGGUGUUUGAUACCAGCUUCAUCACAAAAAGCUUGUAAUUGAACUGAGGUAUACUCAGUUCCAUUGUCUGACCUUAGUAUCUUGAGCUUGCAGCCUGUUUCAGUUUCUACAGCAUUUUUAAACUUCCAAAAUACUGAAGCCACUUCUGAUUUGUGCUUCGAGAAGUAAAUCCAGCAAAAUCUCGAGUAAUCAUCAAUAAACAGAAUAAAAUACAUGCUCCCAUUCUGACUGAGUCUUCAUGGGGCCACAAACAUCUGUAUGCACAAGCUAAAGUUUUUCUGAGGCUCUCUAGGCCUUGUUUGAAGGGAAUGGUUGUCUGGCCUGCUUUCCUAGCUAGCAUACCUCACAAACCUCAUAUUUCUCAACUGAACCAAUGAAGUUUUCAGCCAAGUCUUCUCUGGAUAGCUGGUCCAUUGAUCUGUAGUUGGCAUGACCAAGCCUUUGAUGCCAAAGCUUGGAUUCAUCAUAUGUGACUAUAUAGGCAGUGUUUGAGCCAUUUUUCCAGUCAACAACAAAGCUCUUAUCAGCCAUAAUGAUUGCCAUGAGCUUGGAUCCACUUGGAUCACUAAUUUGGCACUCCCUACCUUUGAACACUACAGAAUACCCUUUCUCUAGUAGCUGAGUUAUGCUGAGCAGAUUUCUAUCAAUUUCAAGAACCAAUAAGACAUUUGAGAUCAACUUGUUACCUAUGGGAGUGCAUAUCAGCACAUCUCCCUUACCUUCUGCCUUAAUGAAUUUGCCAUUUCCUACAUUCACCUUUGUUUUGAAACUCCUAUCAACUGACUUGAAGAUUGAAGUAUCUAGUGUCAUGUGAUUUGUACAACCACUGUCUAAGAGCCAUCCAUUUGUGACUUUUUUCUUAACAGCUGAGCAUGAAAUUGCAAAAACUUGCUCCUCAUGGUCAUUGUCUUCUUUUGCUACUCGAGCCUCAGUCUUUGGCUGUUGGGAUUGGUUCUACCUUGGUUUGCCCUUGUUUUUACAGACCUUUUCAACAUGCCCCAUCUUUUUGCAAUAUUGGCAUUGCACAUCUGGCCUAAACCAACAACCUGCUUCAGGAUGACCAGGUCUUUUGUAAUGCAUGCAUGGUUGAUCCCUCCUUCUUGUAUUUUCUGGCUUAGACUUGUCCCUCUAAGUCUUUUUGCCUUUAUAGGCAGAGCUGCUCGAGGUUGGCUUAGCUUUGGCUUUAAAGGCACCUUCUUGGUGCUCCUCCAGUCUGCUAGCCCUUCUCUGUUCUUGUGCAUACAAGGCAUUGAUUAACUCAGUUAAGGAGAUAGUUGUCAAAUCCCUUGAGCCUUCGAGAGAUGAAAUUUUUGCCUCAUACCUCUCAGGUAAGGUAAAUAUCACUUUCUCCACUAUUCUAGCUUCACUAAAUUGCUCUCCGAUGAGCGUUAUACUGUUUACCACAGCCAUGAUCCUGUCUGAAUACUGCUUGACAAUUUCUUCCUCUUUCAUCUUCAAAUUGACGAAAUCCCUUCUCAAAUUCAGUAGCUGUUGCUACCUUGUUCUUUCAGUUCCUUGAAACUCCUCUUUUAAUUUUUCCCAAGCCUGCUUUGGUGUCUCACAGGCCAUGAUCCUUGAGAAGAUCACAUCUGACACACAGUUUUGUAUGUAGGAUAUGGCAUUGUGCCUCUUUGUUAUUUCAUCAGCAUGCUGUCUUAUCUGAGCCACUGUUGGAUUGGCUCUAAAAGGUGCUGGCUCAGCAUCUGAGUUGACCACUUCCCAUAGGUCAAAUGCCUACAGGUAGGUCUUCAUUUUGACCACCCAAAUAUGAAAGCCCUCUCCAUUGAAGACUUGUGGUGCAGCUGGUGAAAAGCCUGAUGAAGCCAUGGUUUUAAGUGUUGAACUAUACCAGGUCCACUAAGAUUAUAGUUCUAGAUACCAAUUGUUGGUGUAAGAACAAAUAGCAAUCAAGUUCAGCUAAAAACUUGAACAGCAAGAAUCGAGACUUGCAGCAGAAACAAAGCAGAAAUUCAAACAGAAAACUUAAAAUUAAAGCUAAAAGAUGGAGAGUAUUUGAAUAAAAACUUGAUUGAAUUCAUUCAAAAUGAACAAUGGCAUAAAGCCAAUACAUAAACCAAGCUUUCAGCUUGUUAAAAACAGUAUGGCAACCUAACCAAUACCUACUACCACUAAUACAUUGAAACUUGAAGUAAUUAACUUGUACACAUAAAAAAAGCUCAAUUAAUCAGCUCAAUCACUAUCAAUAUUACAUCAAAUAUCAACCUAACAUAGUUCGAAAUGAACUAGAUUACAUAACAUCAACUAAGGAAUACAAAAUGAAACAAAACAUCCUUGUUUGCACAUGAAAUCAGUAGCUUCUGCAUGGCUUGGUCUUCAUGACAUGUGCUUGGCUGCCUUUGGUGCUGCAUGCUAAACUUUUGGCUUUGGUUGCUGUAUAGUACUUCCACUACACCAAAACAAGCUUUUAGCGGCGUUUUUUUUUUGCCUUUAGCAGCGCUUUUUAGCGCUACUAAAAGUAUUUGCGGCGCUUCUAGUAGCGCCGCAAAAAAUGCCACUAUUGACAGUGUCGCUAACCUUUACGGCGUUUAUUUCUAAAAACGCCGCUAAAGAACAAGACCUUUAGCGGCGCUUUUUCCACAAACGCCGCUAAAGAACAAGACCUUUAGCGGCGCUUUUUUCACAAACGCCGCUAAAGAACAAGACCUUUAACGGUGCUUCUUUCACAAAUGCCACUAAAGAAUAAGACCUUUAGCGGCGCUUUUUCCACAAACGCCGCUAAAGAACAAGACCUUUAGCGGCGCUUUUUUCACAAAUGCCGCUAAAGAACAAGACCUUUAACGGUGCUUCUUUCACAAAUGCCACUAAAGAAUAAGACCUUUAGCGACGCUUUUUCACAAACGCCGCUAAAGAACAAGACCUUUAGCAGCGCUUUUUCCACAAACGCCGCUAAAGAACAACACCUUUUAGCGGCUCUUUUUCCACAAACACCGCUAUAGAACAAGACCUUUUGCGACGCUUUUCCCAAAAACGCCGCUAAAGAACAUGACCUUUAAAAAAAUAUUUUAAUUAGAUAAUAUUUAUUUUUAUGAUAAAUAUUAUAUUAUGUUUUAUUUUUGAAACUUAAACUUUAAACUAUAUACAUUUUAAGGAUAAAAAAUAUUAAUUAAAUUAAAUUUUCUAUUAAAAUUUUAACUUUAAAACUAAAUAUAAAAAUUAAUAAAUUUAAAUUUAAAUUUAAAAUUUAAAUAUUAUGUUUAAAUAAAUGAACAAUCUAUCUCACAAUUCAUCUGAUCUAUAUUAACUCGGCCAAUUAUAAAAGAAGCUACAAAACAAGUAAUAAUUAACAAUCAUAGCUACAAAACCCUAUUUCAAUAGCACUAAAUUCAAGUUCUGACUAAGAUAAAUGACCAUGGAAUGAAACAUCAAAUAAUAUUCCACUUGAAGAAGUGCUAAGCCUUGGCUUUUCCAGCUUGAAGAGAUUGAAUCCUCUACUACACCUUCAAUAUCUAAAGGAUGCAAAACCAAAUGAUCAGAUAAACCAACAAACUUGAUAAACAAGAGAGAUGUUAAAAAUAAAAAAUAUAUAUUAGAUACAUACAUACAUAUAUAUAUCAUUAGACACGUUAAAGAUGUUAAAAAGAUGUGAACAUAUGAUAAAGACUUCUAAACUAGACACAUUACCUAGAUUUAGCAUGGGUAUAUUAGAUACAUACAUAUAUCUAUAUCUAUAUAUAAUACAAGUAUAUUAAAAAAAAUUAAAACUUCUUGUCAUAUGUUUAAAACAUCAUACCUCAUUUCUAAAUAUAUAUAAAAAAAUAGAGUGAAGAUUUAAUAAAUUAGACUAGCAAACAAUAACACCAUUAUAUGUCAUCAGUUCAGAGCAUGUAUAUACACGGUAUUAUCUAACAUAUAUGAUAGAACAUUCAGCUACAAGAUUCCAUCAGCAUGUUAGCUAGAACAAGGUAUCUGGAAAUGAACCCACAAGAUGAAAAGAUAAAUUUGAAACUUCAUCUAAUUGGGGAAAAGACAAGACCAAGUGGAUUUAAUGAAAGGCAUACGAGGAUUUAUUUAUUGGAUAAGAUACUAAUAAUAUUUGCAAUAUCUUUACUCUAGGAUAGUGUUCUUCUUUUCCAACCAAAUUUAUCCCUACUUUGUCUCUCUUUUUUUUUCCUCCCCUAGAUCUCACUGACUGGGAUUUUCUUCAUUUUCCUCCAUAUUACAAUCUGUCCUCAAACUUUAUGCCUUUAGUAGCAAUUAUUUAUUGCUUAUGUCACUUUUGAUAAAAGAACCUUUUGCCUCAAAGUACCCCUCAAACAUGUUCAGAGAAAUGCAAUCCAUUUUAAACAUUUGUUACGGGUGAUCACCCUAGUGCUAUAAUGGGAUUAAACCAGUAGGCUAAAAGAGCUUCAGCUCCCAUGUCAAAUAUUAUGCUACCAAUGAAAGAGAAAGGAGGAUCGUGCAUCAAACAGAAAAUGUGAAAAACUAUAUUAGACAAUAAUCAUACUUUAGGCAUUGUAUACGUCUCUGAUUUCCAGUUUCAUCAUAGUUCUUGAAAGCUUCAAAGAAAUUUGUGGCUGCCUCAGCCCACUGACGCUCAGCCAUAUGCAUCUUGCCACCACAUUCACGAAUUAUUCCUAUGAUCCUAGGAUGUGGUAUUGCAGACUUGACAGCAAGUGCUUUCUGGUAUAAUUGCUGCAUUAAAACCAAUAUCUCAGUCACAGCUAAGCCAUUAUAUAAAGACCAAACCAGGACAUAACUAUAUAACUUUGUAAAACAAUUAUCAGACAGAACCAAGGUUGGUUUUUCAGCUAUAAAAUAAAAUAGAACAAAGUUACAAUUAUCAGUCAGGAAGAGAAGUAGCGACCACAUGCAAUUGAGACUAAACAACAGUGAAAACUUCUCGAUUUCAGUAUUAAGGAUUAACUAAUAGUGCUUCAUGCUAAUGUAAACAAUGUCAUUGACCAGGAUCCAGAUAACCAAUCCAGACUACAAGUGAAUAUACUUUAGUAGUUUAAAUUUGAGAGUUGCUAGAAUUCUAAAAAAUAGCAAAAUCAAGACACAGGUGAACUUUCACGCCUAAAGUUCUACAUAUUUCAUAUUUUAGUUUAACAUUGCUUCACUUGAAUUCCAGAAGGAAGCAUACUUGAUAUCCGCAAAGCAGAAAAUUGGGUACAUAUUCUACCAUGUAUUUUUAUUAAAUGGUAGAUAAAUGGUGACAGCAGAAACAAUAUAAACUAGCUUUCAGUAAUAGACCUUUACAAGAGAAUUACAACUGCUUAUGUGCCCCUCCUGAAUGGCCACUUGUAAGUAAUCAUAUUUGACAUGUAACAGGCUUUUCUUCAGCUGCUCUUCAACGAUAUAAUCAACGAAAACGAAGAUAUUUAAUUAUGAAUCUGCGUUCAAAGAUAUAAUCAACGAAAACGAAGAAAUCUAAGUAAAUCUUCAUUAACUUUGAUUUACGAAGAGCAGCACUGGGGAAGAAGAAAUAGUGCAAAUCCCGACCUAGAGCGUCAACCACACAGGAAAAAAAUAUUAAAAAGCAAAUCCAGUCAACAGCUAUUACCAGACGGCGUUUAUUUCAUGUUCCAACCUUUAAACGACAACAACCAAAAAUAAAAAAUUAAUAAAGUGAUAAUUUUUCCUUUUCUCCCCCCCGGCUUUCAUCUUCUUCACAUUAUUUCCUCUUCAAUUCAUUUCAAGUGGAUUCCAAGUGGGUCAUUGGCUCUCCAACAUAUUUGACAGUCUUCUUGAAAAACGUGCCCUGGUUGAAUACCUUCUCUGCCUAUAAGAUUUACAAUAGAAACGGAAAAAAAAACACACACACACAGCUGAAAAUGCUUAGAAAAUGGAUAAGAAAUAUUAGUUACUUCUGAUUUUAACAUUCCCAGGAGAUUAAGUGAUCCAUGAUACCCAAAGACAAGCAUGGCCAGUUGAAGGAACAUGAUGCAAUAUGCAUCAACUUAAGGCAUCUGAAUCCCAAACCAAGGCAUCAACGAGCAUUUGGAACCCCUCCUCUCCUCCUAGUAUCACAAAGUUCCUGUCAAUUAUCAUUUCCUUUUCCUAUUAGAAAACAAAUCAAAACCCCCCAUACCAUAAUAAAUCAAAACUUUGCUACUCCAUAUAUAUACACAUAUAAUAUCAGAAAAAAAAUAUAGGGAAGAAGAGACCUGUUGUAUGUAAAGAUUAAGAGUCUCAUCAGAAAAAAAUAUAUAUAGGGAAGAAGAAAAAAUAGCAAUGGGCAUUGAGUUAAAAGUUUUAAAGGACGGUGUGUUUGUAAACUUGAGGGUUUUUAAUAAAAAAAGCCGCAAAAAAUUAUUUCAGUUUGAAAAAAUGACGUCGUUUUGCUGUGCUAAAAAUUUUUUAUUUUGUUUUUUUAUAAAUUGAUUUAUUUUUGUGGCGCUUUUAUAAAAAACGCCGCAAAAAAAUUAUUUCGUUUUGAACAAAAUGACGCUGUUUUGAUAUGCUAAUUUUUUUAAAAUAAAUUGAUUUAUUAUCUUUUGCGGCGUUUUUAUGAAAAACGUCGCAAAAAAUUAUUUCAGUUUGAAAAAAUGACGUCGUUUUGCUGUGCUAAAAUUUUUUUAUUGUUUUUUUAUAAAUUGAUUUAUUUUUGCGGCGCUUUUAUAAAAAACGCCGGAAAAAAUUAUUUCGUUUUGAACAAAAUGACGCCGUUUUGCUAAGCUAAAAUUUUUUUAAUAAAUUGAUUUAUUAUCUUUUGCGGCGCUUUUAUAAAAAACGCCGCAAAAAAAUUAUUUCGUUUUGAACAAAAUGACGCCGUUUUGCUAAGUUAAAAUUUUUUUAAUAAAUUGAUUUAUUAUCUUUUGCGGUGCUUUUAUAAAAAACGCCGCAAAAAAAAUUAUUUCGUUUUGAACAAAAUGACGCCAUUUUGCUAUGCUAAAAUUUUUUUUAAUAAAUUGAUUUAUUAUCUUUUGUGGCGUUUUUUAUGACAAACGCCGCAAAAAAUUAUUUCAGUUUGAAAAAAUGACGCCAUUUUGCUGUGCUAAAAAUUUUUUAUUUUUUUUAUAAAUUGAUUUAUUUUUGCUGUGCUUUUAUAAAAAACGCCGCAAAAAAAUUAUUUCAUUUUGAAAAAAAUGACGCCGUUUUGCUAUGCUAAAUUUUUUUUAAUAAAUUGAUUUAUUAUCUUUUGCGGCGUUUUACAUAAAAACGCCACAAAAAAUUAUUUCAUUUCCAACAAAAUGACGCCGUUUUGCUAUGAUAAAAAUUUUUUAUUUUGCUUUUUUUAUAAAUUGAUUUAUUUUUGCGGCGUUUUUUGAACAAAAUGACGCCGUUUUGCUAUGCUAAAUUUUUUUAAUAUAUUGAUUUAUUAUCUUUUGCGGCGUUUUUCAUAAAAACGCCACAAAAAAUUAUUUCAUUUUCAACAAAAUGACGCCGUUUUGCUAUGCUAAAAAUUUUUAUUUUGUUUUUUAUAAAUUGAUUUUUUUAUAAAAUAAAAAAACCAAGUACUCUCAAAAUAAAUAUUGUAUAUUUUAAUAAGAAAACAAUUGAUAAAAUGACUGUAAUUAAUUAUUAAGUUAGAAUUAUCCAAAUUAAAUAAUUACCUAUAUAUCUAUAUCAUUUUUAUUUUUGUUUUUUUUCCUUAUAAUUUGGUCCUCUCCAAAAUAAAUAAUUAUACCUAAAUAUCAAUAUCAAUCUAUUACUUUUUUUAACUUAUUUAUUAAUUCUAUUUAAACUAAUAUAAAAGCAUUAAUUAAUUGUAUAAAAUUUUAUCAUUUAACAAAUCUCAAGUAAACCUUAACCUUAAACCUAAAUUAACCAUUCAAUACAUAUAAAGUCUAUCUAUUAUAUAUCUCUUAAAUAAUUUAAACUAUACUCAUAAAUUCAAUAUAUUUGAUUUAUUAUUAUCUCUUUUACAAUUAUAUAAGAACAUAUUUAAAAUAUAAAUUAAAAAAUAAUUAAUCUAAACUCAAAACCUUAACCCAACCCCUAAAUCAGUAAACCUUAAAUCCCUAACUCUUAACCCUUAACGUCUAAUCCCUAAACCUUAAAUCUAAACCCUUAAUCCAUAAUCCCUAAUUCAUAAAUCCAUACUCCCUAAACCUUAAAAUAUGAACUCCUAAAUCAGCCUUAAAUCUUAAAUUAAUUAUAUACCCUAAACUAAAAAUCCUAAACGAAUUUAUUAUUAUCUCUUUUACAAUUAUAUAAGAACAUAUUUAAAAUAUAAAUUAAAAAAAUAAUUAAUCUAAACCUAAAACCCUAACCCGACCCCCUAAAUCCCUAACUUUUAACCCCUAAACCUCUAACCCUCUAACCCCAAAACCUCUAACCCUCUAACCCUUAAACCUUAAAUCCCAACCCUUAAACAAUUAUCCCUAAUCCAUAAUCUCUAAACCCAUACUCCCUAAACCUUAAAAUAUGAACUCCUAAACCGGCCUUAAAUCUUAAAUAAAUCAUAUACCCUAAACCAAAACCCUAAAUAAAUUUAUUAUCAUCUCUUUUCAAUUAUAUAAGAACAUAUUUAAAAUAUAAAUUAAAAAAAUUAAUCUAAACGCCCAAAAUCCUAACUCGACCCCUGAAUCCCUAAACCCUAAAUCCCUAACUAUUAACCCUUAAUGUCUAACCCCUAAACCCCUAACCCUCUAACCCUUAAACCUUAAAUCUCAACCCUUAAACCCUAAAACCCUAAUCCAUACUCCCUAAAUCCAUACUCCCUAAACCUUAAAAUAUGAACUCCUAAAUCAGCCUUAAAUCUUAAAUUAAUUAUAUACCCUAAACUAAAAAUCCUAAACGAAUUUAUUAUUAUCUCUUUCACAAUUAUAUAAGAACAUAUUUAAAAUAUAAAUUAAAAAAAUAAUUAAUCUAAACCUAAAACCCUAACCCGACCCCUAAAUCCCUAACUUUUAACCCCUAAUACGUCUACCCCUAAACCUCUAACCCUCUAACCCCAAAACCUCUAACCCUCUAACCCUUAAACCUUAAAUCCCAACCCUUAAACAAUAAUCCCUAAUCCAUAAUCCCUAAACCCAUACUCCCUAAACCUUAAAAUAUGAACUCCUAAAUCGGCCUUAAAUCUUAAAUAAAUCAUAUACCCUAAACCAAAACCCUAAAUAAAUUUAUUAUCAUCUCUUUUCAAUUAUAUAAGAACAUAUUUAAAAUAUAAAUUAAAAAAAUUAAUCUAAACGCCCAAAAUCCUAACUCGACCCCUGAAUCCCUAAACCUUAAAUCCCUAACUAUUAACCCUUAAUGUCUAACCCCUAAACCACUAACCCUCUAACCCUUAAACCUUAAAUCUCAACCCUUAAACCUUAAAACCUAAUCCAUACUCCCUAAAACCAUACUCCCUAAACCUUAAAAUAGUAACUCCUAAACAGGCCUUAAAUCUUAAAUAAAUCAUAUACCCCAAACCAAAAACCCUAAACUAUAGUGAAAAUUAAUUCAAUAUUUUAAAAUUAAUACUAUCUCUUUUAUGAUUAUAUAAGAAAAUUUUUAAUAAAUAAAUUAAAAAACAAUCAGUAAUCAUGUACCCAAAAAAACUUUAAAAUUAUUUUAAAUAAUAGUAUUUUAAUUUUUCUAUGUGUUUUAUUUCAAAUUAUUUCUACGUAUCAUUAUUUUUUUCUAAAGAUUUUAAAUAUUCAAUUAGAAAUAAAUUGAAUUUUAUUUAAUAUAAAUAAACCAAUUAAGAUAAAAUAUUUUUAGCGGCGCUUUUCCAAAAACGCCGCUAAAGCCCCAGCAUUAGCGGCGCUUUUCCAAAAAACGCCGCUAAAGCCCUCAGCAUUAGCAGCGCUUUUUCAAAAACGCCGCUAAAGCCCCAAGCAUUAGCAGCGCUUUUUCAAAAAAGCCGCUAAAGCCCCGAAAGGUAACAAAACGACGUCGUUGGGCUUUGGUUUUUUGCGGCAUUUUUUCGAAAAACGCCGCUAUUGCCCAUUUUUACCGGCGUUUUUCAAAAAACGCCACUAAUGCUCGAUCUUUAGUGGCGAUUUCCAUAAAGCGCCGCUAAUGCUCGAUUUUUACCUGCGUUUUUUGUCCAAGCGCCGCUAAAAGUGCCGCUAAAAGUCUGUUUUGUUCAGGUUAAGAAAUUGUUUCUUCUAUUGAUAUUAGUUUUUGUAUUAUCCAAAUUGAAGUGUCCCUCUGAUCACUGAUAUGUUCAUAGUCAAAAGGUUAAACAAAUGGCAGCCAGCUGUGUGAACAGAUGAGAAAAGAUUUAGUACUAUAAAUCAAGCAUUAGAGUGAUGAUUGUAAAAAAGAUGGUUUUGCUUAAGUGGUAAUAUGCAUAUUAUUUACUUAUUAUUUGAAGAAUCAUUUUUGUUCAUUGCAUUGUGUUUUUCUUGUUAAAUUGUAGUAAAUUACUCUCUCCAUAUAUAUGUAUAAAACUAUCAUUCAUUUUAAUUAACUAUUGUUAAACCAAAAGCAGUAGUAAAUAGAUAGCUUUUCAAGUUAAAUUAAAAUUUUUAGCUUUUGAAAGCGAGUUUGGGUAUGAAUUUUCUUCAUUUAUAGUAAUUAUAAAAGAUAAAUAUGAUAUAUAUUAAAUUAAAUUUUACAAAUAAUUUAUAUUAAUUAUUUAAAAAGUAUUUAAAAUUUAUAGUUUACAUAUCACAAUUUUUUUUUUUGAAAUGAGAUAUCUCACAAUAUUAAUAAUGGAUUACUGUAAAUUAUUUUAUUCUAUUUGUCCUAUAAUCUCAAUUGAAUAUUUAUUAAUACAAAAAAAAUUGACAUUGUAAUAAUAAUAAUACGUGAAAAUAAAAAUACGUUACAUUUGAAUUAAUUAUAAAUUUUAUUACAAUUUAAACUUGUGUAUUUCAUGUAUCAUAAUACCAUCAAUGAGUUUAUAUAUUUCAUGUAUUUUAUAUAUCAUAAUUUAAUUAUUUAAUCAAUUAUUUUUAAACAUUGUCAAACUUUUUAAAUGUAAGGACCCGACCUCUCUAAAAUGAAAUUUUUUUCAUUUAACUUCUUUAAAUUUUUUAAAAUGUUAAAUUAAUAAAUGUAAAAUUAUAUUUUGGCCCCCUAAAAUUAAUAAAAUUAUUAUUUAAUACUUUAAAAUUAUAAAAAUAUAGGCUAUUCAAAUUAUGAAAAUGCAUUUUUACUAUCGAAAAAAUUACAAUUUAAUUUCGAUUUCCCUAAAAAGAAUUUUUGACUUUGCCUCUGUUAAUUGGCUCAAUUUAGUCAUGAUCCUAUAAAAAUUAUAAAAUUCUUUUAAUUUCUUUUAUUUAUUUCUUUUCUACAAUUCUUUUUCCCUUUUCUCUUUUGUUCUUCUUGUUUCAUAUUCAUCCAAACCUUCUUACCUGUGAAAUCUUCUUUUAAUUAAUUGAAUGUAAUUUUAUUGGCUAAAAAUAUAACUUUCCUUCUUUGGGUUGUAGGAUGGUUAAAAGAUUCAUUUAGAGAUUUAUUUACUUAUUAGGUUUAUGGUGUGAUUUACUUAAAUCUUGUGUAAGUGAAUUCUUAUGUCUAUAUAACUCAUGUGUUUUGAUGUAUUGAAAACAUUUACUCUCAAUGUCAUUAGGUGAACAAUGAUAUUUUGGAUACAUGACUUAUGUAUGGUAUGACUUCACUCACAAUAGUGAAAUCAUAGUUCAAUAAAAAGAGUAAAUGAUGUUCUCUUACUAUCAUUGUAUGUAUUAUGAAAAAUGAAGCAUAAUCAUGGGUCGUUUUUUGGGGGAGAAAUGGUUUUAUCAGUAUUAGAAUGCGUAAUGAUCAUUUUAAUUGUGGAAGAUAUAAUGGUGAUGAAAUGAAAAUGGAUCGAAUUAGGUUAACGGAUUUAAUAUAAAGGAAACAUUGAUAUCUAUAAGGGUAACAUGUAUGAUAAGGUCAUUGGACAAAAAAAUUAAUUCAGUAGCUUUCGUAAUGGUUUAUUAUGGUGAGUUCACUCAUGGUAUUUUUGGUGGAUUAACUUCAUCACUAAAUAACUCUACAAUUAAUAGACGAAGAGUUGGACUUCCAGACUCUUAAUGUAAUUUAGUUAAUAAUUAAAACUUUUAAAUCGUAUAAUUAAUUUAUAAUAAAUAGUAUCUAAUUUAGUUAAUUAUUUUGUAGGUUAAAAUGUAUGGAAAAUUACCCCUAAUCAAUAAAAUUUUUAUAUUAUUUAAUUAUUUAUAUUUUAAAAAUUAGAUUUAUAUCCUAAAAUUAAAAUACUAUUAUUGCUGCAUAAAAUUCAUUUUUUUAAACUUAAAUAAUGUAUGGCAAGCCUUAGGUGAUUAUAUUUUACUGGACUCACUAGCAUUUUAUAGGCCCAUUAAGGGGUAUACGAGAGACAUAAGUUUAAAAAAUAAACCUUCAACUACUGGUUAAAUUAAGAGAAAUUAUUAUCAUCUCAGCUAACCCCGUGAUUCAUGUGAUUUUUUUUAAUUCCGAACUCUAUUCCUAAUAUAUUAAAGAUACAUAAAGAGAAUAUGGAUAAUAAAUAAGCAUAAUACAAAUAGAUUGGAAUACAAAGUCUGCAAACAUUAAGUGCUACAACGUUGACAACACUGUUUGAAGAAAAAUCUACAUAGACAAAGAAAAAACCAACAUCCCAAGGGGAUAAGAUAGAAUGCCAAUUCCGGCAUCCAAAUGGCAAGUGCUCCUUGAAAGACGACUUCCAUGAUACUGUAUGAGCAAUAUCCCAUAACUAUAAUGGUUCCUCCCCAGAAAUCAUCCUUUACGAAAAGAAAUAACCAGCAUCCGUUAAUUGCUAAUAGUAACAGUAUUGAGUCAGCAUCAGCAGGAAUUACUUGAAACAAUUGUGAAGGAGUUAACCAACAUCCCAAAAUUGGAACACUUAGUUUUGACACCCGAUCACUGUAAAACAUGACCAAUGUUAAAACAAAAAACAAUAGCUAAAAUACUCCCAUAUAACUUUAAAUGCAAAAUCUGUUGGGGCUAUGAAAGAUAUCGAUUGGUCGAAGCAUAUUGCGAAGUAAGCAAGUAGUACUUGAAUUGUUUUCUUCAAACCAUGGGGAAAAGGUUUAAGCAGGGCUAGUAUUAGGAAAAAGGUUACCAUGAACACAACAUAGGUUGGAAUAUAGAAAAGAAGAAAAUCAGUUCGAUCAAGUACUGAUUUCCCUGGUGAUGAGGUAUCGUCACCCUGCAAAACACUACCAGGUGGGCUAAGAGUGGCUUGGUAGGUUCCAGUUAGAAGCAGCCCUAAAACUACUAGUUAGGCAUUGCGGUCAUCGCUUGAUAUAUUAUCCAAAUCGUCAAAAAUUACUGAUGAUGCUUUUGCGGUAUACUUGACGAUUUGUUUCUCCCACUUAGAUUUAAUGUCUGCAACUCCUGGAAUAAAGCAACCAUGCAGAAUUCUGAUGCUCUUUCUGUUAUUAUGUUGCUCUGCAACACCCAGUGCGGUUAAAUCGGAUUGAUUGGUGGCAUGCUUGUCAGCCUUGCUACUUAAUAGUAGUUUAAGCAUCUGUUUAAUUGAUAGUUUAAGAUAAAAAAAAAAAAAAACUACAAUCAGUUAACCAUGGCUAUGGAGUACAAAAGAAUCUAUUUAAUAUUAAUUAUUAAAGCGGAUGAGUCAAACCACGGUUUGAUUAUUUCUAGCAGCUAUGUGUAAUGCAGUGUUGCCAUCUUCGUCCUUUCUAUUUACCUCUUCCUGAUAAUAGUCCUUCUUCUUAAGCAUUCGAAUUAAAAUCUGAAGAACAUCCAACCUUUUUUUUUCCGCUGCAAUAUGCAAAGCACUGCGAUUCUCAGUUGUAACAUCUCGGAUACAAUCAGGACAAGCCUUCAAAAAUGUUUCCAGCAGACUGUCAUGGUUUCCAACUUUAAUAAUGUAGUGCAACGGAGUCUCACCAUUCUUCCCUGUGACACGAACAAGAUCUUUAUCCAUUUGUAGGAAACGAAGCACCAUCUCUUUAUGCCCCUUUUCCAAUGCAAGGUGAAUGGGUUUCAAACCUUGUUGGUUUAGCUUCCUAGCAAAUGACGGCUUCAGCUUCAUCAUCUCCAUUGCGAACCCGAUGCACCCUUCAUUUGCAGCUACAUGUAAAGGAGUCUCGAUAAACUCCACUUCAUCGAAGCUCCUCAAAACAUUUCCAUCACUUUGAAUCAAUUUAUACAAUUCACUGAAAUCUUCCGUACGAGAAAUUGUUCUGAAACUUUGGUCCAUGUUUGAAACAAGGAACAAUUUCACAAUAGGAGGCAAAAAUUGAAAGGGUUAAAGAGCACUUAGAGGAAUUAAUUUAAUUUACUUCCCUUGUGUGAGGAAGAAAGAGGAGGAUGGUUUCCUUUAUAUAAGAAGUGUAUUUUUUUCAGUCCCAUCGAAAGGUGCUUAUCUUCAUGUUGGAGCUACGGUUCACUUUUAGUGUAAAACGUGGGAGAGGCUUCCACUUUCAAAGGUGCUUAUAUAAGAAUUUAUACUUUCAUUUGGUUCUUAUGACUUCUUCUUUUUCUUUUCUUUUUUUUUCUCAGUUGACGAAGGAAUUUAAUUUGUUUUGGCAUUCUAAUAAAAAAUUCAUCUAAUCCUACGGAGUAACACACGAUAUGUUAUUAUAGAGGUUAUGAGAUGCUGUAGCCUUUUUUCCGUUGUUAGUGCUUAAUUAACUCAAAUUAAUUUCUACCAAAAAAGAGAAAUUGGAAAAAGAAAAGAAAAAUGAAAAGCAUAUCUAACUUUGACAGAUCAUAUAUUUUUAAUUGCUUUUCUAACUUUAUAUGUUAUUAUAGAAUUUAAUUUAGAACCCAUUAAAACUUUGAGGGAUGCUAUCUACCCAUACUUAGUUUAAGUAUUUUAUUGAUUUAAUACCACAGACCAGACCAACACUAAUUCAUAAAUAAAUUUAUUAAAAUGUCUCUUUUUUUUUUGGUGAAAAUUAAAAUGUCUUUUUAUAUAAAAAAUAUAUUUUAUGAGGAUAUCUUUUUAUCUUUCUAUAUGAUAAAAAAAUUGAUAAUAAUAAUAGUGCACAAUAAAUAAUUAAUUUUACUAUUAUAAUCAAAACAUCAAUUUACUUUUAUAUGAAUUUUUAAUAAGUUUACUUGUUACAUAAUAUUUUUCACUCAUGGUGUUUCAUAAAAUUUUAAAGUAAAUAUUAAUAUGAUAUUUGUUGACACCAUUUUUUUUGUAUAAAAACGGGUCGACUUGGGUUUUGAAAAAAGAAACGGGAGUCGCCACCAAUCCUUUUUAAUGAGGUGUGAUUGGAUCACCUCGAAAAGUGGUUGUUUUUAAUAAACGGUUUGAUUUUAUUAAAACAACAAUUUUGGUCCGCGAAAUUUAGAAAAAUAGGUUCAGGAGUCGGUUACGCUCGAGGAAGGAUUAGCACCCUCAUAACGCCCAAAAUUGGUACCUAGUUGAUUAAUUAGUGUCUUAGUGUCGAAGAUUGAAAACUUUGAAGAGAUUUAAAAUACGAUCCUUUGUUUUAAAACUUAUAUAAAUCAAAUUACUCGUUAAGACUCUCUCAUUUCAGAAAGAGAAAAGGUCACACCCAAUGAGUAGGGUACGAUAUUUUACCUAUUCCGAAAUGAGUUUGUCUAAAACAAACUCGCACAAUAAAAUUUAAAAGGAUAUUCAAUCGUUUAAGUCAGAUGAAAAUAUUGCAACCCAAUACAUUAGGGCACAAUUUCUCAAAAUAUUAAACAUUGAAUAUUGCAUAUUUUUAGCAAAAACCCUCGUCUCGAGAAAACAAUGUGUCAUAUCCAAUGCGUUAGGCCACAACGUAUCGAAUCCUCAAUAACAAGCUUUUAUUAUUAUUAUUAUUAUUAUUAUUAUUAUUAUUUAAAGAGUAAUCUCGAUUAUUUUAGAUUCAACGAAGAAAAUCGAAACCCAAUACGUUAGGGCUCGAUUCUCUCGAAGAUUCCAAAUACCGAGCAUUGCUUAAAAUUUCCUUUUUUGAAUCUAGGUAAAAAUCAAUGUAAUGGAGUAACAAUCACAAUAAUGUAAAUAUAAAUAGCAUGAGCAAGAACAAAAAUGAUGAAGAGAUGAAUAAAAAUAAAUCAAUAAUGUAUACACAAUAUCAACUGAGUAAACAAAUAAAAUUGAAGCAUUUAAAGAAUAUAAUAAAGGUAAUAAUGGACAUGUGAAUAUAUAAAUGAACAUCAAGUAAAACAAUACUAAUAACAAAGAAAAUUAAUAAAAAACUAUAAAAUAUAAAAAUAUGUAUAUGUACAUAUAAGAAAAAAAUAUAUGUGAAUUAAAAAAAUAAAAAGUAAAUAUAAAAUAUAUGUAUUUUAAUAUGUAAAAUAUACACAUAUAAGUAUGUACAUAUAAAUAUAUACUUAUAAAAAUUUAGAAAAUAUGUAUGUAGAUAUAAAUAUAUGUAUACACAAAUUAUAAAAUAUAUAUAAAAAUAUAUGAGUAUGUAUGUAUAUAUAAGCUAAAAAAAGGUUUAUAAAGAGAUAAGUAUAUAUAUACAUAUAUGUGUAUAUAAUAAGAUAUAUAUAUAUAUAAUAAGAUAUAAAGAUAUAUAAUAAUUAUAAUAAUAAUAACAAUAAGACAAAUAUAAUCAAAAUUUAAAUAAGAAAAUAUAAAAUAAAAAUAUAACAAUAAUAUUAAACUAAUGGUAUAAUAAUAGUAAUAUAAAUAUAUAUAUAAAAGUAUAAAUAUCAUAUCAUAACGAGAAAAUAAUAAUAAUAACGAAAUGGACCAAAUUGGGAUAAAAAUAAAAUUUAAGGGCUCGAGCAGUAAUAAAAUGCGUAAAUAAGGACCAAAAUGGAAAGGUGCGAAAGGGUGAAGGACCUAAUGGGAAAUAAACCCACACUACACCAAAACAGGCUUUUUGCGGCGUUUUUAGUGGCGUUUGGAUAAAAAACGCCGCUAAAAAUCAAGCAUUAGCGGUGCUUUAGAAAAAACGCCACUAAAGAUCUAGUAUUAGCGGCGUUUUCCAAAAAACGCCGUUAAAAAUGAGCAUUAGCGGCGUUUUCCAAAAAGCGCCGCAAAAAACCUAAGCACAACAAUGUCUUUUUUUAGUUUUCGGGGCUUUAGCGGCGUUUUUGAAGAAGCGCCGCUAAUGCUUGGGGCUUUAGCGGCAUUUUUUAAAAAGCGCCGCAAAAAAUAUUUUUAAGUUUUUUGGGUACAUUAUUUAAAAUACUAUUAUUUAAAAUAACUUUUAAGUUUUUUGGGUACAUUACUGAGUGUUUUUUAAUUUACAUAUUAAAUAAUUUUUUAUAUAAUUGUAAAAUAGAUUUGUCACUAUAGUUUAAGGUUUUUGGUUUAGGGUAUAUGGAUUAGAGUUUAAGGUAUAGGGGUUACUAUUUUAAGGUUUUUGCAGAUUUUUGUUAGUGGUUUGGAUCCAAGUGUUUCUGGAUAUUUUGUUGUUGGUGGUUAGAGAUUUUUGUUGCUUGAUAGAAAUGUGUUUAACUCUGGACAUUUUGUUUGUUGAAAAACGCCGUAAAAAAAUUUAUCUAUUUUAACUAGUUUAUUUAUGUUAAUUAAAAUACAAUUUAAUUUUAAUUGAAUAUUUAAAUUCUUCAAAAAAAAUAAUGACACGUAGAAAAAAAUUAAAAGUAAAAACAUAGAAAAACAUUUGUUAAAAAUGAAAAAAUUUAAAAUAAUUUUAAAGUUUUUUGAGUACAUGAGUACUGAUUAUUUUUUAAUUUAUAUAUUAAAUAAUUUCUUAUAUAAUCAUAAAAGAGAUAGUAUUAAUUUUAAAAUAUUGAAUUAAUUAUCAUUAUAGUUUAGGGUUUAAGAUUUAGGAGUUACUAUUCUAAGGUAAUUUUUGGGAUUAUGUGUUUAGGGAUUAUGGAUUAUGGAUUAUGUGGUUUAAGGGUUGGGGUUUAAGAUUUAAGGAGUUACUAUUUCUUAUAUUAAUGAAUACAAUAAUUGGAAAGAAAAUACAUUUUGUAAUAUUUAUUUGCAUUAGAUCUUAUAAGCAAGGUUGAGAAGUGUCCUGUAGGAGUAUAGUAAAAUAUUUAAUAAAAAAAUACAUGUCCAUUUUUUAAUGUUACUUGUGGAAUAAAAAAGAUAAUCUAUUAGUGUACCAAACACUCACUUAUUUUUUAAUUUUUAAAAACAAAAAAUAAUAUUUCUAAGAAUGUCAUUAGGUUAAAUUUAAGGUCAAAACAAGAGCGAUGAUACAAGGUCUUCAAAUAGUAUGGGAGAACGAAUAUAGAAAGCUUACGUGCUUCUAGUAGAAUCCAUUUUAACCGAUUAAACGACCAAUAGCAAAUUGGGCGAGUUAUGCUUAAUACUUAGUUUGCUCAAGCGAGGCUGAAAAGUAAGAUUUCAUCACGUUUCGAGAUCUCAAAAUAAGAUUGUCGAUCGUAUGGCCAAAAUAGCUUCAAGUGGAUUGGGUAACAUACAACUAUUUUGAGAGCCUCCAGAUUCAGUAUGAAAUAUACUGAUAGUUGAGCGUAAUAUUGUUUCUUUACGUUGCUAGUAAUUUAAAAAUGUAAUCAAUUUGUACGGUAGUAAUUGCAUUAAAUGAUUUUAAGGUUUAGGGAUUAUGUGUUUAGGGAUUAGGGAUUAGGGAUUAUGGUUUAUAGUUUAAGGGUUGGGGUUAUAAGGGGUUAGGGGUUAUAAGGGGUUAGGGGUUAUGGGGUUUAAGGUUUGUAAAGCUAGAAAGGUAUUAUAUGGAGUUCAAUAAUCGCGCUCAGUGUCGAAUUGGCUGUUGAAAUGUUAAUAUUGUAAGUUAAACGCUUUAAAGUCACAUUAUGUGUGUGUGCCAUGAUCUAUAUCUGACAGAUUGGGAAGGGAAGCUAAGUGAGUCAAAUUUAAAUAUUAGAUUUAAAAAAAUUGAUAAAUAAAUAAAUUAAUGUAUCAGAUUGAUAUGGAUAGGAAUUGAAUAAUAUAAAAUCAUGAUUAACGUCUCAAUCUUUAAUAGAAAUUUGAUAUGUGAGAGAUUAAUUGCUUACAUUGAAUAAUUCUAACUUAAUAAUUAAUUACAGCCAUUUAAUCAUUUUUUCUUAUUAAAAUAUACGAUAUUUAUUUUGAGAGUACUUGAAUUUUUUUAAAAAAAUUCAAUUUAUAAAAAAAUAAUAAAUGUUUUAUAAAAUCACUUAAUUAAUAAUUUUUAACAGAUUUAAAAUAAAAUUAUUUUUUGCGACGUUUUUAUGAAAAACGCCGCAAAAGGUAAGCAAUAGCAGCGUUUUUAUAAAAAAUGCCACAAAAAAUAAUUUUACUUUAAAAUAAUUUUUAGCAGACAAAAUAAAAAAAUUUUAGCAUAACAAAAUAGCGUCGUUUUUGUACAAAAUGAAAUGAUUUUUUGCGGCCACAAAAGAUAUUCAAAUUCCCGCUCACCCCCAAAAAAAGAUUUUUGGUUACCCGCUCCUUACUCCCUCUUCUUCUCAUGUACUUAAUUCUUUUUCCCUUUUAAUCUCAAAAUUCCAUGAGUCCCUUUGCCCCCAACAUCUCGUAAUACUGUUCAAAUCCCUAAAAUGAUUCAUUGAUUUAGGGUUUUGUUUCUCUCUGAAUCAGGACAAAAGGGUUUUCCGAUCUAUACCAAAAGACCACAGGGAUUGAUCUAUGGAAUUCCUUUUUCAGCAGUGUAUUUUCUUUUUCCUUUUUCAGUUUUGUUCGAUUUUUUUUACUUAUUUUCUUUCUCUCUCCAUUGUUUCGAAGCCAGCUUCUCUUUUUUCGAAGCCAUCGGAGCUCGGUAAUUGUUCUCAGCUUCAAGUGAUUCAGCUUCGUUUGAAUCGAUUGAUCGGCAAUGUAACGGCGGAUUUCUCUCGGUUGUCUCGUUUAAAAGAGCUUGGUUUGGGUUCUAACAAGUUAAAUGGUGAAAUCCCAGAAGAAAUCGCCUUUUAGAUGGAAAUCGCCUUACAGGUAACAUACCAAAUUCAUUUUCAAACAUGUCUAAUUUGAAGUACUUGAAUUUUUCUAGAAAUAAUCUUGAAGGUGAGAAUCCAAGUGGAUUAGGUUCUUUAUUCAAUGAUAGUUCUGUAUUUUCAAUGAAUGAAAAUUUAUGUGGUAAGCCAUUGAAUAAUGACUGUAAAAAUGUAAGAAAAAAGAAACAGAGGAAGCUGAUUUUGUUGAUUGCUAUGGUCGUUGGUGGUAUUGGGCUAUUUGUCGUGUUUUGUUGCGGUUACAUUUACAGUCUUCUACAGUGGUGGAAGAGGUGGAUGACCGGAGAGAAGAAGCAGAGUACGGGUAGUGCUAGUUCGGGAGCAGAUCAAAGUCGUGGAAGUUCAACUUCUUUUCGUUGAAGUUCAACUUCGCUGAUUCAGGUACGAUUUUAGCUUUACUUUUUGUUCAAAUUUUCGUUUUACAAUUUUUUAAUAUUUUCUAAUGUUAAGGUAUGCUGAUAUAUUGCAGUAAACUUUGAGAAUAUUAGACCUCCUGUAAUGGAAGGCUUAGAUACAUUAAUCAUGGUAUGUGGCUUCUUACUUUUACCUUCUUAAACUCUAUGUUCCAUAUGCUUAGCGUCUGGAAUUUCUUAUCAUUUUGCUUGAUUUAUUCAUAGAAAGAAACAAUCUUCAAAGUCAAGUAGCCUUGAAAGCAAUGGUAUGACUUUCUUGUUGUAACCUUUGAUGAGGUUUACUCCGAUUUCACUAUCAUAUGUUAUUUUUACAAGUUGGGGCUUGCAGGUAGUUCUUCAAAUUAAACAUCACCUGCAUCUCAAUGGUUUUCUUCAAAAUCAUCAAAGAAGGUUUGUUUUGUCAUUUUAUAGUUGAUCUUCCUUUGCUGCUGAUGCUCUUGUUACUACCAUUUUAAUCAAACAACCUUCACUAAACAUUUGCUUAAGACUAGUUAUCUAGGCAAGUGAUCCUCUCUCUCUCACUCUCACUUUCACUCAGACAAGUCACUAUCAUUCAUAUAUUUUUGUUAUCAUUUUCAGGAGCUCACAUUGGACCUGAACCAAUGACCAAUAGAUUUGUUGUUGUUAUGGUAAUUCAGAAAUAUUGCUAUUCUGCAGAUCUAGCUUGGAGAGUUUCCAUUACUUGGUGGUUUUAAAAUCAAUUAUGGAAAUUGAAUCUUAAUUUUCUGUAUACUGUCUAUACUACUUUGUUUGUUGUAAUUGUGAAAUUUUGUUUUGAUCUCGUGUGUUAUGCACAUACUCUCUUUCCCUUUAUGCAGUCGGGAACUGAUGAAAGAAGUGUUCCAGGGAACACUAUUGCUGUCCAAGCAGACAUGCCAUUCAGUGGCCUCACUACUUUCGGAACUGCAUUUUUGUCGAAGUUUGAGUGUUCUCAAAUGCCACAUCUAGUUAGUUAAUUGUUCAAUUCUAGUUUGCUGCGAUAGUUAAUUUUUCUGCUUAUAUAGAAUUUAAUACCUUCUUUUCCUUUGAAUUUCCGAUCGCUUCAGAAUUUUGAAAAAUAUUCAGGUACCUCGGUAUUUUUCAAUUUCGCAUUUUAUUUCCUCCAAUCUUUGAAUUUAGUUCCAAUUAUCGUCAUUUAUUUGCUGAAUUAACUUGUAAAAUAAUUGUUAGCACCUAGGGGUUUUUUUUAUGUAAGGUUGUUUUUAAUUUUAGUUGGAGAAUAUAUUGUGGUUUGAUUGUUUGUUAGGUUUUGAUAGUCAUAGGGUUUUUAAUUCGAAUUUCUAGCUUAAGUAAGGACCUCAUUUCUUCUGCCUCAAAUUAAUUAAAUUUAAUGGUUAGUAUUUGUAAAAUUUAAUGUAAUGUAAAAUUUUUGGCAUGUUAUUAAUUGUAAAAUAUUUGGUAUUUGGGGGGUUUUUCAUUGUUACUGCAAUUAUAUAAUUGGUUUUGAUGCAGAACAUAUAUGUUUCAGCAAGUAAGUAUUAAUUUAGGGAUGGGAUACUUGUAUUUUAAGCCUGAAAAGUCAUUAAUAGGUUGAAUAAAUACUGCUUAUAAUUUUUGUUCAAUUUUUUCUUGAAUUUUGGUGAACUCCUUUAGUAAUUAUUUGGGGCUUGUUAUGUUACGAAUUGGUAUUGAGUAGAUAUGGAUAUUCUCUGAGAAUUUUUUUUACUUGCAUCAUAGCCUUUUUUAUGAUGUUUGCCUUGUGUUUACAAAGAUUUUGUAUUUUGUUUUCUACCUAGUUUUUUUUUCAUCCUGCCUAAUUUGUCGAACUUCUAGCAUUAGUGAAGUUUUUAUUCAAAUUACUUGUGUGCUACCAUAGGUGCUAUUGGCUGGGGUUUACAAGGAGCUACGUCAGGCAUGGAGGAUGCCAAAGAGCAAAUUGUACAGGUGUCCAAAAAUUCCACGCUACCAUCUCAAGAUGAGGUUGUGUUCUUAUCUUGGUUCAUUGUGGAAUAUUUGAUUGGUUAAAGAUCUUAGCUACGUACAAGAUUAAAAUUUUAUUCUCUGGAGUUCUAUAGUUACUUUUGAUUGAUUGGACUGAUUGGAAUUUUAGGUGUUCAUUUGUAAAAUUUUCAUAACUUGUUUGUUCUGUUGUUUCAGAAACUGAAUAUGACCCAUGGUUUUGCUUGGCACUUUUACGUUUUAAAUUAUCUUAACACCUUACAGUUUUCUUCUUCCUAUGGAUACCAUUACAGCUUGCAGUUGAAUGUUUCUUUUAGGUAUAUCUUGUGACAUUUUUUCUUUCUUUGUUCACCUCACUUUAUAGCCUAUUUUUUUCCCUCCUGCGUUGGAUCUUUUUUUUUUUAAAUCACAUGAUCUCAAAUUUCAAUUUCUUUUAACAUUUAUUGGAAGAAUAAUAUGGUCUCAUUUGAUUGUUUCUCCUACCUGGUUCUUGCUUCUACUCGUAUUUCUUUUUGGAUGAAUAAAUUUAUUUGUUUAAUCCUCAUCAUCCUGUACAAUAUCAUGCUUGCAAGUUUUUGCUUUCCUCCUUAUUGCAGAUUUACUAUCCUGGUAUCCCUCUGUUGUUCUUGAUGUGGAUAUUUCUUGUGAAGAAGUACUUACAUUUUGCUGUUUAUUCAUGCUUACAGGAUAGGAGCAAAUGGUUUGGAGAACUCGUAAGCACUCCUCUGUCACUCCUAAACCAGUUGUUUAAAUUAUUUUCAUAGCCUACUUUGAUUGCUGUUAUUUGUGGGAAAAUUAGUCUACAUUCUUUAAGCUGAUCUUAAACUGCUUCCUACAUUGUUUCAGCCUUGGGAAGAAAGUUUGCGGGAUGCACACGAGUUUGGAAAACUUGUUCUGUUUUAGAACUUGGAUCCAGCUUACUCUUCAGCAGAAGUGGAGGUAAUAUUUAUUAUGAAUCACAAUUAGGUUGUGUUUGAAGCAUUUUGUAUUUACACACAUAAAUUUCUGUGUUCUUUCACUUUUCCUCUCCCUACAUGUGUGGUUUGUACCUUUUAUCUUUCUUAUGAAUAAUGCAUGUUUAUAUUGCAGGAUAUAGUUUGGAAUGCCUUCAAUGAAACUUGCAGAGCAAAGAUGGUGCAGCAGACUGCGUUGUAUUUUUUAUUACUUUGCAAUGUGUAUAGUCAUAGGCAAGUUCAACUAGUCAGUAUGUUUUUCAUAUGUAUUAUUUAUUUUAGUUUUGAUUCUAAAUUUUUAUUUUUAUUUUAAUAUUUACGACAACUUCAGUUAUAACUUUUGGAUUUUAAUUGUGUUAUUAAUUUAUUAUUUUAAAUUCUAAAACUAAAUUCAUUAAUUUUUAUAUUUAGUUUUAAAGUUAAAAUUUUCAUAGAAAAUUUAAUUUAAAUAAUAUUUUUUAUUUAUUCUUAAAAAGUAUAUUUAAAGCUCAAAUUUAAAAAACAAGACGUAAUAUAAUAUUUACCAUAAAAAUAAAUAUUAUUUGAUUAAAAUAUUUUUUUAAAUAUUAUGUUUUUAGCGACAUUUUUGCUAGAAGCGUCGCUAAAGGUUUGGGUUUAUAGCGGCAUUUGUGAUAAAAGCGCCGCUAAAGGUUUCGGUCUUUAGCGGCAUUUAUGGAAAAAGCAUCGCUAAAGGUCUUGGGCUUUAGCGGCGUUUGUGGGAAAAGUGCUGCUAAAGGUCUUGGAGAAGCGCCGCUAAAGGUCUUGGUCUUUAGCGGCAUUUUUUCCGGCGCUUCUCAAAGCGCUGCAAAAACUUUUAGUGGUGCUAGAAAGCGCCGCUAAAGGUCUAAAAAAGUGCCGCUAAAAGCCUGUUUUGGUGUAGUGCCAGUUUCAGGCCACGCGUCCCCUCCCAUGGGUCCAACGAAAUGAGGACCAAAUUAAAAAUAGAGACAAAUUUGCGAUCCAAAUUAAAAAAUGAAGAAAAGUCGUAAAAGGACUAAAUCGAAUCAAACUAAAAGUGCGAAAGGGCAUAAAGUGAAAAUAACCCACCUGCACAAAAACACGUGGACCCUGGGUUGCGGGUCGGGUCGACGCGCGAGUAGGAGGCCUUAAGAACCCAAACGGUGCCGUUUUAGGGCUAUUGGAUUAGCCCUAAACGGCAUCGUAUCGCCCAGCUUAUAAAGGCUAAAUUUUUUUGUGAAAUCAGUCAUUUUCCUUUUACUUAAAAAAACUGAGUUCUCUCUCUCCCUCUUUUCUCCCUCAGUCUCAGCCCUUAAGUUCAGGCCUCCACCGCCGCCUCCAUGGCCAAUGGCCGGAGUUACGCGAAACAGGCUUCUCAGCCCUCCCUUCACGGCGUCCCAGAAGGCUAAGCCUUCUCAACCGUGGGAGCGAGAGAAAAAAGGAAGAGACUCCCUUCCCCGCUCGACUCUGGUGAUGGCGAAGGUGGGUUCCGGCCGGCCUUUGAAGCAAAUAGGUAUAUUUCUUUCCCUUUUUCGUUUCAUUUUUGUUAAAAAGAGUAGUAAAACAAACAAAAAUAAAAUAAAAUAAAAUAAAAAUAAAAAUAAAAAUAAAGAAAAUACAAAGAACGCAAGAAUAGAAAAAGAACCGGAAUCAACCUUUUUUAAUUUUUUUGAUCUGCUUUUUAUUCAUUGGUGUUGUAAAAAAAAGAAAAGAAGAAAAAAAAAAUGUUGGUAUUCGGCUAUUUUUUUGCUUUCUGCCUUUGCGUGUUCUCUUUUUGUUUUUGCAGGUGGAGCAGGUGGCUGAGUUAGUGGCGGUAGCAGGUGGUGCGGCAGUGGCAGAGGGUAGGUGGUACGGCGCCAGAGAUUAGGAGGCUAGGGUUUCUUUUUUGUAUUUAAGUAUUUUGGGCCGUUUGGGCCAUUAGGGUUUAGUUUUAGUUAGGCUUAAAUUUUGGGGUUUGGGUUAGUUUAGGUGGGUAUUGGGUUGGUAUUGGUUUUGGGUUUUGGGCCAUUGUAAGGGUUAUUUGGGCCCUGGGCAAAUUUGGGCUUGUACAAUAUUCAUCUCUAAUGGUAAUCUAAUAUUUAUCCUAAUAUUGUCAUCAGCACCAAGAAGAAGAAAACUGAAACUCUAUCUUAUUACCUAAUCGAAUUUUGAAAAAAUAAAUCUAAAAGAUUAUUUAAAAUUCUAAUUAGGUAUUAAUUUAUUGUUAUGUUAAAAUCACGCUAGAAAUGUGGAUUCAAUUAUUUAAGAGAUUAUUGAAAGUCACUUAAGUUGUUAAUAAUUAAAAUGAAAUGAUUUUUCUUUUAUUAAAAUGAAAUUUCAUGAUUUAUUUGAAAGUUGAGUUUAAGUUCAAUGGUUUAUAAUGUAAAUUAUCUAAUAUCCAUUGUAUUUAUUGUCACUAAAUGAGCAUUACAAGUUAAAAUAAGUUAAAAUCUCUAGUAGUAAUUAUUAAUAUUAAGUUUUGGUUUUUUUUCUACCUUUAAUUUAUCGGCACAUAUGGGAAAAAUAUAAUUUUUAAAUUCUUCUAAUUUUUUAAAACUUUUUAAUAAUUAAAGAAAAAAUAAAAAGAAUAGGGGUCAAAUUGACAAAUGUUGUAAAGGUUAAGGGGCUAAAUUUAUUAUUUUAUCUAGUUUUUUAACAGAGUUAAAGGAAAAAUCAACAGAGAUUGAAAAAUAGAAAGAUCAAAUUUGAGCAAAUAAAAGUAGAGUAACUAAAUCCACAUAAACUGAGAAUCCAGGGACUAUCCUUACAAUUUAACCUAAAAUGUAAAAACUUAAAUACAUAAAUAUUAUUUUAGUAAUUUCUAAACAAAGUUAGCACUUUAAUGUAAGGGUGUUCAAAUUUCGGUUAAAAUCAAAUUAAUCGAUCGAACCGAUCUAAUUCGGUUAAUCGGUCGGUUAAUUGAUCUAAUUCAGUCGAAGGUUGAUUAAUUAUUUUUUUGAAAGUUCGGUUAUCAAUUAAUUCGAUUUGAAAUCUGGUAAUUAACCGAACUUAAUAAUUAAUAAUACAAAUAAUAUUUAGUUUUAAUUCAGUUAAUUCAGAUAAUUCAAUCAAAUGAACUUUAUUACUUUUUUAAAUAUAUUUAAUACUUGUUUUAACUAAAAUAAAAAAAUAAAAAUAUAUAAAUUUCGAUUAACAUUUUUUUAAAAAAAUUUCCCUUAUUUUUUCCUACAAUCAGCCUAUGCACGUAUUUUUUUUCAUUUAUUGGUAAAUUAAUCGUUAAUAUAUCCUUUCCUUUCUCUAAUCUUCCUCUAUUUUCUUUUCAUUUUCUUUCCUUUAAUUAUAUUUAUCCAAAUAUAGGGUUAAUGUAGAAUUUUUUAUUUUAUUUUAAUUUUUACCAUUAUCCUUUAUAUUUUAUCUUUAAAAUUAAAAAUUACAUUUAAUAAAUAGUAUAGUUAUAUUUCGAAAUUAAUUUUAAAUGAUAUAUAAAUAUAUUUUAAAUAUCAAUUUAAAUUUAAAUCUCUAAAACUUAACUUUUUAAUACUUAUUAUUUCUAUUUUAUCGAACAACCUUUAAGUAUUGCACUCACACUCGCAAAUAAAUAAAUAAAUAAAUAAUGGCCUUGUGUAAUUAAGAAAGUUGAGAAUGGGUUACUCCUCACCUGGUGGAAUUGGCUACAAUAAUGGAGGAAAGAGAAAAACACUAAGGAAUACCCAAUGAUUGGGAGGCAACGGCAUACCCUACACAUACUAUUUACUGUCGGUGGUAAUGAAUCAAUUGCCUACUUUACACAUAUUUUGUUUUCUUCACUUUUUCUUGUCCUGCACUAUUUGGAUUUAUGAGUGAUGGGUGUCGAGUCUACCAAUAUAAACCUAUGCCUAAUUUGCAAUUAAAGCAGUAUAAAGAGUAGGGUCGAUCCCUCAGAGACUGGAUUUACUGAAAAUUAUUUUUCUCUCGACCAGAUUCGUGUCUGGCCAGUUGUCGUGCCCAAGAAAUUUGAGGGAGGAUAAAAAUUGAAAACCUUAAAUAAACAGAAAAAAUGCGUGGAAAGUAAAAGCUGAAAAUAAAAUAAUAAAAUCAAUUAAAUAAAUCUGAAGAAAAAUUAAUUAAAAUUAGCUCAACUUUAGGCACGGGUUUUUCCUCGUCUUUGAACCGAUCCUCGAAAUUAGAUGAACUCCUCUUUCCAAUAAGCUAGUUAUAGCUACCAAGGACGUCUCGGACACCAACUCUUCCUUGUGUAAAUUAGUUAUGGAACGUCCUAUAACUAACCCUUACCGAUCGAACAACUAACGAAACGUUUGUGAUUUAGAACUCCGGCAGCUUUGCGUUCUAGAAGAGCCUAGCUCGAACCAAUGCCCUCAACCGCGUGGGACAUUUAAAUCUGGUUACUACUUCCCUUGAAGGAACCAAAGAACAAUCCCCACUUGGCACGCCAAUGUGUUCACAAAAAACUAAUUAGACAAUCGACCCUUUUGGAAUUCCAACUGUACGUCUAACCACACUAACUCAAACAAAAUCUUUUUUUGACUUAGUGUUGAUUUGACUUUGUGAGUUGACAAAGUCAUACUCUUAACCCAGAGAAAUAAUAAGUACUGAAAAUUAAGAAUUAAAUUGCUCGGGUUUGUAACUCACGGGUCUUGACGAAGUUAACACCGACCUAAAGUUGAAAUGGGUUUAGUUGACCAAGGUUUGGGCCAUGUUGGUAUUGGGCAUAAUUGGAGAAGGUUGAAUAAAUGAAAAAGAAAUGAAAGUAAGUGGGUGAGGGUGAUGCAAGGUUUGGGUGCCAAAGCUAGAAACUAAUAGAUGAAAAAAAAUAUAAGAAAUCAAUGUCAGCCACUAAAUUUGCAAAAAAAGGAAAGAAAAGAUUGAAUUCAAAGGAUAAAAACUUGAUUGAAAACUUGAUGAAUGAAUGAACAUAGUAGCCCCUAUUUAUACUAGUAGCCUUGAACAAAUUUGCCUAAUUAAAGGCCACUAACCAUAGAAAAUUAAGGAAAAAUAUUCCCAUGAUAUAAAAAAUCCCUACAUAAUCUCCCACUAAGUCAAAACAAAAUUUCAGCUAAUUACAUCUUGGGAAAAAUUCCGUUUUGGCCCGCCUUCUUUGCUAUUUUCUUCAAUCUAGCCCAAUUGUUUCCUUUUUCUUCUAUUUAGCCACAAAUUGCACCCCUGCACAAAAUUCAAUAUAAACAUGGAAAAAUCAGUGGUGCACUCUCAUAAAUUAACCAAUUUAAUUACAUAAAAUAUGUAAUUUUAGCAUUUAAUCAAUGAGUAAAAUCGAUACUACUUAUUUUGUGCUAUAUUUUUUAGUUUUCAUAUGACGAUCAUCAAAUUCAUGCUUAUCCAAAGCUGGUGUAUGCAAAACGAUAAAGUUAAUCUUUAUUGCUAGUCUUUCUUCUUUUUACUUUUGAAUACUCUUCUCUUGUUGCUGUCGUUGAAAUAUUGUUGGAUUGUUGAUAUCUUGCUACUUUUUAAUACCAUUUAAAUUUUUUUAAUAUAAAUAUUAAAAUUAUAAUGAUUUUAGUUAUUUAAUUUAAUCGAGUUGUAUAACUUGUCAAUACUUGGAUUUUGAAAAUGAAAAUAAAAAUGAGAGUCGCCACCAAUCUUUUUUGAUGAGGUGUGAUCGGGCCACCUCAAAAAGUGGUUGUUUUUAAUAAACAAUUUGAUUUUAUUAAAAACAACGAUCUUGGUCCACAAAAUUCAGAAAAAUGGGUUCGGGAGUCGGUUACAUACGAGGAAGGAUUAGCACCCUCGUAACGCCCAAAAUUGGUACCUAGUUGAUUAUUUAGUGUCUUAGUAUCGAGAAUUAGAACACGAUCCUUUAUUGAAAUGUUAAAAUUUUUUGAGAAAAGGGCAUAUUUCACGUUAAUCGAGAAAGAGAAUUAUAUCCAGUAAGAUAGGACACAAUGUCUUUGAAUUCCUAAUGUGCGAAUGAAUGCCAAAAAUUUACUUAUUGGAAAGAUAUUUAGCUAUCUCGGAUUUGAAAAAGGGAUCAUGUCCAGUAAGUUAGGACACAAUCUUUUGGGAUCAUGCCCAGUAAGUUAGGACACGAUCUUUUCUUAAUUCCCGAGAUCGUUUAAAACUUGAGAAAAAAAGGGAUCAUGUCCAAUAAGUUAGGACAUGAUUUCUUCUUAAUUCCCGAGAUAAUGAAAACUUGUUUGAAAAUACUUGUAUUCAGAUUUAUCGAGAAAAUCGAAACCCCGUAAGUUAGGGUGUGACUUUUUCAAUUCUUAAAAUACGAAGUUUAACUUAUUUUAAAGUCGUGAUUUAUACCUUAAAUAAAGAAAUAAAACACAAUUCAAUAUGAGUAGCAAAACAAUAAUAAAUACUACGAUGUAAACAUAACGCAAGCAACCACAAAAAAAUAAUAAAUAAAUAAAUAAAAGAUGACAAAACAAUUAUGUAUGAAAUAAUAACAGCUAGGGCUAAAAUAUUUCAUAAAAAUAAUGAUUAACACAUAAAUAAAUAAAUAUAAGAUAAAACAAUAAUAACAAUACGAAAAUAAAUUAAAUUAUAAAAGUAAAAAUUUAUGUAUGUUUAUUUAUAUAUAACAAAGUUUAAAAUGAAAGAAAAGAUAUAAAUAAGUAAAUAAUAAUAUUAAUAAUAACAAAUAAUCUAAAGUUUUAAAGAGAAAAGAUAUAUAAUUAUAUAAUAAUAAUAUAUAAUAAGAUAAAUAUAUUUAAAAUUUAAAUAAGUAAAUAUAAAUAAAAUAUAGUAAUAGUAAUACUUUGAAGGUAUAAAAGGACAUAAUAAAUAAUAAAUAAUAAAAUGAUAUAAUAAGAUAAUUACAUACGCAAAGAAAAAUGCAUAUAUAUAAAAUAAAAAAUAAAGCUAAAAAUAAUACAAAACUAAUUAAUAUAUUAAUACAAUAGUAACGAAUAAAUAAAAGGAAAAUAAAACUAAUAAUAAUAAAUAAUAUUAUUAUCAAAUUAUUAGUUUUAAUAAUAAAAUAACCAAAAUACAAACAGAGGGCUAAAUUGAAUUUAAAAAAUAAAAUUUAGGGUCAAAUCACAAAUAAAUUAAAGGAGAAGGACCACGUUGAAUGCGCAAAUAACAAGAAGGGGCCAAAUGGGCAAUAAUCCCGUCCCUCCAAAACGCACAGCUUCAUUGAGGACCAAAUCGAGAGAAAGAUGAAAUUUUGUGGCAAAAUUAAAAAAUAAAAACAAGAUAGGACCCAAUUGUAAAAAGCCUCAAAAGUGAAAGGACUAGGAGCGCAAAUAACCCCUUUUAUCCAGAAACAUACGGAUCCUAGGCAGUUCGGGUCGGGUCGAUCCGAUCCAGGUCAAAACGACGCCAUUUUAGCUCCCUAUAUAAGUUAAAAAGUUUCAAAAAUAAUCAUUUUACUCUUCCUUCUAAAAAAAAUCAAAAAAAUCCUUUCUUUCCUCCCCACUCUCCAAAAAAUCCAGCCAUGGGUCCGGUGAGGGCUCCGGCCGUAGCCACUAUGCUGGACUCCAGUCGCCGGCGUCAGCGCCUCCGCGCAUGGUGGCCGGUGAAGGCAAAAAGUUGUAUUUUCUAGAUCUCGACCCCCUAAGCUCAAAUUCGUCCUCAAAAUACCCGAAAAACCAAAGAAAAAGGACCACUAGCCUUCUCAAGAACCGAUUCUGUCACCAGAGAAGAAGCCUCCGACGACAAGUACACGAAACGACACUGGUGAGAUCCUCUUCACCUUCUUUUUGUUUUAUUUUUGUAUAUAAAUAAAACCAAAAAAAAUAAAUAAAAUGAAUAAAUAAAAGUCAGUGAACGAAUAUUAAAAAGACUUUGUAAAUUCAUUUUUCUUGAUUCCUUUUUUUAUGUUCGUACAAAAAAAGAAGAAGCCCCCUAAACUUUUAUAACAUAUUUGACUUUAUAGCCAAGAGAAAGAGAAGAAAACAUGAAAGCAAAUCCCCUCUUUUUGCUACUGUUUUUGUGGUCUAUUUCUGCUUUUCUUGGUUGCGUGUUUGCAGGUGACUGUGGCGAGUUGCAGAGGGUAGGUGGGCAGAGGCAUGCGGCGGUGGCAGAAGGCCCUAGGUUCGGCGUACCUAGGGUUUGGCAUUUUCUUUCUUUUUUUUAUUUGGUGUUGGGCUAGGGUUUAUUUUAGGCUAAAUUGGGUUUGGGUCAUAUUAGGCUUGUUUGGUCAACAUUGUAAUUGGGCUUCUAUUUUUUUUUCUGGUAUUGGCCCAGGCAAAAUCUGGGUCUUACACCUUUUAUAGUUAAAAGAAAGUAAAAUAAUAAAAUUUAGUUCAAAAUUGUUGAAGUUAUAAAAUAAAAAAUCAAUUCAAAAAUAAAAAUAUCUUUUGUUCAAUUCUAAUUGAAUUGGUGUCACAAGUUAAUUAACUAUUAAAAUAAGUAAUAUUAUUCAAAGGUAUUUUUUAAAAUUUUUAUGCAAAAUUAUCAAUAAAAUAUGAAUAUAACGGGAUUUGAAGUAAGACUCGUCUACAAAUGAAUUCAAAAUUUUUACUCGAUUCGAUCAAAUAUUCACCCCUAAAUAUUACAUUUUUUGAAUCUUCAUCUUGGUGAACAUAAAAAGGAGAAGUUAUCCUUUGUGUGUAUGUGUGCUUUAGUGUUUCCUUUAAUUGUGUGGCUAAUUAAGUGCUCCUUAUUUCCUUUGAAAACAAAUUUUGAUAGAAAUGAAAAUAAAGAAUAUUGAUAUUUAAAAUGUAAAAAAUAAAAUAAAAUAUUGUUUGAACAUGUAUAAAUUAAUAUUGUACGCAUAAAAUUGAAUAAUAUUUAAUACCAAGAAAAGUAGAAAAAAAAUAUGUUAAAAUAAUAUUUUGGUGAAUCAAAUUUAAUAAUUAAUUUAUAGUUGAUAGUUAUAUACAAUAUGGAUGAUAUAAUAUCCUCUGAAAUCUUCCCUUGGUUGACCAUAAAGGGGAAGUCAUUGUUUUAUGUUUUUUGGUAUUUAUUUGUGAGCCAUACAAAUUAUACAUAAUAAUAGACCUUUUGAAGUCAUCCUCUUCCGUGUUUUGUUCCCGUUAAUUCUGUGGCUAAUUAAGUGCUCUUUAUUUCCUUUUAAAACAAAGUUUUCUUUUCCUUUUUUUUGGUAGAAAUUAAAAUAAAGAUUAUUUAUUUGAACUUUCAAAGUAUAUUUAGAAAAACCCUAAAAUUUUAAAAAUAAUAAUUAAGUCUCUUUUUUUUCAUUUAAUUAAGUACUUGAACUAUCAAAAUACAUCAAUAAGACCCUCAAACUUUUUCAGAAAAAGCAAUUAAGCCCCUACAUUUUUUUUGCACAUUCAAUUGUCAAAAUGCAUCAAAAAGGCAAUUUGACCGUUAAAGCUUACCGCCCCUAAAAUUUUCAAUUAAAGCCACAAUGUGUCACAACCACGUAGUGUGUGGCAAAAAAAUGAUAACAAAAAUUAAAAUCAAUAGAAGUUAUAAAAAUUAUUAAAUUUUAAUAAAAAUAUAAAAAUAGAAAACAUAUAAAAUAUAUAGAAAUAUAAAAAAAUUAUAAAAUUUUAUAAAGUUGUAAGAAAAUUAUAAAUAAAUAUAAAAUUCGUAAAAAAAUUAUAAAAAUUAUUAUACCAAAAGAAGCAUUUUAUAAAUUUUCUAUAAUUUUUGUUGAUUUUUAUUUUUUAUCAUUUUUCGGCACAUGUCACAUUAUGUUGCAACACGUGAGCCUUGUUCAUGCAUUUUAUAAUUUUUUUAUGAUUUUUAUAUUUAUUCUAAUUUUAAUAAAUUUUAAAUACUUUUAAAUUUUAAUAAUAUUUAUAACUUUUAUUGAUUUUUAUCUUUUAUAUACUUUUUACCACAUGUCACUCCGUGAUUAUGACACAGGAUGGCUUUAAUUGAAAAAAAUUAGGGGCAAUUAACUUUAUGAUCAUCUGUUAAAGUUUACGAUCAAAGGGCCUUUUUGAUGUAUUUUAACGGUUUGGGUGUGUAAAAAGCUCUCAAACUUUUCAAAAAAAAGCAAUUAAACCCAUCCUCUCUCUGUUUUUUUUUUGCACUCAAUUGAGCACCUGAACUAUCAAAAUGUAUCGAAAAGACCCUCAAAAUUUUUCAAAAAAGCAAUUAAGCCCCUACUCUUAUAAAAAAUUAGAAAAAAAAUUAUAAAAAAUCAUAAAAAAUAAAAAAUUGUAAAAUUUUAUAAUAAUCAUUAAAAAAUUAUAAAAUGCAUUGCUUGAUUGCUUUUUGUGAAAAAGUUUGAGGGUCUUUUUUUUAUGCAUUUUGGCAAUUCAAGUACCCAAUUGAGUGCAAAAAAAAAGAGUAGGGGCUUAAUUGCUUUUUUGGAAAAAAAAUUGAGGGCCUUUUUGAUGCAUUUUGAAAGUUCAAAUACUUAGUUAAGUGCAAAAAAAAGAAAAAAGUAGGAGCUUAAUUGUUUUUCCUUUUGAAAAAAAUUGAGGGCUUUUUACACUCUUAAACAUUUUAUAAAUGAAUUUUGAUUUUUUGUAGUUUUAUAUAUGAAAUUUUGAUUUGUUUAAAUUCUCAUAAAUUAUUAACAUAACAUCAUUUUAUAUUUAUAUAUUACAUACAUAAAUAAUUAAAUAUUCUCAUGGGCUUAUAAUGGAAAGUACAAUGAAUAUGUACCAACAGAAUGUUUGUGGUCACCACAAAUAUUCUCAUGACAUCAGCCUCCUGCUUCAACACAUACAAUGAGGAUUCCAUAUCUAAAAGUAAAAAGAAUCAUGAAAAAAAUACAAUGCAUAGUAAAUCAAUUGUACAUGUUGUGUAUUAACAUAAUAAUCUUAACCAUAUCGCUCGUUGACUUUCAUGAGACCACAUACAUUAUUGUCCACAACUUCUAAAAUUUGAAUUAUCGUACAUUUUGCAUUAAAAAAUCUCAUGGUAAUCUUAUUUUCAAGUAAGAUACACAUUAUAGGAGAUCAACUCCCCUAAAUGCAUUUUAGGUGUUAUCUUUCAUAAGCUAGUGAUUUUUUCUUGAUUAAUAUAAUCAUGCCUCAAAUCUUAAAGGUACACUUCAUUAGAGUGAGAAGUUCUAAGUUCCUUGUCGAAAUCGUUUUUUGAAAACAAAAAAUUUAGUUGUCGACUUUUAAAAAUAAAACUGGAGUCGUCACCGAUCCUUUUAUUAAGGUGUGAUCGGCCUACCUUAAAAAAAUAUUUUGGCCUACGAAUUUUGAGAAAACGAGUCCGGGAGUCAGUUACGCACGAGGAAGGGUUAGCACCCUCGUAACGCCCAAAAUCGGUACCAAAUUGAUUAUUUGAUGUCUUAGUGUCGAAAGUUAAAAAAGAUUUUAAAAUAAGCUUGAAUGAUUAAAUUUGCAAAAGGAUAACCAAUUGUUCAAGUCCUGUAAAGAAAUCGAGUCCCAAUACGUUAGGGUACGAUUCCUCAUAAUCCCCGAACUUUGAAUAUCACUUUUAUUUUAUGCGAAAAUCUUCAUUUCGAGAAAGUAACAGGCCACACCCAAUACGUUAGGGCACAACAAGUUAAGUUCCCAAAAAUGAUUUUUAUGCUCAUGCAUUUUGAAUAAAGAAUAUUCUCGGUCAUUUAAGAUUAACAAAGAAAAUCAGAACCCAAUACGUUAGGGCUCAAUUUCCCUCGAAAAUCCCAAACCUCAAAUAAUGCUUUUAUUCAAAACAAACCUUUAAAUCAAGAAAAAAAAUGAUUUUGGUAUAUCGAAAAAAACCAAGAUUUAUUUUCCAAAGGGUAUGUUAAAAAUUAAUGUACAAUAUGAAAUAAAUAUUUUAAUUUAAAAUAUAUAUAUAUACAUGUACUUACAAAAUAUGUAAACACAAGCACAAUAUACAAGUAAAUUUGAAAAAAUGUGUAUGCAUAUAUUUAACAUACAUAUACAACACAACUUAUAAUAAUCUCCAACAAUAUGCAUGUAGAUUUCAAAGAAAGUAAGUAUAUGUACAAAAAUAAGGAAAAUACAUAUGUAUUGUAAAAUAUAAGUGUACAUACAUAUAUACUUAUUUAUAAAGGCUAUGAAAACAAAAAAAAGGGAAUAUAUAUAUAUAUAUAAAUUAUGCAUGUAUUAAAAUAUGUAUAUGUAUAUAUGUACAUAUAUGAAUGCAAAAACUAUAGGAAUAAAAUAAUGUAAAAAACAAAUAUGAAAGUAUGAGGAUAUGUAUAUAUUUACAGAAUAAAACAAAUGUAUAAAUAUAUUUAUAUAAUAUAAAAUAUAUAAAAGUUAAAAGAGAUAAAAUAAAAAAAAAUAUAAAACGUAUGUAAAAUGCAUGUAUUUAUAUAAGUUUUAAGAAUAUAUAUUAUAAAGAAAUAUGUAUAUAUACUAUAUAUUAAAAAUGCGUGCAUACAUAGAGAAAUAAUAAUAAAUGAUAAUAAAUUAUAUAGUGAUAAUUUUAAAAAUUCAAAAAUUAAAAAAAAUUGCAAAAAACAAAAAAAAAUGAAAUUAAAAUUGAACGAGGACCAAUUUGAAACGCACGCAUUAUAUGAGGGGGCCCAAAUGGAAAUAAUCCCUUCCCCGAAGCGGUGCGCAGCAAUAAGGACCAAUUUGAACCAAAAAUAAAAUAUGCGGCCCAAUUUACAAAAAGAGCAAAACAGGUUUAAUCGAAGCGCGCUGCAAAAAGGAGGGACCAAUUGCGCAAAUUUCCCACCUGACGUCAGAGCGCGCGGAUCCUCCCCUUCGAGUCUGGUCACCGCGCGGGUCAGGCCUGGGAAAACGGCGCCGUUUUGAUCUGUUAUUAAAAGAGAUUUAAAAAAAAACAUUUCAGCAGAUUGAAAAGAAAAAAAAACAAGGUUCCCCCCUUUUGCUCUGCUAGGGUUUCGCACCCAAACCCCGUCGCGCCGCCAUUCGCCUGGCCAACGCUCCGAUCAUGACGGAGCCGACCACCAGGUAAGUGCUCCCCUUUUCUUUUUUAUGCUAUUUCCUUUUCUUUUUUAAUAAAAAACAUAAAAAUAGAAACAAAAAGAACAAAAAAUAGCGAGGAAAAAAACAAAGAAUCCCGAUUUCACCUUGAAAAACAAAAGAUCUGUACUUUUAAUGUUCUUUUUCUAUUUUCCCCUCUAUUUUUUUUGGUUUUUUACACUGAAUCCCCCCUUUAUAGAUUUGAUAACGACCCUUUUUAUAGCUGAAAGAAAAUAAUAAUAAAUAAAUAUAAAAAUAUUUUCCCAACGAUAUUUGUUGCUUUUGUUGCUAUUGCUGCGCUGUAUACCUCCUUUUUCGCAGGUUUGGAGGCUAAUGGGGAGUGCGCGCAUGCUGGGGAGGGUCGUGGUGCGAGAUUCGUGGCGGCGUGUGAGGGUGAGCGGCGGCGGUGCUGAACCAAAUAGGCUCUUAGGGUUUCUGUUAUUUUGUUUUUGUGUGGGCUAGGUUUUGGGUUAAUGUUUGGCCUAGGUUAAUUUGGGUUUUGGGCCUGUUUAUUGGUUUGGGCCCGGGCAUAUUUGUUUGCUUGGGCCCGGGCAUUAUUGGGCUUGUACAGCUGCCCCUCUUUGCUCAUUAUCGUGUAACGGGAAUAGAGCAAAGACUAAAAGCCCAAUUGUGCCCGGUCUUACUGAGCCUCACCUUCUUUAGUGCUUUUCUUCUUCAAGUAGCAUCAUUCCAACCUACUGCAUCUUCAGAGGUAUAGGAACUAGUGCUUUGAUCCACUCCUACUGCAUCGUCAGAGAAAUAUGAUUUGUACCUUGUAGCUUCUCAAAAGAACAAAAUUUGCUAUCUUUAGUCUGCUCUACUGUAACUUUAGGGAGAUAAGGCUUGUAGCUUCAACUUAUUCUACUGCAACUUUAAGGAUAAGUCUGAUGCGAUCUGCUCUACUACAACUUCAGAGAGAUAAGAUCCAUCAUUUUAAUCCAACCCACUGCAAUAUUAGGGAAAUAGGGUAACUGGCUUCAAUGUACUCCACUGUAAACACAGGGAGGUAAAAUCCACUAUCUUUAAUCUGCUCCACCACUGCUUAGAGAGACAAGAUCUGAAAUCUUCAACCUAUUCCACUGCUGCCCAGGGAGAUAGAAUUACUGGCUUCAAUGUACUCCACUGUAACCACAGGGAGGUAAAACCCGCCAUCUUUGAUCUGCUCCACUACUGCUUAGGGAGACAAGAUCUGAAAUCUUCAAUCUAUUCCACUGCUGUCCAGGGAAGUAGAAUUAUUGGCUUCAAUGUACUCCACUGCAACCUCAGGGAGGUAAAAUUCACCAUCUUUGAUCUGCUCCACUACUGCUUAGGGAGAAAAGAUCUGAAAUCUUCAAUCUAUUCCACUGCUGCCCAGGGAAGUAGAAUUACUGGCUUCAAUGUACUCCACUGCAACCUCAGGGAGGUAAAAUCUGCCAUCUUUGAUCUGCUCCACUACUGCUUAGGGAGACAAGAUCCAAAAUCUUCAAUCUAUUCCACUGCUGCCCAGGGAAGUAGAAUUACUGGCUUCAAUGUACUCCACUGCAACCUCAGUGAGGUAAAAUUCACCAUCUUUGAUCUGCUCCACUAUUGCUUAGGGAGACAAGAUCUGAAAUCUUCAAUCUAUUCCGCUGCUGCCCAGGGAAGUAGAAUUACUGGCUUCAAUGUUCUCCACUGUAACCACAGGGAGGUAAAAUUCGCCAUCUUUGAUCUGCUCCACUACUGCUUAGGGAGACAAGAUCCAAAAUCUUCAAUCUAUUCCACUGCUGUCCAGGGAAGUAGAAUUAUUGGCUUCAAUGUACUCCACUGCAGCCUCAGGGAGGUAAAAUCUGGCAUCUUUGAUCUGCUCCACUACUGCUUAGGGAGACAAGAUCCAAAAUCUUCAAUCUAUUCCACUGCUGCCCAGGAAAGUAGAAUUAUUGGCUUCAAUGUACUCUACUGUAACCACAGGGAGGUAAAAUCUGUCAUUUUUGAUCUGCUCCACUACUGCGUAGGGAGGAAAUAUCUGAAAUCUUCAAUCUAUUCCACUGCUGCCUAGGGAAGUAGAAUUACUGGCUUCAAUGUACUCCACUGCAACCUCAGGGAGGUAAAAUCUGCCAUCUUUGAUCUGCUCCACUACUGCUUAGGGAGAAAAGAUCCAAAAUCUUCAAUCUAUUCCACUGCUGCCUAGGGAAGUAGAAUUAUUGGCUUCAAUGUAAUCCAUUGCAACCUCAGGAAGGUAAAAUCUGCCAUCUUUGAUCUGCUCCACUACUGCUUAGGGAGACAAGAUCCAAAAUCUUCAAUCUAUUCCACUGCUGCCCAGGGAAGUAAAAUUAUUGGCUUCAAUGUACUCCACUGUAACCACAGGGAGGUAAAAUCUGCCAUAUUUGAUCUGCUCCACUACUGCUUAGGGAGGCAAGAUCUGAAAUCUUCAAUCCAUUCCGCUGCUGCCCAGGGAAGUAGAAUUACUGGCUUCAAUGUUCUCCACUGUAACCACAGGGAGGUAAAAUUCACCAUCUUUGAUCUGCUCUGCUGUCUAUACAGGAAGACAAGAUCUGCUAUAUUCAAUCUGCUUCACUGUCUCUGAGGGAGGCGAGGUUGGUGUCUUCGAUCUGCUUCACUGUCGAUGCAGGAAGGCAAAAUCUGUUAUCAUCACUGAUCUGUUCUCUGGGGAACAUGACCUGUAUAAUGAACCUAAUUAUGUCUAAUGAUUAGGAUGGCAUGAUCAAAAUGAAUCAAAUGCUCCUAACUAGGCAUGUAUGAAUGACAUUUGAAUGAAUGCAGAAUGUCAUUAAAAUGAUAUUUUAACACUUAAGUUAUCAUUACUCCAAGUUUAUUAAGGUCUUAUCGCUUAAUGUACUAUAGCGCCUUUAUACUCGACUGGUGAACCCAAUAAGCACUUGACCAGAUUGCCCCCCACUGUAAACCUCCAAGUUUGAUUCGUUGGGAUGCAAAAUUUGUACCAUCUUUUCCCGUUGUAACCCAAGAGUAAAAGAUUUGGCAUUUUCUCAAUCCUCUGCUAUCGCAAUUCAAGGAUACAAGAUGUGAAACUUUUUGGUCUCCUACACCAUUCCCAGGGUGUUGUACCAAAUGCUCAUGCACAAAUGAAGAAAUCUUCUCCAAGAACAACUUCUUCUUAUUACUCGGUGAUCAUUGCUUGUUUGUUCAUUGAAGCUUUGUCACCAACACGACAUCUUGCCAUUUUGUUCAAUUAAUACUUUAGACAAGAAAAUUCAAAGGGAUAAUCUUAAUUUAGACUCUUCUUUAUCAGAUUUCCAACCUGGUGCGUUCUAAACAAUAGUCCUGUUUGAGGUUUCUAUAUUAUUCAGAAACUUCUAGAGUAAUAUGCAAAACUUCCCUUGCGAAAGUUUUAUUAGUCCAUUAAUCAUUAUUCUAAUGCAACAUGCUUGCAGAAAGAUCAUGGAUAAGAAUAGAGUUGGCUCUGAGUAUAGCUCGGAAUGAAUAAAUUGUCAAGGACAAUAAAGAUGGAUAACAAAGAAACUGAUUUAGGAAUGCGUAUCUUGGAAAUGAAUGAAGUGUUCCAAGAAUAACAAAAAUAGUAGAAGGAUUAGGUGCCCCAGAUAUCACAGCUUGAACUUUGCUGUACAGACUUUCUGAAGACCAUUCUGAGUUUAACAUGUUCUUGGAGAUCUACAGUACUUUGUCAAUGCCCCAAGAUGUCGCCUACCAUUUCCUGCUGAUUCAGGUGUAGCAAGACCACUGUAUGCCCCAUUCUGAUCAGUAUUUGAGCUGCUCUGAUAAUUUCAAACGCCAUUUUGAUCAAUCAUUUGAGCCGCCCUUUUCGGGUUUUCAACUCAAAUUUCUUUUGGUCUAAGGCGCACUUUGCGGGUUUUCACCUUAGCCUCUCCAUUUUACUUUUUCAUUUUUCAGUUUUCAUUUUCACUUUUUCAUUUUUCAUCUCAUCAUUUUUCGACUCAAAGUACCUUUGCGGGCUUUUACCUUGGUCAUCCCCUUCUUUAAGCGGAGUAUUUCCUGACUGAAUUUGAGUUUACAGGACUUUGCAGGUUUAUCAUCCAUCUCGCUCAAGAUCAAAACUCCUUUGGAAAAGACCUUCUCUAUAACAUAAUGUUCUUCCCAACUUGGCAUCUGUUCCCCUCCAAAACAUUUCUUUGUAGAAGGAAGAUCUUCAACAUUUGGUCACCCUCGUGGAAUUCUCUGGGAUGAACCUUUUGUUAUAGGCUUGCAUAAUUCAUUUCUAGUACAUCUGACCGUGAUGAAUAACUUUUAGCCUUCUUCAUUCUAUCAAGUUCAAUUGAUCACAUUGCGAUUGGAUCUGUUCUGCUUCAUCCAACUUGCUCAGCCAAUACCCGGAGAGAAAUAAUUUCAACUUCAAUAGAAAAAAAAAUCAUGAUGAACUAAAGAGAGAGGCACUACUCCGAUAGAGUUUUCACCGCAUCAUUCAUGAUAUUGAACAUACUGCAAAUUUCUGAUAUCGUGCUGUUGUUCAGAUUGCAAUGACAGCGCUUAAACCAGGCACAUCCUGGUAUGACCAUGCGAAGACAUCUUUAAAUACUUGAAGUAACCCAACCACGUCUAGAUUUGUUUUUUCGGUCAUGCAUGUUACCUCAAGGUCACAGUCUCUAUUGUCUCAUUUGUUUCUCUUAUUGCUUUACCAUUCUCAACAAGUCAGGAGAUAAGCUACAAUUUAUGACAUCUUCAAAGUCAUGAGAUCCCUCUAAGUACAUGUCUCACCCAAAAGGUAAUUUUGAGUCUGUAGCAGCAUCACUCAUGUCAUUGAUAUUUGGGGACCCAUAGUGGGUACCAAAGAAAAUACAAAAGAAUGUAUGAAUAUGAAUGAACGAAUGAAUGGUUUGACAGAAAAAAUCCAAAAGAAUGAAGAAAAUGUAAAGACUGAAAGAACAUUUGCUUAAAGAUGAUUGCAAUAACGUAUUCAUUAAAAUAAUAAUAUUCAGACGUGAGCCUAUUUCACAAAGAAGUUCUUAUUGCUUCUAGGCUAAAAGCAACAAGUGUGUUCUGAACAUUACUCUAACAAACUCUAAAUACUACAGGGUUUCCUCUGCAGUCCAACUAUUUAGAACAUUCCCAGGUUUAUAAAGGGCAAACAUCUAAUAAGAUCUCUUCUCCAGUUGUUUCUUCGUGUUCGGCACUGAUGUGAACAUUUCCCAACAUUUCUUCAUUCAUCGCAGUCCCUUCAUUAUCCAUAUGAUUGAGUAGCGGGUUUUCUGUACUGAAUGAAUCCUCAAAUUUGACAAUGCCCAUAUUGAUAAACAUUUCGACCAGCUUUCUAAAGGCAGUGCAAUUUUCUAUAGAAUGCCCCGUAAUUCCUGCAUGAUAGUCACAUUGCGCAUUUGUGUCAUACCAUUUGGGGUACGGAGGUUGUAAAGGCUUCAAGUAGAAAGGGGAGACAACAUGUGCAUCAAAUAAACUUUGAUACAACUCCUGGUAUGACAUUGGGAUUGGUGCAAACUGAGACUUCUUAAUGUUUUGCUUUGUGCCAAACUCUUGCCUUGGGGGGAUCUGAUGGCCAGUAGUAACCGUCUUUGGUUGGUUUGCGGUAAUCGGCUUUGAAUAACUCUCGUUAUACCUACCCACACUAUUCACCUCCUUUUUCCUCUUCCUCGAGACUUUUGAAGUAUUGUUUUGGGAGUUCCACUCUUGCCCAUUCUGUUUGUAACGAUCUUCAAAUUGUUUUGAAAACUCUACUUUCGCCUAUUUUGUUUCCACUAGAUCAUCGAGGACAACAGGAUUAGUUAGAUUGCCCCUAAGAUUAGAACCUGAGCCUGUCGCGAAAUUCACCGGUGUCGAGGUAUUGGUCUGGUACUGUGGUCGAAUGUUAACAGUUACCCUUUGUGGAUAUGUGUUUGGUUGUGCUUGAAUGUUUGUUAGGGUAAAGCCUGGAAGAUAUGCAGGGCCUUCAUUAUCAUUCCCAAAGUGGACCACUGGGUUUUUUCCUUUUUCUAACCUCAUAUCCAGUAACUGGGUUAACUGGCUCAUCAAAUUUCUUUGGAUUUCUAGCAUCUGAUCCUUCAUAUCUUGUUAAAAUUUGGCCAAUUGCUCUAGCAUCUGUAUUUGCAUCAGCUCUAAUCUCUCCAUCCUUUGGUCCAUUCCUUUAGUUUCUAUUCGGGUACCGCAGGAAUGUUGGUUUUUUAGCUGAAAUAAUUUUACUCAAUUAGGGUCUUUUAAUGGUCUUUAAUGCACGUGAUGUUGUGUAAUGCAAAUGCAUGAAGUGAAUGCAAAAAGAGACGUUGAUUCUUGGUUCAAUUCUAUUGGAAAAACUUUACUAGAAAAAAAAUCUCUUUAUAUAAAGUAGAUAUAUAUACGAUUUUGCCCUUAUAGGCUGAGUCAUUCGAUCCUCUUCUUCAUUCAAGCAUUAAGAUAAAUAUCACGAACUCUUCAAAAGUGAUGUCUCUUCUAUCUCCUUUUUACUUGAUCCGGGCCGUGACUCAUUGCUCCUUUAUCGUUGUGAUGCUCGUUGGCUUCCCUUUAAAAAAAAGUUCAGCGGCUCUCGAUUAAUCUUCGUCAGCUUGAGUCUUCGGGCAACGGAACAAUAGUUGUGUAGUCCUCCAUUAAACUAUUAUCUUUCCCUUGUUGUGUUUUCUCAGAACAUAUUCGGGCAACCAUAUUAUUUUCCACUUUAUCAAGAAACCCAUUUCCUUAUGACAAGCUUUCUAAUCUAGUAAUCGAACUCAAAUCAACAUCUCUUUUCUAAGAUGCAAAUGCAAUGCAAUCAUGAUGUCAUGCAAUCAAAACAAAAUAAACACAAGUCAGUAUCACACCAAAAAGAUAUAAUCCAAUACAUACAUGAAAUAGCAAGAACAUUUAUUCAGGAAUCCACUAGGAUUUGGUAUAGCUCUACCUAGGGCAAGUUCCUAAAGCUCACUAUAUGAGGCUUAGUUUCUAGAGUAAGGGUACCCAAACCAACAGAUUCCUCGAUCCUCACCCAUUAUAGACUCAUGUGGAUCGAGUUCAGUUCAGGGGGAUACAUUUCCCUAUGGCUGCACGGAGAUGAAAAUCUCAUGAAGACAUAAGUACGGAUGUAUCCCGGAAGCGGUCCACUACCCUGCACGGAGGUGAAAACCUCACGAAGGACUAGUUUCUCGCUCCCACUUAAGAGGGUAAAACUGACCAUGUAAUGUAAAAUGCAAAUGCAAAGUUGCCAAAAUACCAUGAUAAAACAUCAAUGAGCGUGAAGGGAACUCAUGAAUUUUUUAAAAAACUUUUGAUUUUCGACACAAAGACAAAUAUAAUCAGUUUAUGGCUCGACUCUCUAAAGUCCCCAGCGGAGUCGCCAAGCUGUCGAAACCGUUUUUUGAAAACAAAAAAUUUAGUUGUCGACUUUUAAAAAUAAAACUGGAGUCGCCACCGAUCCUUUUAUUAAGGUGUGAUUCGGCCCACCUUAAAAAAAUAUUUUGGCCUACGAAUUUUGAGAAAACGAGUCCGGGAGUCAGUUACGCACGAGGAAGGGUUAGCACCCUCGUAACGCCCAAAAUCGGUACCAAAUUGAUUAUUUGAUGUCUUAGUGUCGAAAGUUAAAAAAGAUUUUAAAAUAAGCUUGAAUGAUGAAAUUUGCAAAAGGAUAACCAAUUGUUCAAGUCCUGUAAAGAAAUCGAGUCCCAAUACGUUAGGGUACGAUUCCUCAUAAUCCCCGAACUUUGAAUAUCACUUUUAUUUUAUGCGAAAAUCUUCAUUUCGAGAAAGUAACAGGCCACACCCAAUACGUUAGGGCACAACAAGUUAAGUUCCCAAAAAUGAUUUUUAUGCUCAUGCAUUUUGAAUAAAGAAUAUUCUCGGUCAUUUAAGAUUAACAAAGAAAAUCAGAACCCAAUACGUUAGGGCUCAAUUUCCCUCGAAAAUCCCAAACCUCAAAUAAUGCUUUUAUUCAAAACAAACCUUUAAAUCAAGAAAAAAAAUGAUUUUGGUAUAUCGAAAAAAACCAAGAUUUAUUUUCCAAAGGGUAUGUUAAAAAUUAAUGUACAAUAUGAAAUAAAUAUUUUAAUUUAAAAUAUAUAUAUACAUGUACUUACAAAAUAUGUAAACACAAGCACAAUAUACAAGUAAAUUUGAAAAAAUGUGUAUGCAUAUAUUUAACAUACAUAUACAACACAACUUAUAAUAAUCUCCAACAAUAUGCAUGUAGAUUUCAAAGAAAGUAAGUAUAUGUACAAAAAUAAGGAAAAUACAUAUGUAUUGUAAAAUAUAAGUGUACAUACAUAUAUACUUAUUUAUAAAGGCUAUGAAAACAAAAAAAGGGAAUAUAUAUAUAUAAUAAUUAUGCAUGUAUUAAAAUAUGUAUAUGUAUAUAUGUACAUAUAUGAAUGCAAAAACUAUAGGAAUAAAAUAAUGUAAAAAACAAAUAUGAAAGUAUGAGGAUAUGUAUAUAUUUACAGAAUAAAACAAAUGUAUAAAUAUAUAUAUAUAAUAUAAAAUAUAUAAAAGUUAAAAGAGAUAAAAAAAAUAUAAAACGUAUGUAAAAUGCAUGUAUUUAUAUAAGUUUUAAGAAUAUAUAUAUUAUAAAGAAAUAUGUAUAUAUACUAUAUAUUAAAAAUGCGUGCAUACAUAGAGAAAUAAUAAUAAAUGAUAAUAAAUUAUAUAGUGAUAAUUUUAAAAAUUCAAAAAUUAAAAAAAAUUGCAAAAAACAAAAAAAAAUGAAAUUAAAAUUGAACGAGGACCAAUUUGAAACGCACGCAUUAUAUGAGGGGGCCUAAAUGGAAAUAAUCCCUUCCCCGAAGCGGUGCGCAGCAUUAAGGACCAAUUUGAACCAAAAAUAAAAUAUGCGGCCCAAUUUACAAAAAGAUCAAAACAGGUUUAAUCGAAGCGCGCUGCAAAAAGGAGGGACCAAUUGCGCAAAUUUCCCACCUGACGUCAGAGCGCGCGGAUCCUCCCCUUCGGGUCGGGUCACCGCGCGGGUCAGGCCUGGGAAAACGACGCCGUUUUGAUCUGUUAUUAAAAGAGAUUUAAAAAAAAACAUUUCAGCAGAUUGAAAAGAAAAAAAAAACAAGGUUCCCCCCCUUUCGCUUUGCUAGGGUUUCGCACCCAAACCCCGUCGCGCCGCCAUUCGCCUGGCCAACGCUCCGUCACGACGGAGCCGGCCACCAGGUAAGCACUCCCCUUUUCUUUUUUAUGCUAUUUCCUUUUCUUUUUUAAUAAAAAAUAUAAAAAUAGAAACAAAAAGAACAGAAAAUAGCGAGGAAAAAAACAAAGAAUCCCGAUUUCACCUUGAAAAACAAAAGAUCUGUACUUUUAAUGUUCUUUUUCUAUUUUCCCCUCUAUUUUUUUGGUUUUUACACUGAAUCCCCCCUUUACAGAUUUGAUAACGACCCUUUUUAUAGCCGAAAGAAAAUAAUAAUAAAUAAAUAUAAAAAUAUUUUCCCAACGAUAUUUGUUGCUUUUGUUGCUAUUGCUGCGCUGUAUACCUCCUUUUUCGCAGGUUUGGAGGCUAAUGGGGAGUGCGCGCAUGCUGGGGAGGGUCGUGGUGCGAGAUUCGUGGCGGCGUGUGAGGGUGAGCGGCGGCGGUGUUGAAGCAAAUAGGCUCCUAGGGUUUCUGUUAUUUUGUUUUUGUGUGGGCUAGGUUUUGGGUUAAUGUUUGGGCUAGGUUAAUUUGGGUUUUGGGCCUGUUUAUUGGUUUGGGCCCAGGCAUAUUUGUUUGGUUGGGCCCGGGCAUUAUUGGGCUUGUACAUUCCUUAUUUGCAAUUUUGGUUUCUAUCAUUGUGUGCACCUUUGAUUUGAUAAAAUAUAUAUUGUUUUAUAUCCAUUCUUUACAGAUGUGUGAAUAAUUUCUAAAACUUGCAAUACUGUUACAAGUAGAGUUUUAUUUCAUUUAUAUUUCUUAUAUCUAUAAAUAUAAUUUUUUAUAAGUAUUGAUAAUAUCCCUAUUAAUCAAUAAAAUAUGUACUUCUCUCUUGCUAUUUUAUUUGUAAUUCUUUUUCUCUCCUUAUUAUUUAUUUCAUAACAGUAUUAAUAUAUUUUAAUUUUACGGUUUAUUUUUACUAAUAAUUAUUAAAAAAAAUCAAAUUGACCUUUUAAGGAAAAAUUAUAUUUUCAUCAAUAGAUGAUAUUUUUUUAGAAUAAUGAAAAUGUUAUUUGUUGACACCAUUUUUUGAUAAAAACUGGGUCGACUUGGAUUUUGAAAACAAAAACGAAAAUGGGAGUCGCCACCAAUCCUUUUUGAUAAGGUGUAAUCGGAUCACCUUGAAAAGUGGUUGUUUUUAAUAAAUGAUUUAAUUUAUUAAAACAACAAUUUUGGUCCACAAAAUUCAGAAAGACGGGUUCAGGAGUCGGUUACGUACAAGGAAGGUUAGCACCCUCGUAACACCCAAAAUUGGUACCUAGUUGAUUAGUUAAUGUCUUAGUGUCGAAGAUUGAAAACUUUAAAGAGAUUUAAAAUACGAUCCUUUAUUGAAAUGUUGCAAAUUUUUGGGAAAGAGGGCAUAUUUCACGUUAAUCGAGGAAAAUAAUCAUAUCCAGUAAGUUAGGAUACAAUAUCUUGAAUUCCCGAUGUGCGAAUGGAUGCCAAAAAUUUACUUAUUUAAAAGGUAUUUAGUUAUCUCGGAUUUAAAAAAGGGGAAUCAUGCCCAGUAAGUUAGGACACGACCCCUUCUUAAUUAUCGUUAAUUUAAAAUUACUCGCAUAAAACAAAAAUGGAAAACGCCUCCUUAUCUCGAAGUUACAAGAUGUCACAUCCAAUAAGUUAGGGCCCGACAUCUCGUAGUUUGAGAAUAAGUUUGCCUUUCAUUUUUUAUUUAAAUCUCAUUUGUUUUAAUUUUAAAAGGAUAUUCGGUUAUUUAGGACCAACGCGAGAAAAAUCGAAGCUCAGUAAGUUAGGGCACAAUUUCUCGAAUUUUCUAAAUAUGGAAUAUUGCCUUUAUUUUCAAGAUUUUACCCUUUUGAAUUUUGAGUACGAAUUAAUGGAAUAUUUAAAAACCAAAUGCGUGCAAUUUUGAUUAUAUUUGAAAAGAAAUCGUUUAAAACGAAAAGGAUGUCGUACACGAUCUGUAACAAAAUAUACAACAUACAUUUAAAAUCCAUAACAUAAUAUGCAUCAUAAAAUAUACACAUAGCAUUGAGACUAAUAAAUCCUAAUGAUAACAUGCAUGAAUAAUAAUAAUAAUAAUAAUAAUAAUAAUAAUAAUAAUAAUAAUAAUAAUAAUAAUAAUAAUAAUAAUAAUAAUGCAAAUGACAAUAUAAUAGCAACAAUAAUAACAACCACAAUAAACAUAAUACUAAUGAAUCUAAAGUUUGAAAAGUAUUUAAAGAUAUCAAAUAAAUAAAUGAUGGAAUAAAAUUGUAAUAAUAAUGACAAAAAUAGAAUAAACAAACCAAAUUCUAAAAAAAAUAAUUAAACCAAAAUAAAAUUAUUAAAACUUUGACCAAAAAAUGGAAAUAAGUAAAUAAAUAACCUUAACGGAAAUAUUAAAUAAAACUGAUUUUUUUAAAAGAAUAUAAAAUAAAAAAUAAAAUAAAAUUCGUGGUUUAAUAGGCCGAGGAUCAAAUUGCAAUCAGACUCAAAUUUCGAGGGCAAAAUCACAAAAUAAGAAAGAUAGGAUUGCGAGGGACCGAACUGAAACACGCUUGAAACGUGAGGGACUUAUAGGGAAAUAUUCCCCAGCCCUAAAAAGCGGCGUUUAACCGAGGGAGCUGCGCAUGGUCUAAGGACCGAAUUGAAUAGGGAGCAAAAUUUGCGGCCCAAUUCCAAAAUAACUAAAAGGAUUAGAUUGUGCUAUGUUGUAAAGUCGAAGGGACCGCAUGCGCAAAUAUCCCCUCAUAUCAGAAAACGUGCGGAUCCCAUGAAUGCGGGUCGGGCUUAGGCCAAACGGCGUCAUUUUGGCCACUGAUGCUAAAGUCCAAAAUGGCAUUGUAUUGACCCCAUAUAAAGACAAAAAAAAUAAAUUUAAAAAAAAUUGAAAUUUUAUUUAAAAAAACAAAAAACAGAUACCCUCUUAGUCUUCCUUGGUCUCUCUCAGCCUUUCCCUGGCCGGCCAUGGUCGCCACCGUAGCGCCGCCAUGGCCGGUGGCUGGUGCUGCGCGAGAGGGGGCUUUUAACCGCACCUUAGAUCCCACUCGAAGGCCAAGCCUUCUUGACCCAAAAGGCUGAAGGAAAAGGGAGUUUCACACCCCUUUUGGUUCGAUUUCGGUGACCCAAAAUGGCCUCCGGCGAUGGCUCGUGGGACUGUUUCGAGUAAGUUCCCCCCCUUUUCCUCCCUUUUUUAUUUCUUUGUUAAUCAUUUUUGCAUGAUUUUGUAAAAAGAAUUAGUAAAUAAUAAUAAAAUAAAAAGAAAAACAAAGAGAGAACAACAACCUUUUAGACUUCUAUUAUGCUUUUUGAUUUCUGAUGUGUGUGGAAAAAAAAAUACAGAGGUGAAAUUUGGGCUCUUAUAGCCGGAUCUAAAUAGCUCUUAAUCAUUAUUCUUUGUCGUUUUCCUAUUUGUUUGUUGUUUUUUUGUUUCUGCUGUUGCGUGUGGUGUAACAGCUCGGUUUAGACCCUAGUCGGAACAGUGGUUUUGGGACCACAAAUCCAAGUUAAAAAAAAUUUAAUAUUAAAUUUGGCAUUUGCAGUAUGUGAAUUAAUAUGUGUGAAAAUUUCGUAUGAAAAUUUAAUUGUUUGAGUGCUCAAUUUGAUAAAAGAACUUAAUCGCGUAAAAUGAAAAAGUGACUUACUAUUUGUGAAAGUGCUAUAUUGCUAUGUUCGUUUAAUGUGGAGGCCUUAAAAUGAAAUUAGGCCAUUAAAUGAUAGAAUGGACGGUAGUGGACAACUAUUUUUAUGUUUUUAUAUUAUUUCAUUUAGGUUAAAAAGGUAAAAUGACAUAUUAAUAAGAAAUAAAAUAAAACAAAAUAUAAAAUGGCCAUUAUAUUCAUCUUUAUCACCGAAUGCAUGAAAGAAAAUAAGCCAUUUUCUUAGUUUGAGGGUUCGGCAACUUGAAUAUCAAAUUCGGGUAUGUUCUUUGUUCGGUUUUUGAUAAUUUUUAUAUUUUUGUGAUCGUUGCUUCGAGUGCUAGCAAACCCAUGUUUUAAUUUUUGAAAUUGAUGAUGAAUUUGGUAUUUUCCAUUGAUGUUAGCUUGAUGUUUUUGUGGUUUGAUGAUGAAAUAUAAACUUUUGUUGAUAGAUUAUUAUGUUUAAUUAAGUGAUUUUUGAUAAAAAUGUGUAUUAAGGAUUAAAUUGAGAAAAGUGUAAAAUUCAAGGUUAAAUGUGUGAAUAAACUAAAAAUGUGGGCUGCUAGUAGUAUGGGUAGAAUUCGGCCUAACAAGGAUUUAGUGAAAUUUUGUGUAUUUUAUGUUAUUUUGAAAUAAGAACUAAAUUGAGAAAAAUGCGAAAUGUUAGGGGCUAAAAUGAAAAUUUCCAUUUAUAUGUUCUUGAAUGGAAAUUGAAUGAAAUGUUGAAUAAUUAAGUUAAUUUUGAUAUUAAUUAGAUUGGAAAAAAGUAGAAAUAGGAUUUGGAUCGGGAAAAUCAGAAGUUAUCGAUUAGUCAUUCCGGUCCGUUCACGUCCGUACGAGGUAAGUUCAUAAGUAAAUAAAUGCUAAUAAAUUUGAAUGUAUAUAUGUUAUAUGUGUUGAAUUGAUCUUUAAUAAAUAUAUGUGUAUAUGCCGAAUUGAAUUUAGAGUUGGAGAACUAGUUACGAGCUUGAAUCGAUAGAAUUACGACGUCCGAAAAGCCCCCUACGAACCAUAGGAAUAGUUAGGAUACAUAUGACAUAACAUAGGAUUCCGAUAUGUGUUAUCGUGUAAGACUAAGUCUUGGACGUUGGCAUCGGUUUGAAAUUUAUGUGUAAGACUAUGUUUGGGACAUCGGCAUCAUAUUUGAUUUUGUGUAAGACCCUGUCUGAGAUAGUGACAUCGAUAUUAAUUACAUGUAAGACCACGUCUGGGACGUUGGCAUUGUACGAGUUUUUUUUAGCUAUCCAAGUAUCCUAUUUGAUUCCGAACGGUUCAACGGGCAUUCUGAGAAAUAAAUGAGUAUAUGAAUGUGCAUCUGAAUCAGGUAUGUUGUGAUGAAUAUGAAUUUGAGCAAUGAACGUGAGUAUGAUUAUGAUCAUUCGUUAUAUAAUUUAUGUGAAAAUGAGAUGUGAAUAUUAGCAAGGGAACUAUGAACAAAUUAAUCAUAUAAGAAAUGUAGAAUUGUAAUUGUGUUUUUGCCAUAUAUGAUUUAGGUACAAAUGAUUUGUAUAUGAAAUUUUGAUAUGAAAUGUGAGUAUGAUUAAAAUGAUGAUAUAUAUGAAAUAUAUGAUAAUGAAUGAUGUGUUAUAUAUGCUCGUGGAAAGGGAGGCAUUUGAAAGGAUUCUUUUUUUUUUUUUUUUAAGAGAAGAGUGAAAAAUGAAAAAUUUUAACAAAUUUUUGGCUUUUAUAGCCUAAAUGAAACGGCGCCGUUUUAGCCCCCAUGACCCGCGCGCGAUCCGACCCGCUCCAGGGGUGAUCCGCGUGUUUUCAUGAAAUGGGUUAUUUGUGUGCGCAAUCCUUCCUCUUUGCGGUGCAUUGCAAUUCGGCCCUUUUUCAUUAUUUUCUUUUAUUUUUAAUUUAUCCCCAUAAUUUUGUUUUCGUUUUAAUUUGGUCCAUUUCAGCUCAGCAUUUUGGGGGCUUUGGUUUAUUUACCCUGUUAGCCCUUGCCUUGUCAGCGCGCGUUGCAAUUUGGUCCUUCCCGAUUUUUUUACUCUGAUUUUGCCUAAUAUUUUCGUUUUUAUUUCGAUUUAGUCCAUAUUUUAGCAAUUUUAUUAUUUAGUUGUUAUUAUUGUUAUUAUUAUUAUUAGUAUUAUUAGUAUUUCUAUUAUUAUUUAUAUUAUUGUUACUUAUUAUAUUAUUAUCAUAUGAUAGUUUAAAUAUACGUACAUGUAUAAUAUUAUUAUUAUUAUUAUUAUUUCCUUUUUAGACUUAUUUAAUAUAUAUAUAUAAAUACCUUUUUAUAUGUAUAUAUAUAUAAGUUUUUUUUCCUUUCUGUUUCUCACGAAUAUAUAUGUAUAUUUAUAUAUAUAUAUUAUAUGGUUUCUUUUAUAUCUAUUUAUAUAUAUAUAUUUAUUUAUCUUAUUUUAUUUUUUAUAUAUCUCACAUAUACAUUUUUUAUAUAUAUUUUUUAUGUAUAUAUUUUUUUAAUAUUUAUAUGAAUUUACGCAUCUUAUUUAUAUGUUACGGCUUAUUAUUCCGCAUGUUAUCAAUUUGUUCUUUUUAUUUAUUUUAGUUAUCAUUGCCCGUAUUAUUUUUAUACUUUCGUAUUCGUUAUGAUAUUGCCAUGUAUAUCAACAAUGUAAUUUGCUUUCACAUUUUUACUACGAUUUUCAUGUUUUAUUUUACUCGAUAUAACAAAAUUUGUUUUGAAUAAAUAAUAUUUCGUGUUUAGAUUCGAGAGGAUCGUACCCUAACUUAUUGGGUUUCGAUUUUCACGAUAAAUCUAAAUGCACAAAUCUUUUCAAACUCAAAUUUUAAACGAUCUCGGGAUUUUAAAAAGAAUCGCGUCCUAACUUACUGGUCGUGAUCUCAUUUUUAAAUCCGAGAUGGCUAAAAUAUCUUUUAAAUAAGUAAAUUUUAGUAUUUUUCAUUCGCGUAUCGAGAAUUCGAGACAUUGUGUCCUAACUUACUGGAUAUGGUACUCUUUCUCGAAUAACGUGAAAUAUGUUUCUUUUCCCAAAAAUUUUCAUUUUAAUACAAUGAUCGUAUUUUUAAUUUUUCCAAGUUCUCAAUUUUCGACAUCAAGACAUUAGUUAAUCAACUAGGUACCAAUUUUUGGGCGUUACGAGGGUGCUAAUCCUUCCUCGUAUGUAACCGACUCCCGAACCCGUUUUCUAAAUUUCGUGGACCAAAACCGUUGUUUUAAUAAAAUCAAUUUGUUUAUUAAAAACAACCACUUUUCACGGUGAUCCGAUCACACCUCAAAAAGGAUUGGUGGUGACUCCCGUUUUUGUUUUCAAAAUCCAAGUCGACCCCGUUUUCAAUCAAAAAAAUGGUGUCAACACCAAAGAUAUUUGGCACAAACGAUAUGGACAUCUGAGUUACAAACAUUUGGCAUUAUUGCAUAGCAAAAAAUUGAGGGCUUUUUACACCCUUAAACCUUUUAUAAAUGAUUUUUGAUUUUUUGUAAUUUUAUAUAUAAAAUUUUGAUUUGCUCAAAUUCUCAUAAAUUAUUAACAUAACAUCAUUUUAUAUUUAUAUAUUACAUGCAUAAAUAAUUAAAUUUAUUCAAUAGAAAAAUAAAUUACUGUAUUUAUUUUUUAAAAUUUAUAUAAUUAAAUAAAAAUAUAUAGAUACCUCCUUUACUAUACACAAAUUUUCAAUUAGAAGAAAAAGGCUUAGAGUUUUGGAAAUUUUAAUCAGAAAUUUUCUGAUUGGAAAAACAUAAAGGGAGAGGGUGACGGAAAUAAUUAUAGGAAUUCUCAUUUAUUCCUUUCCAACCCGGCCCCUUUAUUUAACACAUCCAUCCACACAAGAAAACCUCCUAAAAGUUCUGCAAAAAUACACAAACAAAGCUACAAAAAACUCAUACACAAGAUCAAAACCCAAACCAAUUUGCAGAAAGGUAUUAGUUUUAAAUAAAAGUCAUGUCACUUUUUAAUGUCUAAAAUUCAAGCAUAUUCAAAUAUUCAUCAUUUUAUUUUCCAAAACUCGAAGCAUAAUGGAGGAGCCUUGAAUAAAGGGUGUAUCAUCGGGCAUGUAAGCACAAUUCUUUUCUUUUUGAAAAGAUGCAAUCUCUCAUGCCUAAAAUUUAACCGGGAAAAUAUUGGAAUGAAAAAGGAAAAAAAGAAUGACAUGAACAAAUAUUAAUAAUAACAUCUUUAAAAAUCAUUAAAAAUGACUUCCAAAAUGAUCUUAAAUAAACUGGCAUCCAAAUUAAUUUAUAUCUAAAUAAUUAUUUGUCCAGAUUCAUUUGGGAUAUAAUUUAAAAUAUUAUAAAAUAUUAUUAAAAAUAUAAGUAAACUUUAUAAUAACUAUUAAUGCUUAUUUAAAAAAAAAAUUCAAACAAGAAAUACAACAAUAUUCAUAUUUGGUUAAAGUAACAUAUAUAGAGAAUCUUUGUACCUCAGGUUAGAUCGCGUUUAUACCUCAGGUUAGAUUAAGUUGUUAUAAAAUUAAAGAAAAAAAUAUAGAUAUCCUACUUGUUAGUAAAUUAAGUUGUUCAUGUUAAUUUUCUUCUACGUGACACAAGUUGUGUCACAAUUUUUGUGAAUUAAUUUGAUGGUCAGGAUACAAAUUCUCUCAGGUGUGGCCUGAGUUCGAAUUAAGUUAAUCGUGUUGUUAACUUGUAAUUCAAAAAAAAAUCUAGAAGAAAAUAAAAGAGUUGUUACAUUGACAUAUUACAAAGGGGCGUUACAAAAUUGAGAGCACCGCAUUAUGCAUAAUCGACCUAGACUAAGGAAUAGCCAACAUCCUAUUAAUGCAACAAAGUAGCUUAAGUCAAUACUAGUGAAGAAGCCAUUACUAGUAUAAACAAAACUUGCAAAUAAACAAAAGCAUACAAUAAAAAUAGUUCCUUUCCAAAAUUCAUCAUAUAAAGUAAAGAAUAUCGCCAAUCCUUGACCUACGCCCAUACCUAGUGCUGUUAUAGAAAUAAUAUUAUGAAAAUAAUUGUUAUAGAAAGAAAGGAAUAUCCAACAUCCCACUAUUAAAACACUAACUUUUGACACCCGAUUUACGAAACACAUGGACACCAUUAAAAUGAAAAGAAUUCCUGAAAAUAUAUUAAGAGUUCUAAUUGUUAUAUCGGUGGGGGCUAUGCAAGAUAUUGAUUUAUCGAAGGACACUGCAAAAAACGCUAAUAGUACUUGAAGUGCAGUCCUAAAAUUACGGGGAAAAGUUUUGAGUAGAGCUAAUGUUAGGAAUAAUGUUACGAGGAACACAAGGUAGGUUGGAAUACAGAAGAAAAAAAAUUCCGAUUGACCCAUGACUGAUGACCCUAGUACCCGUGCAUCAUAUGAUCCUUUCGACUUUGAGGUAUUUUCACCUUGCCAAACACCACCAGGUGGGCUUAGAGUGGCUUGGUAGGUUGCAGUUAGAAGCAGUCCUAAAAUGACUAGCAAGGCAUUGCGGUCAUCGGCUGAUAUAUUGUCCAUAUUUUGAAAUAUUAGCAGUGAUGCUUUUGUCACAUACUUGACAACAUGUUUCUCCAACUUAUGUUUAAGGUUUGAAAUUACUGGAAUAAAGAACCCUUGCAGAAUAGCAAUGUUUUCUCUGAUAUUAUGUUGUUGUGCAACAGCCAGUGCGGUCAACCCAACGUGAUUGGUAGCAUGCUUAUCAGCCUUGCAAUUUAAUAGUACUUUAAGCAUCUGUUCAAUUGAUAGUUUAGGAUAUAAAAAGGAUAGAAUCAAUUAAUCAUGUCUAUGAAGUAAAAACGAAAAAAGAAUCUAUGUAAUAUGAAUUACUAUAGAAGCAGUUGAGUCGAACCUUGGGUUGAUUAUGGAUAGCGGCUAUGUGAAGUGCAGUGUUUCCAUCUUUGUCUUUCCGGUUCAGCACUUCCCGAGAAUAGUCUUUCCUCUUAAGCGUUGGAAUUAGGAGUUGGAGAACGUCCAGUCUAUUGUUUUGGAUUGCAAUAUGCAAAGCAGUGCGAUUCUCAAUUGUAACAUCUUGGAUACAAUCAGGAGAAGCUUCCAGAAACGUAUCCAACAGACCAAGCUGGUUUCCAACUUUACAUAAGUAGUGCAAUGGAGUCUUACCUUUCUUUCCUCUGACGCGAAUAAGUUGUUUAUCAAUCUCCAAGAAGCGGAGUGCCAUCUCUUUAUGCCCUUUUCUAACCGCAAUGUGAAGUGGGCUCAAACCUUGGUGGUUCAGCUUUCGAGAAAAUGAUGGCUUUAAGUUCAUCAUCUCCAUUGCAAACUCGAUGCACCCUUCUUCUGCAGCUAUAUGUAAUGGAGUGUCAAUAAACUCCACCUCAUCAACACGCCUCAAAACAUUUCCAUUUCUUUGAAUUACUCUAUACAAUUCGUUAACCUUUCCAGUACGAGCGGCCUUUCUUAAAUUUUCAUCCAUGUGAGGAAGACUAAAAAUUGAAAGGUUGAAAGGGUUUAAGGUCACUUAAAACAAUUUAUUCAAAGAGAAAGAGGGUUUUUUUUUUUAAUAGAAAGAGAAUUAAAGGCAGACAAAUGCGUGUAUAUUUAUGGUCUUGAUUUUUGGGGUUUCGCCUUUAGUAGAGGAUUGUUGUAAAUAUUUUUGUUAUGACUUUCUAUUUUAAAGUUAAGAAAUGCUUUCUUCCAUUGACUUCACUUCCAAAUUUAUUUUUUGCUUUGUUUAUAUAUUCAUACUCAAGAUUCCAAUUGCUACUUUAAAUGGCAGCCACUCAUGAGAACAAGAUAACAUUAAUUUCAUGAAAAAUGCAUCAAAGAAAAUUAUUCGUAUUCUUACCAAAUGAGAAUUGAUUGUAUGAAAAAUUCCAUUUAGUUCCCUUAGAAUUUUAAUCCUUUAAAAAUUAAAAGAUAUAUGCUGUUAAAAUGAUAAAAUUACAUUUUUACUAUCGUAAAAAUAUACAAUUUAAUUUCGACUCCCAUAAAAAAAAUUUAGUUUCACCCUUGAGUCCAAUGCGCAAUGUGUUAUAAAUGGAAAUAUGACAUAAUUGUUAAUAACUCAAAAUUUGUCAUGUUAAAUCACCGAGAAUAAAUUAAUAAUAAAACAAAAAGUAGAAGCGUACAUGAAUCCAUUAAAAUCUUGAAAUUUUAUUGUUUUGAUCUUUCAAAUUAACACACAAAUAUUUUAGAAAAGGUGACUCUUCUUUCUGAAUAAAUCAAUCUUUUUAUUUCUUUAAACGUGAAGAAUUGGAUCAAAAUUAAAGUUUCGUGUAUGCCUUUAAACUACAAUCAAAGUUUCAUGUAUAUAAUGUAUAAAAUUAAAGUUUUUGUAUCAAUUUGCAUAUCUAAUCAAUGUUCAUGUACAGUUUUGAAAUUUAUCACUUUUAAUAAUUUUGAAUGUGUAUUUAAUAAUUUUGAUUUUUUAAUUCUAAAAAUAUGGUUUAAGUAAGUUUAGAAUUAAAAAAAAGAAGAAGAAGAAGAAAUUUUUGGGUAUCUUUAGGAAUUUUAGAGACCAUAAUGUGUUUUAUUUAUAUUUUUUAAAUUCUUUUAAAAAUAUUAGUUAACUAUACUUUUCAACCUCUUAAUCUCAAAUGUGGAGUUAAAAAAAUUCUAUUAUCUAUAUAUCAAAUAAUUAUCUUUAGAAUAAAAUGUAUUUAUAUGAAAUUUUUUAGAGACCAUAAUGUAUUUUAGGGUCUUUUAGAUAAUUUUAGAAUUUUAUGAAAAAACUUAACAACUUUUUGGUAUUUUAGGGUCUCAAAUGAAUAUUUGAAUGUCUAACUUUGACAGAUCAUUUAUUUUUAAUAAACUUGAGCUUUUUCCAUUUCUUUUUCUAACUUUAUAUGUUAUUAUAGAGUUUAAUUUAGAACCCAUUAAAACUUUGGGGAUGAUAUCUACCCAUACUUAUUUUAAGUAAUUUAUUGAUUUAAUACCCGAACACUAAAUAAUAAAUAAAUUUAUUAAAAUGUCCUCUUAUAUACAAAAAAAAAAAUUAUAUUUAAUGGGGAUAUCUUUAUCUUUUUAUAUGAUAAAUAAAAAAAUUGAUAAUAAUAAUGGUACAUAAUAAACAUUUAAUUUUACUACAUCAAUUUACUUUUAUAUGAAUUUUUAAUAAGUAUGUUUGUUAUAUAAUAUUUUUCACUCAUAGUGUAUCAUAAAAUUUUAAAGUAACUCAUAAUAUGAUAUUAAUCUCUAAUGUUAAUCUAAUAUUUAUCCUAAUAUUGUCAUCAGCACCAAGAAGAAGAAGAAGAAGAAAACAGAAACUCUAUCUUAUUACCUAAUCGAAUUUUGAAAAAAUAAAUCUAAAAUAUCAUUUAAAACUCUAAUUAUGUAUUAAGUUAUUGGUAUGUUAAAAUCACGAUAGAAAUGUGAAUUCUGGUUAAAAUAAGUCAACAGUAUUAUUGUAAGUGACUUAAGUUGUUAAUAAUUAAAAUGAAAUGAUGUUUUUUUAUUAAAAUGAAAGUUUAUGAUUUAUUUGAAAGUUGAGUUUAAGUUCAAUGGUUAAUAAUGUAAAUUAUUUAAUAUCCAUUGUAUUUAUUGUCCCUAAAUAAGCAUUACAAACUAAGUUAGUAAUUAUUAAUAUUAAGUUUUGGUUUUUUUUUUCUAUCUUUAAUUUAAUGGCACAUAUGGGAAAAAUAUAAUUUUUAACUUCUUCUAAUUUUUUAAAAAAUUUUAAUAAUUAAAGCAAUAAUAAUAAUAAGAAUAGGGGUCAAAUUGACAAAUAUUUUAAAUAUUGAUGGGUUAAAUUUGUUAUUAUAUCUAGCUUUUUUAAUAGAGUUAAGGGAAAAAUCAAUAGAGGGAUUAAAAAAUGAGCAAAUCAAAAAAUAGAAAGAUCAAUUUUGAGCAAAUAAAGGUAGAGUAACUAAAUCCAUACAAACUGAGAAUCCAGGGACUAUCCUUAAAAUUUAACCUAAAAAUAAAAAGAAUUAAAUACAUAAAUAUUAUUUUAGUAAUUUCUAAACAAAGUUAGCACUUUAAUGUAGUGGUGUUCAAAUUUCGGUUAAAAACGAAUUAAUUGAUCGAACCGAUCUAAUUCGGUUAGUCAGUCGGUUAACUGAUCUAAUUCGGUUGGAGGUCGAUUAAUAAUUUUUUAAAAGUUCGGUUAUUAGUUAAUUCGGGUUGAAAUCGAGUAAUUAACUGAACUUAAUAAUUAAUAAUACAAAUUAUAUGUAGUUUUAAUUUAGUUAAUUCAGUCAAAUAAACAUUAUCAAUCUGUGCCUUUUAUAUAUUUAAUACUUGUUUUAACCAAAAAAUAUAUAUAAUUUUCAAUUAAUUUUUUUAAAAAAAUUUCCCGUAAUUUUUCCUACAAUCAGUAUGCAUAUAAUUUUUUUUUUUAUUUUUUGGAUUUAUUGGUAAAUUAAUCGUUAAUAUAUCCUUUCCUUUCUUUAAUCUUCUCCUAUUUUCUUUUCAUUUUCUUUCCAUUAAUUAUAUUUAUCCAAAUAUAUCCAAAUAUAGGGUUAAUGUAGAAUUUUUUUUAUUUUAAUUUUUACCAUUAUCCAUUAUCGUAAAUAAGGGCCUUCUGUAAUUAAGAAAGUUGAGAAUGGGUUACUCCGCACCUGGUGGAACUGGCUACAAUAAUGAAGGAAAGAGAAAAACAUCAAGGAAUAUCCAAUAGUUGGGAGGCAAUGGCAUGCCCUACACAUACUAUUUACUGUCAGUGGUAAUGGAUCAAUUGCCCACUUUACACGUAUUUUGUUUUCUUCACUUUUUCUUGUCCUGCAUUAUUUGGAUUUGUGAGUAAAACCGAUACACUUACUUGGAGAGAAGUGUAUGAAGUAUCAUCUCUUGAGAGAGCUCAUAAACUCUUCACAAGCAUCACGUAAGGGAAAAUGUAGAAUUUUAGAUUACAUAAUUUUUUUUAUCUUAUCCAUUAUAAAAUUUGGAGUUUGGAGAUUAAGAAAUGUGAAAAAUAAAAUUCUAAUAAUUUCUCUAUUAAAGGUGAGCACAAGUUAUAUAAAAAAGGUAUUGAUUACACAUCCAACAAAAGAGUUAAUAAAAGAUUUUGAAAAUUAAAAAUUAUUAAAAAAAAUUGUGAGCUAUAUUUUUCAGUUUUUAGAUGACGAUCAUCAAAUUCAUGCUUAUCCAUAGGUGGUGUAUGCAGAACGAUAAAGCUAAUCUUGACUGCUAGUCUUUCUUCUUUUUUACUUUUGAAUACUCUUCCCUUGUUGCUUUCAUUGAAAUAAUGUCGGAUUGUACUCUUGAAUACCAUUUAAAUUUUUUUAGUAUAAAUAUUAAAAUUAUAACGAUUUUAGUUAUUUAAUUUGAUCGAGUUAUAUAACUUGUCAAUAUCUUUUAUAGUCAAAAGAAAGUAAAAUAAUAAAGUUUAGUUCAAAAUGAGUGAAGUUAUAAAAUAAAAAAAUCAAUUCAGAAAUAAAAAUUUCUAAUUGAAUUGAUGUCACAAGUCAAUUAGGUAUUAAAAUAAGUAAUAUUAUUUAAAGGUACUUUUUAAACUUUUUAUACAAAAUUAUCAAUAAAAAUAUGAAUAUAAUGAGAUUUGAAGUAAAACUCGUCUACAAAUGAAUUCAAAAUUUUUACUCAAUUCGAUUGAAUAUUCACGCUUAAAUAUUAGGUCUUUUGAAUUUUCAUGUUGGUGAACAUAAAAAGGAGAAGUUAUCCUUUGUGUGUAUGUGUGCUUUAGUGUUUCCUGUAAUUAUGUGGCUAAUUAAGUGCUCUUUAUUUCCUUUGAAAACAAAGUUUGUUUUUAUUUUGAUAGAAAUGAAAAUAAAGAAUAUUGAUAUUUAGAAUGCAAAAAAAUAAAAUAAAAUAUUGUUUGAACAUGUAUAAAUUAAUAUGUACGCAUAUAUAAAAUUUAUAUUGAAUAAUAUUUAAUACCAAGAAAAGUAGAAAAAAAUAUGUUAAAAUAUUAUUUUGGUGAAUCAAAUUUAAUAAUUAAUUUAUAGUUCAUAGUUAUAUACAAUAUGGAUGAUAUAAUAUCUUCUGAAGCCUUCCCUUGGUUGACCAUAAAAGGAGAAGUCAUUGUUUUAUGUUUUUUGGUAUUUAUUUGUGAGCCUUACAAAUUAUAUAUAAUAAUAGACCUUUUGAAGUCAUCCUCUUCUGUGCUUUGUUCCCUUUAAUUCUGUGGCUAAUUAAGUGCUCCUUAUUUCCUUUCAAAACAAAGUUUUCUUUUCCCUUUUAUUUUUUGGUAGAAAUUAAAAUAAAGAUUAUUGUAAUUUAAAAUCCAAUUAAAAUUACUAUUUAUUACGUGUAACAUUUACAUCGAAUAAGUUUUACUACCAAUAAAAAAAUAAAGAUAAUUGCUAAUUUGAAUCUUAACUUAAUCGGUAUUAAUAUGUAGGAAGACAUGGGUUGAAAUAUGUUAAAUAUGAUUAAUAAAGAUAAUUAUUAAAAUUACUAUUUGUUCCCUUCUAUAAUUAAUAAAGUUGUGGUAAAAAUUGGCUACAACAAUGAAGGAGAAAAACACUAAGGAAUAUCCAAUAAUUGGGAGGCAAUGUUAUUUACUGUCAGUGGUGAUGGAUCAAUUGCCUGCAGGUAUUUUGUUUUCUUGGCUUUUUCUUGUUCUGUAUUAUUUGGAUUUGUAAGUAAAAGGAAUACUACUUAUUGAUCCCACUCACUCAAUAAUUUGUUAUAUAUUAUUAAUAAUUCAUAUACUCAAUUAUGUAGUUUAAAUCAAUAAAAGUACGUUCCAUUUUUUUUAAGAAGAAGAAAAUAGCACUAAGCAAUUACAUCAAACCAAUCAAACAUGUGUAAAGACAUUACUUUCGAAUUGAAAAAUUUCUUGUACUAAAUUUGGGAUCUACAAAUAACAACGCAAUUCAUCUAUUAUUCUUAACUGUAUAGUUAAAAUGAAUAAAAACUCUAUUAUUUUAAAAAAUUAUUUACUUAAUGUCAUUUUAGUAAUUAAAUGAAUAUCUAAAGGGUAUUUUAGUCGAUUCAAUUUUUUUUCCUAACCCCGUGCUUUUACAUAUAUUAUAAAUUUUUAAAUUUCAUAAGAUAUAUUUAAAAAAAUAAUGAAAUAUGUAAUAUUUUUUUAAUAAGACUUGCUAAAUUAAAAAAUAUAUAGUCAAUACAACAAAGACAAAUCAACACAACAAUGGCUUUAGGCCCGACAGUAAUAGAAUAUUAUGAUACAUUGACAAUUGAUAUUGUCACAACUCAAGCACGACAUAUCUGGAGUGAUUGCAAACAUUUAAUAUGAUAUGAAAAUUAGCCCUGGAUGGUCCAAAGCGGGGAGAAAAAAUCGACAAAAGAAUAUUAGGGGUAUCGAAAAUGAGAUUAUAUAGAUUUGUUCAUGUCAUGGUAUAAUAUAAAAAAUAUUUGGUAUUGAUAGAUUGUAUAAAAUAAUUGUUUAGAUCAAGAAUCAGAUCAAAGUGGAGUUAAUCGAGAAAAAGUUAAAAUUGUUGAUUAGUCCCUAAAGAAUCAACUUGUUUGGUGUUUUGAUUAGGUAAGUUCAUAUGAUAUUUAUUUACUUAGGUUGUUAUGUUUUUUUUUAAUUUUUAUAUGCAUGUUUGACUGUGAAUUAAUUAGUUGUGAAUUGUUAUGAAAGACUAGAAUUGAAUUGAAUUGAAAUGUGACCUUUUUAUGUGUAAAAGAUGUCUGUGUUAACUUAGUAAAUGUUAGGAUAUGAUUGACAUGGCAAUAGGAUCUUGUGCAUGCUUCUACGAGAUUUAUUCAAAUGUUAUUGAUGUUCUCGAGGCUAUGGUGACAGCUUUGAAGGAAGAUAUCGAUGAGCUUAAGGGGGAGCUCAAGACUUUCAAGGCUGCCUUGAGUAAUGAAAUGUUGGCUUUAAAGUCGAAGCAACAAGCAAUGGAUGUGACCAAACCGAAAGCGUUUAAGGGGGCAAGGUCCACAAGUGAAGUGAACAACUUUCUUUGGGCCAUAGAGUAAUACUUCCGUGUGAUGAGCAUCGAGGACAAUGCCAUAAAGGUAAAUACUGUUGCUAUGUAUUUUACUGACGUUGCUUUGUUAUAAUGGUGACGUAGGUCCACAGAUGUGAGAUGCGGUGGGAUUGAGAUUGGGACUUGGGAGGAGUUCUAAAAUGAGUUCAAAGCACAAUUUUAUCCAGAGUAUGCCGAGGAUGAGGCUUGGGCAAAGUUGUGUCGGCUUACGCAACGAGGAACAGUUAGGGAGUAUGUGUGGGAGUUUAGUAAACCCAUACUACCCAUACUCCAGAUUUCUGAUUUAAGUGAGAAGGAAGCAUUUUCUCCUUCACGGAUAGGUUGAAAUUAUGGCCAAAGCAAGAGUUACAACGUCGAGGAGUUCAAGAACUUACCAACGCCAUGAUGGCAGCGGAGUCCUUAGUGGAACAUGUUCCGAGAAGAGACAGGUUUGAAUCUUUCAAGCCCAAUGGGAGAGGCAAUGGUAGGAACCAUGAGGUAGAUGAAAAGAGAUAUAGUGAUGAUGGCAAUAGUAGUAGUAAAAACGGUGGUAAUAGAAAAUCACGAAAUAGGAAGUGGAAACCUAAUAGCCCAAAUAAAAAGAGGAGAAAGUUGAGAUGCUAACUUUGUAAAUGACCACAUAUGAAUAAGGACUACCUAAAGGUAUCUUCGUUUUUGGCUAUCAAGAAGAAUGAUGAGCCGGAGGUAGCAAAAUCUAUUAAGAAAAAAACAUCGAAGGUCAAUUCGAUGGUGCUCAUUCCUAAGAAAAGGGAUGGUAGAGAAGGGUUGAUGUUCGUAGACAUCAACAUUGCAGGUCAGAAGAGGACUCCUCUUAUUGAUACGGAAGCAUUGGACUUGUUCAUAUCGAAAAAGGCUGUGAAGAAACUUGGUCUCUCGAUUAGAAAAUCGAAUAAAAAGACCAAGAUGGUAAAUUCCAAGGAUGCCUCAACUAUGGGAGUAGUUUGUAAUGUGGAGCUACAAAUCGACGAAUGGAAAGGUAAUGAAGAAUUUGAGGCAAUUGAUUAUUAUGCCGGUGCAUCGUGAUAUGAAAGUUGGGAAAAAGGUAUUGUCGUCAAUCCAACUAGUUGAGGAUGUUUUGUAUGGAAGGAACAUUGACUUGAUAAAACAAAAUUUUACAAAAGCCACUUUGGAAGUGUUAGUGGCGCAAGAGAUCGAUAUGAAGCCUGUAGUGUCAAUUGUGGAGCUGACACCUUUAGGAAAGAUGGGUUGUGCAUCGGGCUUCGAGGAAAAAUGAAUGAUACAGAAACAGAAAGGAUGAGUAAAUGCUGUGAGUAAGGUACAUUGCGAACACUUUGAUAGUGUUUUGAAUUCUGACUUGUUGGCUUACCAAAAUUGUAAGAGCCCAUUAAAAGUUCAUAAGCAAAGAGGCCGUUGGAUUGUAGGCGAUACGAAGCUAAGAUGUGAGAAUAAAAAAGAUUCAAAAGGGAGCAAAUUAAAAUUGGGGCAAAUAAAAGCGGAAACUUCUUGCCAACGAGAUGUACCAAUGAGUGCAACGGUUCAAGUUAAGAGGUGACGGAAGAAGCCAAGACACAACGAGGGUGUUGUGAGAAUGGGUAGGGGAGAAUGUCACGGGCCAAAGUGUGAAACCUAUGACCAUGGCACAAGAUGUACCCCAUGGAGGUCUAUUGAUAAGAUGUGGAUCAUUUAACCCACAAGAACUGGCCAGAUUUAAAGAACUAUUGGAGAAGCUUAUUAGAUUGAAGCCUGGUUGGCCUAAUAAAGAAGAUAUGGCAAUAUAGGCUAUAUUUAGUAAAUAUGGGAAUCAUAUAUUGUAGAUCUGAUUUGAUAUGAUGUAAUCUUGUAAAUCCCUAAAAUCAAGGGAUAGACUAAUCUCGUCUGUCGAUGUAAUUUGGUCUUGAUUGUAAAUUUUGGGGGAGCUUAACAAUAAAUAGAGAAUUUCCCCCUCACUUGUAAAUCAUCCAUUGUUUCACUAUUCUUAAGAGUAAUAGAAUAUUGAAAGCAUUUACUCAAACACCUCUCGUGCAUUUUUUUUGUGGCUUUCUGUCGUUCUUUGCGACUUUUUGGCAUAAAUUGUUUCAGCUAUACAAAUUGGUGCCUUGGAGGAAUUUUAAAGGAAUCCUCACUUGUGUUUAGGCUAACUUAGGCGAGUUUGGACAAAUGGAUUGCCUAAAGCUGCACGAAUUGUGAGACGAAAGAUCUAGCCCAGUGACACUUGGACAUAGUAUUAAAUUAGUAGUCAAUUUAGGACAUUGGAGUCCAAUCUGCCUUUCAAGGUCAAGUCCAACUCUGUCUCAUUUGUGUUUUUACAAAUGAUCUAGUUGUUUUUUGACAUGCAGAUAUUGAACAGGCUAGGAUAAUUGUGUCAAUAUUGGAGUGGUUCUGAAUUAUUCAAGCCAUAAAAUCAAUAAGAGGAAGUCAAAUGUUUUUUUUUCUUUAGAGGGUUGAAGAUGAGAUAAAAGAUCGAAUUUGUGAGGUACAUGGGUUUUAAAGAGUAUCAGACUUUGGAACUUAUUUGGGUGUGCCCUUAUUUCAUUGAAGAGUAACUAACAGCUCCUUGAGACUUGUGGUGGAUAAGGUUCAAGCUAAGCUGCAAUGCUGGGAUGUAACACCCCUUACCCGUGUUCCUUACCGAAACAGAGUAUGAGGUAUUAUUAGAACUCAAACACUUAUAUUUUUUUUAUAAAAAUUUCAGCAACAUUUCUGCUUAUUUUUACAUAAAACCCCCUGCAAAUUUCCAAAGAUAAUUUCAAACAACUUCAAUAUUUCCAACCAAUUACAGUUAUACGUUCAGGCAUAAUUUAUUCAUUAAUAAACACCAACAUAUUAAAUCGAACAAUACUAUAUAUAUACAUAUUUAUACCACAUUACAUAAAGUCAUCUAUACUUGCCAUAUUUCAAAAGUGUUAAUGCCAAAAUACCAAAAAGUUGAUGAUAGUAUGGAUGAUUUCCUGACUUCGUCCAAGUUCUGAGCUGGCUGAUGUCACUAUAAUCAGGGAAAAUAAACACGAGUAAGCAUAUAGCUUAGUAAGUAAACAUAUGAAAAAUAAAUAAAUUCCUCACAUGAUUACAAAGUAACAUAAUUUUAACCACACAUAAAUUUCAUUGUUUGCUCAACUUCCAGCAAGCUAUUUUUCUGCGUCACCAUCACCAAUUUAUUUUUAUCUAGAGCUAAAGGGAUCAAAAUUAAGUUAUGUAAAUUUUUACAAAAACUAGACUCACAUACCUUUUUACCAUAAAAUUUUUAGAAUUUUUUAUUUAGCCAAUUAGUACAGUUUAUUCUUUAAACCUUCCCCUGUUUCAUUGCCCGACAGUUCUGACCUCUCCUUACUUAAAUUUACUUAUCUCUCUGUAAAAAAUUUAAAAAAUGUUCUUGUUUCUUUAUCUUAAAAAUAUACUCAUUAAGGAAUUCAAGCAUGUAAAUUUCAAGCCAUAAUUAUUUUUGUACAAUUUUUGGUGAUUUUCCAAAGAUGGAAUAGGGGAUUUCGAAAUCAAUCUAACUCUAUCUCAAUAAAAUUUAAAUAUCCCCAAAUAUACAAUCCUUUGAUUGCUCUAUUUCUUUCAUAUGAAAAUAGACUCAUUCAGCUUCAAUUUCAUAUAUUACUCAGCCUCUAAUUCAUUUUCCACCAUUUACGGUGAUUUUUCAAAAUUUCCCAACUGUUGUUAUACAAAACUGUUUUACAUUUAAAUUUGCUCUUUUGAAGUUUUGGUAUUUCCUUUCACCUUACACAUGGGAUGAUUAAAUAUUGAACCCAAUAUUCCUCACAUAACCUUGUCCACCAUAUAUAAAUAUUCACCUUUCCAAUUUUCCCGUUGAACACUCGGAAUAUUAUCCGUUAUCGGUGGAUUCAGCACUUAGAAACCACCAGUGAUUCGGGAAAUCAGCACUUAGCAACCCCUUUCACAUUCAAAAAUACGGUGGAAUCAGCACUUAGCAACCCCUUUCACAUUUACGAUACGGUGGGAUCAGCACUUAGCAACCACCAAUAAUUCAGGGAAUCAGCACUUAGCAACCCCCUUCACAUUUAAAAUACGGUGGAAUCAGCACUUAGCAACCACCAAUGAUUCGGGGAAUCAGUACUUAGCAACCCCCUUUAUAUUCAAUGUACUCCGGCCUCUUCCGAGUGUUCAACUGAAAACCGUGUUUUUCAACACUUUACCACCUUUCCCAACUUAACCACAUUUUUAGGAUCUUUGUCAAGUAAUUAUUUUAUAUUCAAUUAAAUCUCAACAAAUAUUAUCUAAUAUCAAAAUAAUGCAUUAAUUCACAUGUUUACUUACCUCGGUGCAAAAUAUCGUAAUUUUGUAAUUUACUCCACUACCUUCUCUUUUCCCCGUUUGAGGUAGUCUUCUCGUCUUUCUUGAUUAUGAGCUUGAGAAAGUGAAGAAACCCUAGCUAUGAUGUCUUCCAAGUUUUGGCAACAACUUAAUGAAGAUGUACACCAUUUUUCCAUCUUUUUCCCAUUUUAAUUCUAUUUAUUUACUAAUGACUAAAAUGCCCCCAUUUAAAAAAAUCUAUUUCACCCAUUUCUUAUGUCUAUUUUUGUCCAUCAAUUAACUAAUGGUCUAAUUAACACAUAAGGACCCCCAAUUUAUAAUUUCAUAACAAUUAGACACUUCUAACAUGUAGAACUCAACUUUUGCACUUUUUACAAUUUAGUCCUUUUGACUAAAUUAAGUGCCCAAACGUCGAAAUUUUCACGAAAUAUUUUCGUGAAAUUGUAUACCAUAAAAAUAUAAUAAUAAUUAUAUUUUCCCUCGUCGGAUUUGUGGUCCCGAAACCACUGUUUCGAUUAAGCCUAAAAUCGGGCUGUUAUAUGGGAAGCUAGACAAUUAAUCUUUAGCAAGAAGAGUUACUCUAGCUCAAUUGGUUCUACUUUAAAUUCCCAGCUAUUUCUUACAGUCCAUGAUGAUUUUGCAAAAGAUUUGUGAAGAGAUUGAACGCAUGGUUCAAAGCUUUAUUUGGGGUUCCUCUAGCGAAGAGAAGAAGUUGGCCCUAGUAAUUUGGAAAUCUAUUUAUCAACCUCACUCUUGUGGUGGCAUUGGGUUAACAUAAAUGAGGGAUCAAAACACUUCAUUUAUGUUUAAAUUGUGCUUUAACUUAGCUUCUAAUUCCUCUGCCUUUUAGGUAUGUGUACUUUGAUCUAAGAAUGGGAUGAAUAAGGACUUGCCAGAUGAUAUUUAUAAGGAUAGAUGUUCUUUCUUAUGGAAGGGGAUAUCUAAAGUUUGGCCUCUAUUACAAGAAAGUCUUUUCUAGUCAAUAAGGCAAUGGGAAUAAGAUUAUGUGCUGGUGCGAUCAUUGGAUUCUAGGUGUUUGACCUCUGAUUAAUCAAAUUCCUUCUCAUUUUAAUCUGGAUUUGGAGUGCACUCUAAAGGAGUUGGUAGUAGAGGAUAGGUCGUGGAACCUUGAUAUUUUUAGAUUGUAGAUUCCAAUGAAAAGUAUUAAAUUCAUAGUUAGUAUUCCUCCUCCACAUGAUUCAGCGAGACUUGACAAGAUUGCUUGGAUGGGCACCCCCAAUAGGUUCUUUUACUCUAAAAAACGCUUAAAGGAAAUUAAGCAAUAGAUCAUGGGAUCCUUAUAAUGGUUAUUGGAAUAUUUCAUGGAAAUUCAAGGGAUCUCAAAGAGUUAGAUUCUUUAUCUGGCUUGUUUUCAAGCAGAGGUUACUCACUAACAUGGAAUGAGUGAGACAUGGUAUUGGGUCGACUGGCUCGUGUGCCUUAUGUGGACAUAACUCAAAAUAUAUAUUACAUGCCAUCAAAGAGUGUGCGCUUGCAAAGAAGGUGUAGAGAUAGAUAAUAUAACCGGAUAAGAGAUGAGUUUUUCUCAAGCAACUUGAAUGAGUGGCUUGAAACAAAUUUGCAAAAUCAUCACAGUUGAGGGGUGGGUGAUGUGGAAUGGAGAAGUCAAUUUGAUCUCAUUGUAUGGUGCAUUUGGAAAAAUAGAAAUAUUGUUGUCUUCCAGGGAAAGUAAUACAGUGCAUGCAAAACUGCAAAAAUCUCAUAUAGUUGGGCUAAGCAAUUUGUCUCUUUUCAUAAUGGUGGAUAGGCCAAGAGGCAAAAAGCCAGUUCAGUAAUCCCUUGGAAGGAUAGUUGGGUUCAGUUAAAUGUUGAUGGUGUUGUAAAUGUGGAAUCCGGUUCUGCUGCAUCUAGCGAAAUCUUAAAUGAUCAAGAAGGUAAGUGGAUUUUAGGCUAUAAGAGGUACUUGGGAAACUAUUCAGUUCUUGAGGCUGAACUUUGGAGAAUUUUAGAUGGUCUGAAUGCUUUGCUAAGUAGAAAGUUUGAUAAAUUCCUGAUUCAAACUGAUAGUAUAGAAGCUGUGAAGGCUCCUCAAAUAUUCACCAAGACAUCUUUGAACUCUGCAUUGAUCAGGCGGAUUCAACAACUUUUGUUGAAGGUUGGGAAUUGGCUUCUAUGAUAUGUGCUAGAGAAAGCAACAAGGACACGGAUUGCAUAGCUAAAAUGGCUUUUGAUAGAGUAGAUGGCUUGUUUUUUAUGGAAGAACCUCCAAGGGGAAUAUCCAAUACCUUAAGUUAAUGUAGUUUGCUUAUUUUUAUUCACAAAAAAAAAAAAGAUAGCAACAAAACGACUAGAAUAAAAUAAAAAAUAUUUUACAUUGAAAUAUUACAAACGGGUGUUACAAAAUUGAGUGCACUGCAUUAUGCAUAAUCGACCUAGACUAAGAAAUUGCCAGCAUCCCAUUAAUGCAACAAGGUAUUUGAAGUCAAUACUAGUACCAAAGAAAACACAAACACUUACAAAUAAACAAUAGCAUACAAUUAAAAUGGUUCCUUUACAGAAUUCAUCAUAUAAAAUAAGGAAUAACAACAAUCCUUGACCUACACCCAUACCUAUUUCACUUCUUCCUAGACAUAAAUAUAAAAUUGAAGGGAGUAUCCAACAUCCCACUAUUGAAACACUAAUUUUUGACACCCGACAUACGAUACACAUGGACACCAUUAAAAGGAAAAGAAUUCCUGAAAAUAUAUUAAGAAUUACAUAUGUUAAAUUGGUGGGAGCUAUGUCAGAUAUUGAUUCAUCGAAGGACACUGCAAGAAACGCUAAUAGUACUUGAAGUGCAGUCCUAAAACCAUGGGGAAAAGUUUUGAGUAGAGCUAGUGUUAGGAAUAAUGUUACGAGGAACACAAGGUAGGUUAGAAUAUAGAAGAGAAGAAAAUCCAUUUGACCCAUGACUGAUUUACCUAGUACCAUUUCAUCAUAUGAUCCUUUGGACUUUGAGGUAUUUUCACCUUGCCAAACACCACCAGGUGGGCUUAGAGUGGCUUGGUAGGUUGCAGUUAGAAGCAGUCCUAAAAUGACUAGCAAGGCAUUGCGGUCAUCGGCUGAUAUGUUGUCCAUAUUUUGAAAAAUUAGUAGUGAUGCCUUUGUCACGUACUUGACAACUUGUUCCUCCAACUUACGUUUAAAGUUUGAAACUACUGGAAUAAAGCAGCCUUUCAGAAUAGCAAUGUUUUCUCUGUAAUUAUGUUGUUGUGCAAUUCCCAGUGCGGUCAAACCAACUUGAUUGGUAGCAUGCUUAUCAGCCUUGCAAUUUAAUAGUAGUUUAAGCAUCUGUUCAAUUGAUAGUUUAGGAUAUAAAAAGGCUACAAUCAAUUAAUCAUGUCUUUGAAGUAAAAAAAGAAAAAGAAAAAGAAUCUAUGUAAUAUGAAUUACUAUCGAAGCAGUUGAGUCGAACCUUGGGUUGAUUAUGGAUAGCGGCUAUGUGAAGUGCAGUGUUUCCAUCUUUGUCUUUCCGGUUCACCACUUCCCAAUAAUAGUCUUUCCUCUUAAGCGUUGGAAUUAGGAGUUGGAGAACGUCCAGUCUAUUGUUUUGGAUUGCAAUAUGCAAAGCAGUGCGAUUCUCAAUUGUAACAUCUUGGAGACAAUCAGGAGAAGCUUCCAGAAAUGGAUCCAACAGACCAAGCUGGUUUCCAACUUUACAUAAGUAGUGCAAUGGAGUCUUACCUUUCUUUCCUCUGACACGAACAAGAUGUUUAUCAAUCUCCAAGAAGCGGAGUGCCAUCUCUUUAUGCCCUUUUCUAACUGCAAUGUGAAGUGGGCUCAAACCUUGGUGGUUAAGCUUUCGAGCAAAUGAUGGCUUUAAGUUCAUCAUCUCCAUUGCAAACUCAAUGCACCCUUCUUCUGCAGCUAUAUGUAAUGGAGUCUCGAUAAACUCCACCUCAUCAAAAUGCCUCAAAACAUUUCCAUUUCUUUGAAUUACUGUAUACAAUUCAUUAACCUUUCCUGUACGAGCAGCCUGUCUUAAACUUUCAUCCAUGUGAGGAAGACUAAAAAUUGAAUGGUUGAAAGGGUUUAAGGUCACUUAGAGCAACUUAUUCAAAGAGAGAGUUUUUAUUUUUUUUAAAAAAAGAGUGAGGCAGACAAAUGGUGUAUAUUUAUGGUCUUGAUUUUGAGGUUUCGCCUUUAGUAGAGGAUUAUUGUAAAUAAUUUUGUUAUCAAUGGCUUUUUAUUUCAAGGUUAAGAAAUGCUUUCUUCCAUUGACUUCACUUCCAGAUUGAUCUUUUACUGUGUAUAGGUUCAUAGUCAAAGGUGCAAUUCCUACUAUAAAUUUCCUGAAAAACACGUCGAAGAAAAUUAUUCCUAUUCUUCUCGUUUAUAACUUAAAAUAUAUAUUUAUUCAACUCUUUGAGUUUGAGUUAUUAAUCGUGUUAUUGUUAAGGUUUUUAUUCUAAUCUUAUAAUUCAUCAAAAAAUAUAUAUAUUUAUUCAUAUAUAUUUAUCUAUAUGAAGUUUUUAUUUAAAUUAGUGUCACAAAUUAAUUAGACAUCAACUUAAUUAGGUAAUUAUAAAAGUAUAAGUUCAUUACAAAAUAAUUUGCUAUUUUGAGAGUGUUUUAAUUUUUUAUAAAAAAAACAUAUAUAAUAAAAUUUAAACUUAAAACGCUAUAAAUAUUUCUAUUUUACUAUUUUAAUUAAAAUUUCAUUUCAUUUUUAUAUAAUCUUUUAUAAAUAUAUUUAUUCUAUAUUCUGUUAGUCAAUUUCAUUAGGAUAUCCCAUAAUUUAAUACAUUGUUGCAUAUGAAUGGAUGAAAUAAAUACACGUAAACCUGACGUAAACCUGUGAUCAUGAAAUGAAUACACGAAAACUUUCCAAUUAAGUCACUAAUUCGUUAGUAGAUAUUAAACAUGAUGUAAUUGAUUUUGCCGACAGCAAUCAAAUUUCCUAGUAAAGUCGUUGUGGUUGGUGAAGAACAGCCAUCGGACCAUUCAUUUCAUAAACUUUGAAAAUUCCAAUUAAGUAAAUAAAUUAUUAAAAUAAUAAAAAAUAUUGAUUCACAUUCAAUUGAUUUUUAAUUCUGUUUCUAUUGAUUCUCCAACCAAUUAGUCUUAUAUCUCUCUUUGUAUUGGUACCUUAAUGGCACAAUUCUACUUAAGUAAUUAUAUCUCUAUGUUGAAAAGCGUUAAUUUAUUAAUUGAAGUUUAAACUUGAUAAUUAUUUUCACAUUAAGUGUAAAAGAUAUUUUUUUAGGUAGAGAUGAAGCAAUGCAAAAAAAUUGAAUAAGAUAUUUUGGAGGAAGACAGAGAAAAAGACUAAAACAUCAUUGACUGUCGUACAAUUAAAAAACCUAUAAAGUAACCUUUAAAGAUGGAAAUAAUUUUAAAACACAAAAUUAUAACUUAACCUAAUAACAUCUGUCCCUAAUUCUUUUCAUAAACUUGGAAAUUGUUUUCUUCAUUUUAUAAGAUGUUAAGGUUUUUUAUGGGAGUUUUUUAAAAUUGGAUCAAUGUUGGUACCAAUCAAGUCAUUAAUUUAUGAGUUGAAUUAGUUUGAUUAAAUAAAUUAUUAAAAUAAUAAAAGGAAUUUGAUUCAAUUGACUUUUAAUAUGAUCUAUAUUAAUUUCUGAGUCAAUUAGUUUGUUAUUUCUCUUUGAAUCAGUACCCCAUCCAACUCGGUUUUGUUCAAGUAACCACGUCUCUAUGUUGAAAAGCAUUAAUGCACUAAUCGAAAUCUGAACUUAAUAACUGUUCUCACAUUAAGGUAUAGAAGGUUCUCUCGGUGAAGAGAUGAAACAUUGCAAAAAAUUGAAUAAGAUAUUUUGAAAGAAAGCGAAGAGAAAGACUGAAACAUAUUCAGUAACAUUAAGCAUUGUACAAGUAAAAAAAUAAAGUAAAUAAUUUUAAAACACAAAAUUAUAACUUUAAAAGAAAUUAAAACUCACAAUAAAAUAACAAGAUUAUAAAGUAAACUUUAAAAUGUACUAAUUAAUUAAAUUAAAUUACUUAUUAUAAAAAAUUUAAAGUAAAUUACUAGUGGUAAUUUUUUAAUGUUAGACAUGUUGCAUAUGAUUUUAUAUUUUUAAUUUAUUAAAUAAUAUAUUUUAUAAUUUUAAAUAUAUAUUUAUGCUAAUAAACGAGGAUUAGUUUAAUUUAUACUAAAGAUAAAUUAGUUUGAAAAAAUUAAAAGAAUAAAAUAGCAUUUUAAAAUUAAUGAAAAAAAUGAACUAAUACAUAUACAACUAGUAAAAUAAUAUAUAAAUUUAAAACUAUAUAGGAAAAUAAAUGAAAAACAUAUUUACACUGAAUUAUAGAUUACAUUUAACAAUAACAACUAAAAAAUAUUAUGUAAAUUUAAUUUUUUUUUCAAAAGAAUACACAAAACAUUGUUCAUCUGCACAAAAUAAAUAAUGGAUAAAUAAAAGAAUAAAUUUAAAAUUACUUGCUUCACAUAAUACAGUUACUUUAUAUAAAUUAGUAUUAUUUAAUAUAUGUGCUUUAUUUAAAUUUAUAUAGAGAUCUCACCUUUGUAACUAAAAAAUAAAACACUCACCUCUAAAUUUCCUCUUGAGAAUUUAGGUUGUAAACACAACUUGUUUACUCUCAAUUGCACUCAUACAAUUAGUUCCUCAAUUAAUAAAUAAAGUGCUCUCAAUAUAGUCUCUUUUAAAACCUAUACAAACCUCAACAUAUAUAGAAGUGUUUUGGUUUACUAACAUACUCGAUAUUGAUUACAAUAUAACCCCUUAAAAUCAACAUCUACAAAAUAGAAAAAAAGUAAUAUAUUAAUAAAGUCCAAUAAAGUGUGAUCUGAUGGAGAUGUAGUCUUCAAUGUAAACAACAACUCAAUCCGAAAGAUUCUCUAAACAAAGGGUUGUAAUUGUUCAAUUCAAUCUAAUCUUCACAAUGCAAAGAAUUAGUUCUCAUAAUUAGGCUUCUAUAUCUUCAAAGUAUCAACAUAGUUAAUAGUCUAAAGAUUUUAUGCCAUAGGAUUGUCAACUCCAAAUAUAGCAAGUACAAUUGUAUUAUUGCAAGGAUGGAUGACAAUAGGCACUACCAAGUGCUUCUCAUAAUGCUUCUUUACAAUUUGUCUCAACAAUUUCCCCAUUUGAAAAUUUUUUGAACAAAAUUCAAUUCAAACCAAGAAGUUAACUAGAAUUUCAUGUGAUGAUCUGAUGGUCAAGGGUGUUUACCGUUCCAAGUAUGACUUGGGUUUGAGUCGUGUUAGUCGCGUUUGUUGUCCGCGCUUUCCCUGUUAUUAUAAUUUACUGAAAAAAAAUUUACCAUUUUUUUACAAGCAUAAAUUAUGUUAAUAUUAUGGUUGAACUCACUGCAUAUUAAUUCGAUCUAACCUAAAAACAUUUGUCCAUAAUUUAAUUUUAUUUAUAUAAUACUUAAAACUAUCAUAAUUCCUUCUCUUCUUAAAAAAAGAAAAGGAUAAAUGCGUUUUAAUGUACUAUUGACCAUGCCAGAAAUGGUGUCGUUCCUAAUCCAAGCACGAGCUUUCUCUGGAUCUUCUUCCUCCUCUGGUCCAUAAUCACAGCCGUCCUCCUCUGAAUUGGAGCUUUUUUUUUGGGGGGGGGGGGUGUUACUCGUAAAGCACGUUUAGUUAAGAUUCGUGUGUUACUGUUGAAGUUGUUAAGAAAUGUGUUUUUGUUUUGAAUAUGAUAUAUAUAUGUACAUAUCAGAAAAAAAAAAUUUAGCAUACCCGAGGUCUGUUUCUGAUAGCUGCAACGUGUAAAACAGUGUUGCCUUCGAUGUCUUCCCAACUCAUUGGUUCUUUCUCCCAACGUUGGGCAGCUUCAUGGCGGCUCCUUAUAAGCCACCCCACCAAGACUUGGAAAGCUUCAAACAUGUCUUUUACUGAAAUAUGGAAAACAGUCACGUCUUCAAUAGCCUCGGGAGAAACGUCAAGAAACUUGAACAAAAGAUCAGCAUCUCCGGUCCGAACGCCAUGAUACAGGGGAGUGAGGCCCCACUUCCCUUUGACACGAAUAAGGCCUUCAUCAAACUUGAGGAAUCGAAGCACCGCUUGAAUUCUAUUAUUCUGCAGAGCCAAGUGCAUGGGGGUAAACCCAGCUUGGUAUAGUUUUCUUGCAAACGAUGGCUUUAAGUUGAUCAUCUCCAUCAUAAAAUCAAUAUGCCCUGCAGAGGCUGCCACAUGUAAUGGAGAAUGAAAAAAGGCACAUCAUCAAUACGCUGUAAAACAAAUGGAUAACUCGCAAUAUCUCCGGUUCGUGCAGCCUCUAUCAUCGUCGAAUUCAUAGCUUGGAUAUCUAUUAUUUUAAGUAUUUUAAUUAAAUAAAUUUUAUAUGGUUAAAAUAUCUAUAAGUGUUUGUAUUAUUCGAAAAUUUAAAAUAUAUAUAUUUUUUAAAAAUUUAGUUCUUUUAUUUUAAAUAUUUCAAAAUUUGAGUCAAAUUAUUAUCAUUGUUAAUUUUUAUUUGUUAAAUUUGUUGGUGUUUGAAAAAAAAUCAUUUCUUAUCCAUUAAAACUGCAAGUCAAUUAUUAUGCAUCGGUAAAUCCAUUAAAACUGUUCAGCUCAACAGAUAAGAAAAAACUCCUACAUCCCCAAAUCACUACAUCACACCACAACAUGAUUUAUGCCUAAGGGGAAGUGUUAAAGGCAAUUCUAGUUUCCAUCUACAGCGGCAGUUGCAACUUGAGCCAUUGCAGUAAUUUGUGCUUGUGAUGAAGUUGGUUCAGCAUGCAGCAAACUCAACAGCAUGCAGGCCAUGAAGACCAAGUCAUGCAGGAGCUGCUGGAACGAGCUGAACUAUUCCUAUUUUGUUCAUCUUGUAAUCUUAAGUUAAUGUAAUGUACUUUAGUUCAUUUAGAACUAUGUUAGGUUUAUGAUUGAUGUAAUUUUGAUGACAAUUGAGCUGUUAAGUUAGCUUUGUUUAAGUGUGCAAGCUUAGUUUUUUAAGUUUCAAUGUAUUAGUGGUAGUAGGUGAUGAUUAGGUAUCAUUAUGUAGAUUUUGACAAGCAAAUUGCUUGGUUUAUGUAUUGGCAUUAUGCCAUUGUUCAACCUAUGAAUGAAGUUUUAGUUUGUUCAUCAAUUUCUCCCUUCAUUCUUCUUAGCUUUUCUUCCUUUCUCUUGCUCGAAUUCUUUUGUUUGCUCAACAAGUCUCGAGACUUGCUUAACAAGUCUACACUGAAUCUGUUAGUUUCAGUUACAGCACCAACAAUUGGUAUCUAGAGCCUAUUUCUUAAGGGAUCUGUUACACAAAUCCAUGGCUUCAUCAAGCUUUUCACCAGCUGCACCUCAAGUCUUCAAUGGAGAAGGCUAUCACAUAUGGGUGGUCAAAAUGAAGACCUACCUGCAGGCUUUCGAUCUGUGGGAGGUGGUCAACACUGAUGUUGAACCAGAGCCACUUAGAGCUAAUCCAACAGUGGCUCAGAUCAGGCAGCAUGCUGAUGAAAGGACCAAGAGGCACAAGGCUAUGUCUUGCAUCCAAAACUCAGUGUCUGAUGUGAUUUUCACAAGGAUUAUGGCCUAUGAAUCACCAAAACAGGCCUGGGACAAGUUGCAGGAAGAGUUUCAAGGGACAGAGAGGACAAGGCAGCAACAGUUGUUAAACUUGAGGAGAGAUUUCGAGAAUUUGAAGAUGAAGGAAGAAGAAACUGUCAAGCAAUAUUCUGACAGGAUUAUGGCUGUGGUUAACAGCAUCAGGCUCCUUGGAGAGCAGUUCAAUGAAGCUAGGAUAGUGGAGAAGGUUAUAGCAACUCUGCCUGAGAGGUAUGAGGCAAAAAUCUCAUCUCUCGAGGACUCAAGGGACCUGUCCACCAUCUCCCUGACAGAGUUGAUCAAUGCUCUAUAUGCUCAAGAGCAGAGGAGAGCAAGCAGACUGGAGGAGCACCAAGAAGGUGCCUUUCAGGUAAGAACAAAUACUGCCUACAAAGGCAAGAAGGCCUGGAGAGACAAGCCAAAGGAUGAUGCUGCAAGGAGAGAAGGUCAGACUUGCAAGCACUGCAGAAAGGCUGGUCAUUCAGAAGAAAAAUGCUGGUUUAAUCCAGAUGCUGUGUGUCAGCAUUGUAAGAAAAAAGGUCAUGUUGAGAGAGUCUGUAAGACCAAGGCCAAGUCAAGGCGCAAUCAGUCUCAACAGAUGAAAGCUGAGGCUCGAGUAGCUAAGGAGGACAGUGACCAAGAGGAGCAAGUCUUUACUGUGUCAUGCUCAGCUGCUCAGGAAAGGUCCUCAUCUGGUUGGCUCCUAGACAGUGGAUGCACCAACCACAUGACACCUGAUGCUGCAAUCUUCAAGUCUUUAGACAGAAGCUUUAGAACUAAAGUCAAGAUAGGAAAUGGUCAUUUUAUUCAAGCUGAAGGCAAGGGUGAUGUUCUGAUAUGCACCCUUACAGGUACCAAAGUGAUUUCAAAUGUGCUGUUGGUGCCUGAAAUUGACAGAAACCUGCUCAGCAUAGCUCAGUUGCUGGAAAAAGGUUACUCAGUUGUGUUUAAAGACCACCAAUGCCAAAUCAGUGAUCCAAGUGGAUCCAAACUGAUGGCAGUCCCUAUGGCUGAUAAGAGCUUUGUGGUUGACUGGACAAAAAAGUCAGACAUUGCCUACACAGCCACUUCAGAUGAAUCCAAGCUGUGGCAUCAAAGACUGGGACAUGCCAACUUCAGAUCGAUGGCCCGAAUGAUCAGAGAAGACCUGGCUGAAAAUUUCAUCAACUCAGUGGACCAUGAUGAUGUAUGUGAAGUAUGUCAGCUAGGAAAGCAGGCCAGACUCCCAUUUCCCUCGAAUCAAGCCUGGAGAGCCUCUGAAAAACUCCAACUGGUGCAUACUGAUGUGUGUGGCCCUAUGAAGACUGAGUCAUUAAGUGGAAACAGGUAUUUCAUACUGUUCAUUGAUGAUUUCUCGAGAUAUUAUUGGAUUUACUUCUUAAAACAGAAAUCAGAGGUGGCCACUGUGUUUUGGAAGUUCAAAACUGCUGCUGAGACUGAAACAGGCUGCAAGGUGAAGACCAUAAGGUCUGAUAAUGGGACUGAGUACACCUCAGCUCAGUUCCAAGCCUUUUGUGAUAAGGCAGGCAUCAAACAUCAACUUACCAACACAUAUACACCUCAGCAGAAUGGGGUAAGUGAAAGGAAGAAUAGGAGUUUGAUGGAUAUGGCCAGGUGCUUGAUGAUUCAGAAGAAUCUGCCUAAAGCACUAUGGGCAGAAGCAGUUAACACUGCAACAUACAUUCAAAAUAGACUUCCAACCAAGGCUUUGGAUCAAAAGACCCCAUUCGAGGCCUGGUUUAGCUUCAAGCCAUCACUGACUCAUCUGAAGGUCUUUGGAUGCAUCUGUUAUACACAUAUACCUGCUGUUAAAAGGGACAAAUUGUCUGAAAGGGCUCGACCUGGUGUUUUGGUGGGGUAUAGCACUGUUAAGAAGGGCUAUAGGAUUUUAGAUCCUUCAACAAACAAAGUGUCAGUAAGCAGGGAUGUGGUAUUUGAUGAGAGGUCAUGUUGGAACUGGGAAAGACAUGAACCUGAAGAAGUUUCUGAAGAACUUGCAGCAGACCAAGCUGAGCCAGACCAAAAUGUCCCUGAAAUGGAUAUUGAUGAUGAACCAGUCAGAGGAACAAGGUCAUUGGCUGAGAUUUAUGAAAGGGCUCAUGUAGCCAUAGCUGAACCAAGCAACUUUGAAGAGGCUGAGGCUCAGCAAGGGUGGAAGCAGGCAAUGGCUGAGGAAAUCAGCAUUGAUUGAGAAGAACCAGACCUGGGAAUUGGUUGAAAGGCCAGUCAAAAGGAAGGUGAUUGGGGUGAAAUGGGUGUACAAAGCCAAGCAGAAUGCUGAUGGUACCUUGAACAAGCUGAAAGCAAGGCUAGUUGUCAAGGGGUUCAGUCAGAGGUAUGGCUUGGACUACCUGGAGACCUUUGCACCAGUGGCCAGGCUCGACACCAUCAGACUGCUGAUUGCCUUAGCAGCACAGCUCGAAUGGAAGAUCCAUCAACUUGAUGUGAAAUCAGCCUUUCUGAAUGGUUUCUUAGAUGAAGACAUCUAUGUUGAACAACCACAAGGGUUUGAAAUAGCUGGCAGAGAGCAUAUGAUCUACAAACUGAAGAAGGCCCUAUAUGGAUUAAAACAGGCUCCAAGGGCUUGGUAUAGCAGAAUCGAUGGCUACUUGACUGAUCUGGGAUUCGAUCGAAGCAAGAGUGAGCCAACACUAUAUGUCAAGAAACAAGGGACACAAAUACAGCUCAUUGUGUCCCUGUAUGUUGAUGAUCUUCUGGUGACAGGAGGAGAUCGAGUAGUGCUGGUCGAUUUCAAGACCAAGAUACAGGAAGUGUUUGAAAUGUCUGAUCUUGGGGAGAUGUCCUAUUUUCUUGGAAUAGAGGUGUCUCAAGUACAGAAUGAGAUAUUUUUAAGCCAGAGAAGCUUUGCCACAAAGAUUCUGACCAGGUUCUCCAUGCAAAACAGCAAGGCAACUAAAACACCUGUUGCUGUUGGAGAAAAACUAUCGAGCCAAGGUGAUUUUGAGAAAGUUUGUGAAACAACCUACAGGAGUCUAGUUGGUUGCUUGCUAUACUUGACUGCCACUAGACCAGACAUCAUGUAUGCUGUAGGAUUGCUCUCAAGGUUCUUGCAUUGCUGCAAUGAGAAGCAUUUCCAAGCUGCAAAGAGAGUGCUGAGAUAUAUCAAAGGCACUUUAAACUAUGGUUUGAAGUACAGCAAAGAAGAAAAUCUGAAGCUGGUUGGCUACACUGAUAGUGACUGGGCUGGCUCGAUAAAUGACAUGAAAAGCACCUCAGGGUAUGCUUUUAACCUUGGUUCAGCCAUGUUUUGUUGGAGCUCAAAGAAGCAAAGUCUUGUAGCUCAAUCUACUGCUGAAGCAGAGUAUGUGGCAACAGCAAGUGCUGUCAACCAAGCCAUAUGGCUAAGGAAAAUAUUGGCUGACUUGAAUGUGCAUCAAAAGAAAGCUACUGAGAUCUUUUGUGACAACCAAUCUGCAGUAGCAAUUGCUAAAAAUCCAGUGUUCCAUGGAAGAACAAAACAUUUCAGCAUCAAGUUGCAUAUUGUUCGAGAAAUGGAGCAAGCUCAGGAAGUAAAGCUGAUCCACUGUAAUUCAGAGGAUCAACUUGCUGACAUUUUAACCAAAUCUCUUAGUGCCACAAGGUUCGAAUAUCUAAGAAAGAAGCUAGGUGUUUGCUCCAUGCAAACCAAGGAGGAGUGAUGAAGUUGGUUCAGCAUGCAGCAAACUCAACAGCAUGCAGGCCAUGAAGACCAAGUCAUGCAGGAGCUGCUGGAACGAGCUGAACUAUUCCUAUUUUAUUCAUCUUGUAAUCUUAAGUUAAUGUAAUGUACUUUAGUUCAUUUAGAACUAUGUUAGGUUUAUGAUUGAUGUAAUUUUGAUGACAAUUGAGCUGUUAAGUCAGCUUUGUUUAAGUGUGCAAGCUUAGUUUUUCAAGUUUCAAUGUAUUAGUGGUAGUAGGUGAUGAUUAGGUAUCAUUAUGCAGAUUUUGACAAGCAAAUUGCUUGGUUUAUGUAUUGGCAUUAUGCCAUUGUUCAACCUAUGAAUGAAGUUUUAGUUUGUUCAUCAAUUUCUCCCUUCAUUCUUCUUAGCUUUUCUUCCUUUCUCUUGCUCGAAUUCUUUUGUUUGCUCAACAAGUCUGGAGACUUGCUUAACAAGUCUGCACUGAAUCUGUUAGUUUCAGUUACAGCACCAACAGCUUGCAUAUUUUUGAGAUGUAACAUGUUAGACUUUUGACUGUGAUCUCUGUGUCAGAUGUGCAAGAUCAAGUCAACAAGAACCAAAUCGGAAUCCUUAAAUACAAUCCAAGUUCCCUAGUUUUAAGGAGAUCAUAUCAUAUCAUGUGUAAGCUUGUGUUAAUAGAAAAGCAAGAUGUUUACUGCUUAUUUUAGGCGUUGUUUUUCUGACUGCUCAUUGUUCUGCUGUAUUUUGCUGUAAUAGAAAUACAUUCCCACUUAUAAUUAUUAUUACAAUGAACAAUACAAUUAUACAAUAACAGCAACGCCAAUUAUGGUCCUCAUUGAACUACAACUUGGCUACAUACGAAACAAACAGAUAUUCAUACUUUUAUAUCAUAAAUGCUGAUGGUGUUGUAAAUGUGAAAUCCGGUUCUAUUGCAUCUAACGAAAUCUUAAAUGAUCAAGGAGGUAAGUGGAUUUUAGGCUAUAAGAGGUACUUGGAAAAUAUUCAGUUCUUGAGGCUGAACUUUGGAGAAUUUUAAAUUAUCUGAAUGCUUUGCUAAGUAGAAAGUUUGAUAAAGUCCUGAUUCAGACUAAUAGUAUAAAAGCUGUGAAGGUUACUCAAAUAUUCACCAAGACAUUUUUGAACUCUUUAUUGAUCAGGCAGAUUCAACAACUUUUGUUGAAUGUUGAGAAUUGACUUCUACGAUAUGUGCUAGAGAAAGCAACAAGGACACGAAUUGCAUAGCUAAAAUGGCUUUUAAUAGAGAAGAUGGCUUGUUUUUUAUGAAAAACCUCCAAGGGGAAUAUCCAAUACCUUAAGUUAAUGUAAUUUGCUUAUUUUUAUUCACAGAAAAAAAAAGAAUAGCAACAAAAAGACUAGAAUAAAAUAAAAAAUAUGUUACAUUGACAUAUUACAAACGGGUAUUACAAAAUUGAGUGCACUGCAUUAUGCAUAAUCGACCUAGACUAAGAAAUUGCCAGCAUACUAUUAACGCAACAACGUAUUUGAAGUCAAUACUAGUACUAAAGACAACACAAACACUUACAAAUAAACAAUAGCAUACAAUUAAAAUGGUUCCUUUACAGAAUUCAUCAUAUAAAAUAAGGAAUAACAACAAUCCUUGACCUACACCCAUACCUAUUUCACUUCUUCCUAGACAUAAAUAUAAAAUUGAAGGGAGUAUCCAACAUCCCACUAUUGAAACACUAAUUUUUGACACCCGACAUACGAUACACAUGGACACCAUUAAAAGGAAAAGAAUUCCUGAAAAUAUAUUCAAAAUUACAUAUGUUAAAUUGGUGGGAGCUAUGUCAGAUAUUGAUUCAUCGAAGGACACUGCAAGAAACGCUAAUAGUACUUGAAGUGCAGUCCUAAAACCACGGGGAAAAGUUUUGAGUAGAGCUAGUGUUAGGAAUAAUGUUACGAGGAACACAAGGUAGGUUGGAAUAUAGAAGAGAAGAAAAUCCAUUUGACCCAUGACUGAUUUCCCUAGUACCAUUGCAUCAUAUGAUCCUUUGGACUUUGAGGUAUUUUCACCUUGCCAAACACCACCAGGUGGGCUUAGAGUGGCUUGAUAGGUUGCAGUUAGAAGCAGUCCUAAAAUGAUUAGCAAGGCAUUGCGGUCAUCGGCUGAUAUGUUGUCCAUAUUUUGAAAAGUUAGUAGUGAUGCCUUUGUCACAUACUUGACAACUUGUUCCUCCAACUUACGUUUAAAGUUUGAAACUACUGGAAUAAAGCAGCCCUUCAGAAUAGCAAUGUUUUCUCUGUUAUUAUGUUGUUGUGCAAUACUCAGUGCGGUCAAACCAACUUGAUUGGUAGCAUGCUUAUCAGCCUUGCAAUUUAAUAGUAGUUUAAGCAUCUGUUCAAUUGAUAGUUUAGGAUAUAAAAAGGCUACAAUCAAUUAAUCAUGUCUUUGAAGUAAAAAAAGAAAAAGAAUCUAUGUAAUAUAAAUUACUAUCGAAGCAGUUGAGUCGAACCUUGGGUUGAUUAUGGAUAGCGGCUAUGUGAAGUGCAGUAUUUCCAUCUUUGUCUUUCCGGUUCACCACUUCCCAAUAAUAGUCUUUCCUCUUAAGCGUUGGAAUUAGGAGUUGGAGAACGUCCAGUCUAUUGUUUUGGAUAGCAAUAUGCAAAGCAGUGCGAUUCUCUAUUGUAACAUCUUGGAGACAAUCAGGAGAAGCUUCCAGAAAUGGAUCCAACAGACCAAGCUGGUUUCCAACUUUACAUAAGUAGUGCAAUGGAGUCUUACCUUUCUUUCCUCUGACACGAACAAGAUGUGUAUCAAUCUCCAAGAAGCGGAGUGCCAUCUCUUUAUGCCCUUUUCUAACUGCAAUGUGAAGUGGGCUCAAACCUUGGUGGUUAAGCUUUCGAGCAAAUGAUGGCUUUAAGUUCAUCAUCUCCAUUGCAAACUCAAUGCACCCUUCUUCUGCAGCUAUAUGUAAUGGAGUCUCGAUAAACUCCACCUCAUCAAAAUGCCUCAAAACAUUUCCAUUUCUUUGAAUUACUGUAUACAAUCCAUUAAGCUUUCCUGUACGAGCAGCCUGUCUUAAACUUUCAUCCAUGUGAGGAAGACUAAAAAUUGAAUGGUUGAAAGGGUUUAAGGUCACUUAGAGCAACUUAUUCAAAGAGAGUUUUUUUUUUUUAAAUAGAGUGAGGCAGACAAAUGGUGUAUAUUUAUGGUCUUGAUUUUGAGGUUUCGCCUUUAGUAGAGGAUUAUUGUAAAUAAUUUUGUUUUCAAUGGCUUUUUAUUUCAAGGUUAAGAAAUAAUGCUUUCGUCCAUUGACUUCACUUCCAAAUUGAUUUUUUUUCUUUGUGUAUAUGUUCAUAGUCAAAAGUCCAAUUCCUACUUUAAAACGUGAUGAUAUUAAUUUCCCGAAAAAUAAGUCAAAGAAAAUUAUUCGUAUUCUUCUCAUUUAUAAUUAAAAAUAUAUAAUUAUUCAAAUCCUGUGUUCGCAUUAACUUUGAAUCGCAUUAAUCGCGUUAUUAUUAAUAUUUUACUCUCUUCUUGCAAUUCAUAAAAAAUAUAUAUAUUUAUUCAUAUAUUUUUAUCAAAUAUAUAUCUAUAUACGAAUCUUCUAUCUAAAUUUGUAUUCUAAAUUAAUUGGACAUCAACUUAAUUAUGUGAUUAUAAAAAUAUCAAUUCAUUACAAAAUAACAUGCUAUUUUAAGAUUGUUUUAAUCUCUCUUUUUUUAAACCAUAUAAUAAAAUUUAAACUUAAAACGCUAUAAAUAUUUCUAUUUUACUAUUUUAAUUAAAAUUUCUUUUAAUUUUUAUAUAAUCUUUUAUAAAUAUAUUUAUUCUAUAAUUCUGUUAUUCAAUUUCAUUAGGGAUAUACCAUAAUUUAAUAUAUAUUAUAAAUAAAUUAUUAAAAAAAUAAAAAUAUUGGUUCAGAUUCAAUUGAUUUUUAAUCUUGUUUGUAUUGAUUCUUGAACUAAUUAGGUUUUUUUUUUAUCUCUCUUUAUAUUGGUACUCGACUCUACUCAUGUAAUUAUACCUCUAUGUUGAAAAGUGUUAAUGCAUUAAUUAAAGUUUGAUCUUGAUAAUUAUUUUUACAUUAGGAUAUAAAGGUUUUUUUUUUUGUUGAAUAAGAUAUUUUGGAAGAAGACAGAGAAAAAGACUACAGCAUCAUUGAAGGUCAUACAAUUAAAAAAACUAUAAAGUAAGCUUCAAAGACGGAAAUAAUUUUAAAACAAAAUUAUAAAAGAACAUCUGUCCAUAAUACUUUUCAUAAACUUGGAAAUUAUUUUCUUCAUUUUAUAAGAUGUUAAGGUUUUUUCUUUUUUGGGAGUUUUUAAAAAUUGGAUCAAUGUUGGUACCAAUGAAGUCACUAGUUUAUGAGUUGAAGUAGUUUGAUUAAAUAAAUUAUUAAAAUAAUAAAAAGAAUUUGGUUCAAUUGACUUUUAAUUUAAUCUAUAUUGAUUUCUGAGUCAAUUAGUUUGUUAUUUUUCUUUGAAUCAAUACCCCAACCAACUCGAUUUUGUUCAGGUAACCAUGUCUUUAUGUUAAAAAGCAUUAAUGCACUAAUCAGAGUCUGAAUUUAGUAACUAUUCUCACAUUCAGGUAUAGAAGGUUCUUUUAGCGAAGAGAUGAAACAUUGCAAAAAAUUGAAUAAGAUAUUUUGAAAGAAACCAGAGAGGAAGACUGAAACAUAUUCAAUAAAAUUGAGCAUUGAGCAUUGUACAAGUAAAAGAACUUUAAAACACAAAAUUAUAACUUUAAAAAAUAUUAAAACUCACAAUAAAAUAACAAGAUUAUAAAGUAAACUUUAAAAUGCACUAAUUAAUUAAAUUAAGUUACAUAUUAUAGAAAACGGUGUCGUUCCUAACCCAAACACGAGCUUUCUCUGGAUCUUCUUCCUCCUCUGAUCCAUAAUCACAGCCGUGCUCCACUGAAUUGGAGCUUUUUUUUUUUUUUUUGGCGUGUUACUCGUAAAGCACUUUUAGUUAAGAUUCGUGUGUUACUGUUGAAGUUGUUAAGAAAUGUGUUUUUGUUUUGAAUAUGAUAUAUACGUACAUAUCAGAAAAAAAAAAAUUAGCAUACCCGAGGUCUGUUUCUGAUAGCCGCAACGUGUAAAACAGUUUUCCCUUCCAUGUCUGCCCAACUUAUUGGUUCUUUCUCCCAACGUUGGGCAGCUUCAUGGCGGCUCCUUAUAAGCCACCUCACCAAGACUUGGAAAGCUUCAAACUUGUCUUUUACUGAAAUAUGGAAAACAGGCACGUCUUCAAUACCCUUGGGACAAACCUCAAGAAACUUGAACAAAAGAUCAGCAUCUCCGGUCCGAACGACAUGAUGCAGAGGAGUGAGGCCCCCCUUCCCUUUGACACGAAUGAAAUAAAUACACGUACACAUGUCUAAUACGCGUAAACAUGAUUUAAAUGGUUUUGCCGACAGCAAUCAAAUUUCCUAGUAAAGUCUUUGUGGUUGGUGAAGAACAGCCAUCGGACCAUACUUUUCAUAAACUUGAAAAUUCCAAUUAAGUCACUAAUUCAUUAGUUGAAUUAGUUUCAUAAAUAAAUUAUUAAAAUAAUAAAAAAUAUUGGUUCAUAUUCAAUUAAUUAGUUUUAUAUCUCUCUUUGUAUUGGUACCCCAAUCGGCGUAAUUCUACUUAAGUAAUCAUAUCUCUAUGUUGAAAAGUGUUAAUGCACUAACUGAAGUUUAAACUUGGUACGUAAUUGUUUUCACAUUAGGGUGUAAAAGUUUUUUUUUUUUUUUAGGUAGAGACAAAGCAUUGCAAAAAAAUUGAAUAAAAUAUUUUGAAAGAAGGCAAAGAAAAAGACUAAAGCAUCAUUGACGGUCGUACAAUUAAAAAAACUAUAAAGUAACCUUUAAAGAUGGAAAUAAUUUUAAAAAACAAAAUUAUAACUUAACCUAGGAACACCUGUCCAUAAUUCUUUUCAUAAACUUGGAAAUUAUUUAUAAGAUGUUAGGUUUUUUAUGGGAGUUUUUUAAAAUUAGAUCAAUGUUGGUACCAAUCAAGUCAUUAAUUCAUGAAUUGAAUUAGUCUGAUUAAAUAAAUUAUUAAAAUUAUAAAAGGAAUUUGGUUCAAUUGACUUUUAGUCUGAUCUAUAUUAAUUUCUGAGUCAAUUAAUUUGUUAUUUCUCUUUGAAUCAGUACCCCAACCAACUCGAUUUUGUUCAAGUAACCAUGUCUCUAUGUUGAAAAGCAUUAAUGCACUAAUCAAAAUCUAAACAUAACAACUAUUCUCACAUUGAGGUAUAGAAGGUUAUUUCGGUAAAGAGAUGAAAUAUUGCAAAAAUUUGAAUAAGAUAUUUUGAAAGAAAGCGAAGAGAAAGACCGAAACAUAUUUAACAUUAAGCUUUGCACAAGUAAAAAAUAAAUAAACUAAAUAAUUUUAAAACACAAAAUUAUAACUUUAAAAAAAUUAAAAUUCACAAUAAAAUAACAAGAUUAUAAAGUAAACUUUAAAAUGCACUAAUUAAUUAAAUUAAGUUACUUUUUAUAAAAAAAAUUCAAAGUAAAUUACUCGUAGUAAUUUUUUAAUGUUAGGUAUGUUGCAUAUGAUUUUAUAUUUUUAAUUUAUUAAAUAUUAUAUUUUUACAAAUUCAAAUAUGUAUUUAUGCUAAUUAAACGAGGUUUAAUUUAAUUUAUACUAAAGAUAAAUUAGUUUGAAAAAAUAUUAAGAGAAUAAAAUAGCAUUUUAAAAUUAAUGAAAAAAAUGAACUAAUACAUAUACAACUAUUAAAAUAAUAUACAAAUUUAAAACUAUAUAAAAAAAUAAAUGGAAAACAUAUUUACACUUAAUUAAAGAUCACAUUUAAUAAUAACAACUAAAAAAUAUUAUUUAAAUUUUGUUUUUCAAAAGAAUACACGAAACAUUUUUCAUCUGCACCAAACGAAUAAUGGACAAAUAAAAAAAUGAAUUUAAAAUUACUUGCUUCGCAUAAUACGGUUACUUUAUUUAAAUUUGUAUUGUUUAAUAUAGGUGAUUUAUUUAAAUUUCUAUAGAGAUUUCACCUUCGUACUUAAAAAAAUAAAACACUCACCCCUAAAUUUCCUCUUGACAAUUUAGGUUGUAAACACAACUUGUUUACUCUCAAUUGCACUCACACAAUUAGUUCCUCAAUUAAUGAAUAAAGUGCUCUCAAUAUAGUCUCUUUUAAAACCUAUACAAACCUCAACUUAUAUAGAAGUGUUUUGGUUUACUAACAUACUCGAUAUUGAUUACAAUAUAACCCCUUAAAAUCAACACCUACAAAAUAGAAAAAAAGAAAUAUAUUAUAAAGUCCAAUAAAGUCUGAUCUAUGGAUAUAUAGUCUUCAAUGUAAACAACAACUCAAUCCGAAAGAUUCUCUAUAAACAGAGGAUUGUAAUUGUUCAAACCAAUCCAAUCUUCACAAUGCAAAUAAUUAGUUCUCAUAAUUAGGCUUCUAUAUCUUCAAAAUAUCAACAUAGUUAAUAGCCCAAAGAUUUUAAGCCGAGGAUUGUCAACUCCAAAUAUAGCAAGUACAAUUGUACUAUUGCAAGGAUGGAUGACAAUGGGAUCUACCAAGUGCUGCUCAUAAUGCUUCUUUACAAUUUGUCUCAACAAUUUCCCCAUUUGAAUUUUUUUUUGAACAAAAUCCAAUUCAAACCAAGAAGUUAACUAGAAUUUUAUGUGAUGAUAUGAUGGUUAAGGGUGUUUACCGUUCCAGAUAUGGCUUGAGUUUGAGUCUUGUUAGUUGCGUUUUUUGUCCAGGCUUUCCCUGUUAUUAUAAUUCACUAAAAAAAUUUUACUGAUUUUUGACAAGUAUAAAUUAUGUUAAUAUCAUGGUUGAACUCAUUGCAUAUUUGAUUCUAAACAUCUCUCCGGUCCGAACGACAUGAUGCAGAGGAGUGAGGCCCCCCUUCCCUUUGACACGAAUAAGGCCUUCAUCAAACUUGAGGAGUCGAAGCACCGCUUGAGUUCUGUUAUUCUGCAGAGCCAAGUGCAUGGGGGUCAACCCAGCUUGGUAUAGUUUUCUUGCAAACGAUGGCUUUAAGUUGAUCAUCUCCAUCAGAAAAUCAAUAUGCCCUGCAGAGGCUGCCACAUGUAAUGGAGAAUGAAAAAAGGCACAUCAUCAAUACGCUGUAAAACAAAUGGAUGACUCGCAAUAUCUCCUGUUCGUGCAGCCUCUAUCAUCGUCGAAUUCAUAGCUUGGAAGAAGGGGGGCAGUCAAUUGUGAGACAAAUGGAAACUGAUAAAAAUUUUCAAGAAACACAGAAAAAAGAAGCAGAAGACAAUAUAGAAAAGGAAAUAUGGAAUGUCAAAAUUUGGAUCUAAAACGAAAAUCCGACUUAAGUAUAGCGUCUCAUAUUUGAUAAAAGAAAUCUUCAUUUCUUAAGUCUUAUUCGACUUAAAGCUUGUGUCACAUUCUUUAAACUUUGAUAUCUAUUAUUUCAAGUAUUUUAAUUAAAUAAAUUAAUAAAUUUAAGUGUUUGUGUAAUAGGCCCAAUUUGCUUGGGCCCAGACGAAAACCAAACAAAAAUAAAAAAUAACAAUUCCAGUCCAUUUACAGUAAAUUUAAACUCAAAAUAACAAUGGCCCGAACAGCCCAAUAAGAAUGAAAACCCACUAUGAAAUUGGAUGUAUAUUCUAAGUUUAAAGAAAUGAAAGGCAGUAGUGCGAACAAAAAGCCACAAGCGAUGCUGUUCUGUUUCUUUUAUGAGAAUUAUCGGGAAGCAUUUUUCUUUCUGAAAAGCUUGGGGGUUCCACCAUGUCAAAAGAAUUUUAUCAUUUAGAGUUGGGAAGCUUUUUUUGUGUUUCUUUUUGAAGAAUUCAUUGGAAAGCUUUUUUCCUUUUGAAGGAUUAUAAAUUUAGUAGUGAAAAAAUAUUACAAAACUCCUAAAUAAUUUUAGAUACACAUAUUUUAUCACUAAGCUUUAAAUAAAGUUUGUCUUUCUCACCCAUGUUAUUGUUAAAGAAAUAUAAAGUGACCCGGAACAGCGAAGAUUCCUUAAUUUAAUUGAAAUUUAUAUAACUUAUGUGAAAUAUGAUUUGAAUUAUGUAUGAAAAUUACAAGUAAUUUAAAGGAUAACUAAGAAAAAGAGAGAGCAAAGAUUAUACAUUAAUGCUUCUAUACUUAAAAGAUACAUAGAAAAUAAGAAACAAUUUGUGUAAAACGUGGGAUAGGUUUCACUCGAAAUUAUAGGAGACGUUUCUUUCACAUACUACAAAUGGAUAGAAGAAAUAGAUGUAUAAUGACUUAUUUGAUAUUCUAAUUUUAUAAAUUAAAAAGUCAUUUUAAUCAUUUGUCUAAUUUUUGUUUUUUUUUUUAGUUCUUUAACUUGUAUUAUUUGUCAAAUCACCUCAAAAUAGAUAUAAAAAUUUACAAAUAUGACAUAAACAUAGAUUGUCACAUAGAUGCUACAUUAGUAAUUAAUUAUUUUUUAAAUAUACAAAAUAUAAAAGCUAUAAAAAGUAUUAAAAAGUAUAAUUUUUAAUAAAUUAAUUAAUUGCUAAAUGCGUUCUGUCAAAAAAGUUAAAAGAUAUUAAUUUCUCUAUCUAUUUUGAAGUGAUUUGACAAAUAAUACAAGUUUAAUGAUCAAAAGAGACGAAAAAUUAAAUAGAUGACUAAAAUAAUUUUUUUUUUUGUAAAAUUGAAAGAUCAAAUAAACCAUUAUAUCUAAAAUAAACAAAAUCAACAACUAAAAUCACAUUGCCAUUUAGAUAAUUUAGGAUGUUACAACAUUGAUGCAUAAUCUACAAUUUAGAGCUAAGAUUAUACAUUACUUGUAUACUUAAAUUCACUUUUAGUUCAUCUAAUCAAAUUAUAAGUGAAAUAAACCUAUUCAAAGAAUAAUUCGCAAAAAUAUUUAGAAGAUAACGUCACAUUGACAUACUAGAAAUAAAUGUUACAACAUUGAGUGCACUGUAUUAUGUAUAAUCGACAUAAACUAAGUUAUAGCCAACAUUCUAUCUAUCUAAUUGGGUAUCUCAAGGUAUUACCAUCACUAAUGAAAGCAUUAAUACCUAUAAAUAAACUAUAGCAUACUACUAAAUUGGUUCAUUUCAAGAAUUCAUCAUAUAAAAAAAAGGAAUAACAGCAAUUUUUGAGCUGCGCCUAUACUUAAUUUUUUGCCUAAACAUAAAUAUAAAAUUGAAAGGAAUAUUCAACAUCCCACUAUUGAAACAUUAAGUUUGACACUUGAUAUUCGACACACAUGAAUACCAUUAAAACGAAAUGAAUUCUUGAAAAUAUAUUUUACGUGUGUUGAAUGGGUGGAGCCCAUAACAGAUAUUGAUUCAUCGAAGCACACUGCAAGCAACACAAGUAGUAUUUGAAAUAUAACAAUGAAGGCAUAGGUGCUAGUCAAAUGAAGUAGGUCUUUCAUGUUGGAAAUUAUAGAUUGUAAAUUUAAUUAUUGAUGAGCAUUUAUUCAAAUUUAGAAAGUGAUAUAUUUUUAUGAGAAAUAUUUUUUUUAAAUAUGUCUAACGGUUAUGAUUCUAUAAAAUAGUAUUUCUUAAAUGCAUAUAAAUAGAAAUCGCAAUUACAAUCAAUCUUAUUUUCAAAAAUUAAAGUAAGAAUAUUCCUCUAUUUUACAAUGGAUUUGUCAUGUUCAUGAAAUACAAAAGAAUCUAUGUAAUAUUAAUUAUAAAAGCGGAUGAGUCAAACCUCGGGUUGAUUAUUUCUAGCAUGCAGCAAUGUGUAGUGCAGUGUUGACAUUUUUGUCUUUCCUGUUUACCACUUCCCAGCAACAGUCUUUCUUCCCAAGUUUUGGAGUUAGGACUUGAAGAACGUCUAAUUGAUUGUUCUUCGUUGCAAUCUGCGAAGCGGUGCAAUUCGCUGUUGUAACAUCUCGGAUACUAUUAGGACAAGUCUUCAGAAAUGUAUCUAACAGGCCAUCGUGGCUUCCAGCUUUACAAAUGUAAUGCAAAGGAGUCACACCAUUUUCCCCUCUAACACGAACAAGAUCGUUAUCGGUUUCUAUGAGACGCAACGCCAUCUCUUGAUGCCCUUUCUCGACAGCAAGGUGAGUAGGGCUCAAGCCUUGGUGGUUUAGCUUCCUGGCAAAGGAUGGCUUUAAACUCAUAAUCUCCAUUGCAAACUCAAUGCACCCUUCGUCUACAGCAAUGUGUAAUGGAGUAUUGACAAACUCCACCUCAUCAGAGCGCUUCAAAACAUUUCCAUCUCUCUCGAUUAAUGUAUACAACUAACAUUUCCUGCUCGAGCAGCUCUUUCCAAUAUGUUAUCCAUAACAGGAGGAAGGAUCAACUGAAAGGCUAAUGUGAUAUGUUCAGAGUCAAAGGUUUAAAUAAAUGGGAGGCAGUAGGUGAACGAGGAAGGCUAAUGUAUACAAUUAGCUUACUGUACGAAAAGAAGUCAUUCGUUCUUUUCGUUUUAUAUGAAAAGCCUACUGUAUCAAAUACAAUUAGCUUACGAAAAUAGUGGAAAGUUACAUAUGAAAAUCAAGUAUACUUGAGUGAUAUUUCAUUUUCUCGGAAAAAAAAUUGUUAGGCAAUUCUAAUGGCUUUGGUUCAGACUUUCAAUUGGUUGCUUUACUUUCAAUGGCUUUGGUUGACACUUUCAAUUGGUUGCUUUACAUUUAAGUCAAACUGAAGCUUUGGUUAAGCAUGAAAUUGGACACUACCUAAAACAUAGCAAAUUGCAUGCUCCCAACCUCAACCUGGUUUUUCUAAACAUAAUUUAUUUAAUAUAUAUGUUAAAAUAGUUAAAUAUAGUAUUUAAAUUUGAAAUUAUAAGGAUGAGUAAAUAUUUUUGUAAAAUAAAUAAUACCUCUUUCAAAUAAGUAAUAAAUAAUACUUGUGAAACCCAUGUAAUUAGCCAAUUGUAAUUAGUUUAUUGCAAACCAAUGAACUAAAAACAUGUGAAAAAAUAAUACUUCUACACUACACCAAAACAGGCUUUUAGCGGCAUUUUCAGCAGCGUUUAGACAAAAAACGCCGCUAAAAAUCGAUCAUUAGCGGCGCAUUACGUAAAACGCCGCUAAAGAUUGAGCAUUAGCGGCACUUUCAGGAAAGCGCCGCUAAAAAUGAGCAUUAGCGGCGUUUUUUUGUAAAACGCCGCAAAAAACCUAAGCCCAACAGCAUUGUUUUCAACCUUUCGGGGCUUUAGCGGCGUUUUUAAAAAAAGCGCUGCUAAUGCUCAGAUCUUUAGCGGCGUUUUUGACAAAGCGCCGCUAAUGCUUAGAUCUUUAGCGGCGUUUUUCAAAAAGCGCCGCUAAUUCUCAGAUCUUUAGCGUCGUUUUUGAAAAAGCGUCGCUAUCAAAUCUUUAGCAGUGUUUUUGGAAAAGCGCCGUUAAUACUCAGAUCUUUAGCGGCGUUUUUGGAAAAGCGCCGCUAAUGCUCGGGGCUUUAGCGGCGUUUUUUAAAAAGUGCCGCAAAAACAUUUUAACUGUCUAUUUACUAUUUAAUUUGUUUAUUUAUAUUAAUUAAAAUUCAAUUUAUUUUUAAUUGAAUAUUUGUUAAAAAUGGAUAAAUUUGAAAUAAUAACACGUAGAAAUAAUUUGAAAUAAAAAAAUAUAGAAAAAUAUUUGUUAAAAAUGGAGAAAUUAAAAUACUAUUAUUUAAAAUAAUUUUAAAUUUUUUUGGGUACAUAAUUGAUUGAUUUUUAAUUUAUAUAUUAAAUAAUUUCAAAUAUAAUUGUAAAAGAUACGAUAGUAUUAAUUUUAAAAUAUUUAAUUUAAUUAUCAUUAUAGUUUAGGGUUUAAUAUAUAUGGUUUAGAGUGUAUAUAUAUGUUUAAUUUAGGAUUUAGGGCCGGUUUAAGAGUUACAAUUUUAAGGUUUAUAGAUUAUGGAAUUAGAGAUUAUGGAUUAGGGAUUUUGAUUUAAGGGUUGUGAUUUAAGGUUUAUGGGUUAGAGGUUAGGGGUUAGAGGUUAAGAGUUAUGAUUUAGGGUUUAUGGAUUCAAUGUCAGGUUAGGGUUUAGGGUAUAGAUUAAUUAAUGUGUUUUAAUUUAUAUAUUAAUAAUGUUUAGGGUUAGGGUUAGGGAUUCGGGGUCAGGUUAGGGUUUAAUGUUUAGAUUAAUUAGUGUUUUUUAAUUUAUAUAUCAAAUAAGGUUUAGGGGUUAGUGUCUAAGGGUUUGGGGUUAGUGUUUAAAGGUUUAGGAUUAAGAGUUAGUGAUUUAGGGUUUAGAGAUUCGAGGUCAAGUUAGGGUUUAAGGUUUAGAUUAAUUAGUAUUUUUAAUUUAUAUAUUAAAUAAGUUCUUAUAUAAUUGUAAAAGAGACAAUAAUAAAUUGUAAAGAUUAUUAAUCUAACCAUUUGAUAUAUUUGAAUAUUAGAUUUAAAAAAAUUAAUAAAAAAAUGUAACAAAUUGAUACAGAUAGGUAACUAUCUAUUUUGGAUAUAUAGGACCAAAUUAUAACAAAUAAAAAUAAAAGACAAAAACUAAAAUCAUUCCACAUCGAGCAUCUAGCAAAAGAAUUACAUUUUAGUUAGGAAGAAAUAUCUCUAAUAAAAAGCGUCGCUAAAAGUCAAUAUUAUAGCGCCGUUUGUAAUAGAAGCGCCGCUAAAGGUCUUGGUCUUUAGCGGCGUUUGUGGGAAAAGUGCCGCUAAAGGUCUUGGUCUUUAGCGGCGUUUUUGGGAGAAGUGUCGCUAAAGGUAUUGGUCUUUAGUGGCGUUUGUGGGAGAAGCGCUGCUAAAGGUCUUAGUCUUUAGCGGCGCUUGUGGGAGAAGCGCCGCUAAAGGUCUUGGUCUUUAGCGGCGUUUGUGGGAGACGCACCGCUAAAGGUCUUGGUCUUUAGCGGCGUUUUUUUCUAUAAACGCCGCUAAAGUUAGCGACGCCAUCUUUAGCGGCGUUUUUUUGGCGCUUCUCAAAGCGUCGCAAAUACUUUUAGCGGCACUAAAAAGCACCGCUAAAGGCCUAAAAAAGCGCCGCUAAAAGCCUGUUUUGGUGUAGUGCUAUUAAAUGUAUUAUUAAUGUUAUUAAUUAAAGGGUUUUUUUUUUGCCAUUAAGUCUUUGGCUAUGCUAGUAAGGUUAAAACAUGGGAUUUUGAAUGUUCAAGAUCGAAAUUCACUCUUUGUAAACCAUGUAUGAGUUUUAUUAGAGGAUUAAUUGUUCGGGCUACAUUAUGGGUCGAAUUUAAGCAGUAUGUUAACAUAUUUUAUGUUUAUCCAAGUUCAGGCUAACUCUAAAUAUAAGCUUAAAAUUUUGUCCAAGUUUACACAUACUUGUAAAUAACUAACCGAAGCCCAUUUGCGGCCACCCAUAUUAUUAUUUUUUAAAUUUGUUUGAAAUAUUUAUAUUAUUUUUAGUUUAAUAUUUAAUAAUUUUAUAUAGUUUUUCAUUUAUUAAAAUUUUAUAUGCAUCCAACUAACAAUUUUUAAUGCUUACAAUUAAUAUGAUAUAUUACUAUAGAUUGAAUUUUAAUGUGUUACAAAUUACAUAUUAUAUAAAAAUAACAUAAUAUAAUAUAUUAAAAACUAUAGAAAAUGAAUCGGACUAGUCGGGAUUAGAAGGUCAGGCCUUGAAUGUUUGAGCUCAACCCCGACACAUUUUAAACAUGUUUAUUUUUUGAUUUGUUUGUUCAAACCUUUUUUUUUACUGUUCAAAAUUUUGAGUGAGUCUUUUAGCUUGAACAUGUAAUUCAAUCCUUGAACAAGUUUGUGUUUUAUCUAAACUUAUUUUUACUUAAAUAUGGUUACGUGUGAAUUAUGUCUAGAAUUAUUCAAAUCGAGAUUAUUUUUCAUCUGCAAUUUUUGAUUUGAAUGUAUUGUAUAUUCUUUUUAAUUAUCAGUGAGAAUGAUCGUAUUUGCACCAUUUCUAAAUUUUUUUAGAGCUCUAACCAUUUUAAUUAUCACUUAACUAAUAAUACAAUUAUAUAUCAAUCAAAAUUUAAAUUUAACUUUAUAAAUAGCAUCCAAUAGUUAAACAUAUCAGUCAGAUAGCAAAUAAAAUAGAGUACUAAGAAACAAUUGAGCAUUAAAGCAAUGAUUCUUCAAACAAUACAAUAGAAUUAUAAUGAUUUUAUAAAGAAAAAACUUAUUUUAAUCUAAUUUUAGUUCAUUAUUUCAAAUUAUUAAAUGGGUUUUAAUAUUAAUUAAUUUCUUUUGUUUAUUAUUAAAAAAGCUAUAUGCUAGGGGUAGAAGAGAGUUAAUAAUAAGAGAAAUAUUAUUUUAAUAUAAUUAAUUAUUUAGAACGACUUUCACAAAAUAAAUUUAACGAAAAAUGAAAAUUUGUAGAAAUUAUUUUAAAAAAAGAAUAUAUGUCAAUUUUCUUUCACCUGAAAAUCUAAUCGAAUUAUAAACGAAAUAAACCCAUUCAAAAAAUAACAACAAAAAUGUUAUAUUGACAUAUUACAAAAGGGUAUUACAAAAUUGGGUGCACCGUAUUAUACAUAAUAGACCUAGAUUAAGGAAUAACCAGCAUCCUAUUAAUGCAACAAAGUAUGGGAAAGUCAAUAUCAUUACCUAAUAAAGCAUCAACACUUACAAAUAAACAAUAGCAUACAACAAAAAAGGUUCCUUUCCAGAAUUCAUCGUAUAAAAUAAAGAAUAACAACAAUCCUUGACCUACACUCAUAUCUAUUCCACUUUCCACAAAAAAGUAUAAAAUUGAAGGGAAUAUCCAAUAUCCUACUAUUGAAACACUAAUUUUUGACACUCGACAUACGAUACACAUGGACACCAUUAAAAGGAAAAGAAUUCCUGAAAAUAUAUUAAUAAUUGCAUAUGUUAAAUAGGUGGGGGCUAACUCAGAUAUUGAUUCAUCGCAGGACACUGCAAGAAACGCUAAUAAUACUUGAAGUGCACUCCUAAAAUCAUGUGGAAAAGUUUUGAGUAAAGCUAGUGUUAGGAAUAAUGUUACGAGGAACACAAGGUAGGUUGGAAUAUAGAAGAGAAGAAAAUGCGUUUGACCCAUGACUGAUUUCCCUAGUACCAUUGGAUCAUAUGAUCCUUUGGACUUUGAGGUAUUUUCACCUUGCCAAACAACACCAGGUGGGCUUAGAGUGGCUUGGUAGGUUGCGGUUAGAAGCAGUCCUAAAAUGACUAGCAAGGCAUUGCGGUCAUCGGCUGAUAUAUUGUCCAUAUUUUUAAAAAUUAGUAGUGAUGCUUUUGUCACAUACUUGACAACUUGUUUCUCCAACUUACGUUGUAAGUUUGAAACUACUGGAAUAAAGCAGCCUUUCAGUAUAGCAAUGUUUUCUCUGUUGUUAUGUUGUUGUGCAAUACCCAGUGCGGUCAAACCAACUUGAUUGGUAGCAUGCUUAUCAGCCUUGCAAUUUAAUAGUAUUUUAAGCAUCUGUUCAAUUGAUAGUUUAGGAUAUAAAAAGGCUAGAAUCAAUUAAUCAUGUCUAUGAAGUAAAAAAAGAAUCUAUGUAAUAUGAAUUACUAUCGAAGGAGUUGAGUCGAACCGUGGGUUGGUUAUGGAUAGCGGCUAUGUGUAGUGCAGUGUUGCCAUCUUUGUCUUUCCGGUUCACCACUUCCCAGUAAUAGUCUUUCCUCUUAAGCGUUGGAAUUAGGAGUUGGAGAACGUCCAGUCUAUUGUUUUCGAUUGCAAUAUGCAAAGCAGUGCGAUUCUCAAUUGUAACAUCUUGGAUACAAUCAGGAGAAGCUUCCAGAAACGUAUCCAACAGACCAAGCUGGUUUCCAACUUUACAUUAGUAGUGCAAUGGAGUCUUACCUUUCUUUCCUCUGACACGAACAAGAUGUUUAUCAAUCUCCAAGAAGCGGAGCGCCAUCUCUUAUGCCCUUUUCUAACAGCAGUGUGAAGUGGGCUCAAACCUUGGUGGUUUAGCUUCCGAGCAAAUGAUGGCCUUAAGUUCAUCAUCUCCAUUGCAAACUCGAUGCACCCUUCUUCUGCAGCUAUAUGUAAUGGAGUGUCGAUAAACUCCACCUCAUCAACACGCCUCAAAACAUUUCCAUUUCUUUGAAUUACUCUAUGCAAUUCGUUAACCUUUCCAGUACGAGCAGCCUUUCUUAAAUUUUCAUCCAUGUGAGGAAGACUAAAAAUUGGAAGGUUGAAAGGGUUUAAGAUCACUUAGAGCAAUUUAUUCAAAGAGAAAGAGAGAGUUAAAGGCAGACAAAUGUGUGUAUAUUUCUGGUCUUGAUUUUUGAGGUUUCGCCUUUAGUAGAGGAACACUUUUGGUCAUGUUAUAGUUUAUUGAAAGAGCUUAAGCCCACUUACGGUGUUUAUAACUAGAAUGAGUGAAGACUUAGGUGCUCUGUCAAAUGAAGUAGGUCAAGACUUCGCUGCAGCUUUGUUUAUAAAGAAAGCAUAAAAAGGAAGCCUUACAUUUGGCCAAAUUUUAAUUGAUAUGCUUGCCAUUUCAUGUUGUCUUAAUCCAGAAAAGCUACCUCUCAGAUUAUUAUUUAUGUUAUAAAACCUGUUAACACAGAUCAGUACUCAACAAUUUUGUUCAUAUUAUAGUUUUAUUUCUUUAGGCUCAAUCUCACACUUUCAAAACAAAUUACCUAUUUCCUCUUUUUUAUCAGAUUGAAUUUUUAAAUCGAAAAAUGCAUCGAAUAUACUUUUUAACUCAUAAAUAUAGGGUGGUUAAAGGUUGAUGAGUCAACCCAUUUUGUACAUAUAUCAUAUGGCCACUCUUCUCACACUAUUUUAUUUUAUAUAUCAUAUUAUCACUAGACGAAUUUUAGAAAAAAAAAUCAUGAAAUAUCAAUUUUUUCUAAAAAAGUUCAAUUAAAAAAUGAGAGUACACGUUAAUUUUUUUUUGAAUUACGAAUUAAUUAAAAAAUUAUUAUAUCACAUUUAAAAAAAUUUUAAAAUAUUUUUAAAUUAUAAUUUAUAGAGUUUAUAUUGAUGAAUUUCUCCUUUUCACCUAUGAUUUUUUUUCCCAAAAGGACUUUUCACAUAAAAUUUGUUUGUUAUUAUUUUUCUUGUUAUUGUUUUAAAAUUAUUCCUAUUGCUUUUAUGGACGUCUAUAUUUUUGGCGAUGUCAUGAUUUAAACCAACAAAGGAACAAUAGAAAAGACAGAAAUUGAAGGGUAUAAGAAAAUAGAAAAAAGGCUGCUUUUUAAAUUUGUUUUGGAUAUUUGGAGGAGUUUAAGGAUUUCAAAUUUUAAAAAAUAAAUUUAUUCGAAUAAAAAUAUUGAAUAAUUUCCAAAUUUAUGAAGAAUUUUAAGAGAGGAUUUCGCUUGGCUCAAAUUCUUCUUUUUGUUUAAAUCUAAUAUAUUUUCGAUAUUUUAUUUCAUUAAACAUAUUUAUAGAUUUACAAAUCCAAUGAUUUACAUACUAAAUAUUCUUGUAUUAUUUUAUUUUUAAUAUAUAUAAUUAUUCCUUUUAAUAAUUAGUUUUUAAUUCAAACAAUUAGGAUUGCUAACAUUUUAAAUUAAUAAAUUAAAUUUUUUUAAAAUUUUAAAAUUAUUCAAUCAAACACGCGUUGAAAUAUUUAGUAUUAAUGUAUUAAAAAUAUACUUAAAUAAAUGAAAAAUGAUUGUAUAAAACUAUGAUACAAACUAUUCUUUAUCUUUUUCUAAUAAAAAAUAACAAUUACCGAAAUUAUUAUUUGCUAAUAAAUGGUGGGAUAAGACUUGAAAUUAAUGUUGAAGUUGAAGAUAUUGAAAUCAAAUGGAGCUUUAUUUUGGGUUAAUUGUAGGUUGGACAAGUUAGAGAGUUACAACAUUUAUUAAACUGUUUUAUGCAUAUAUAAUCGACAAAAAUGAAGUAAAAACCAGCAUCCUAGUAAUAUAAUAGGGUAUCUGGAGCUAAUACCAUCAACACCAUUAUCAAUACCAAUCAAAGAAUCUAUUCUAAAGAAUAAACCAUAACCUACAACUAAAAUAAUUCCUUUUAAGUACUCAUCGUAUAGAAAAAAGGACAACAAAAAUUCUUAAAUUACACCUCCAACUAUUUCUCCACCUAAAAUGGAAAAAAAAGAAAAAAAAAUCAAACAUCCCACUAUUAAAACACUGAAUUUUGACACCUGAUAUGUGAUGCACAUAAACACCAUUAAAAUGAAAAUAAUUGUUGAAAAUAUACAAAGAAUUCCCGAUGUUAGAAAGGUAGGGUCUAUGAAAGAUAUUGAUUGAUCGAAGCACAUUGCAAGAAAGGCAAGUAGUACUUGAAGUGCUGUCCUGAAACCAUGGGGAAAUGGUUUAAGCAGGGCUAGUAUUAGGAAAAAGGUUACUAUGAAGACAAUAUAAGUUGGAAUAUAGAAAUGAAGAAAACUAGAUUGAUCCAUGACUGAUUUCCCUGGUACUGUUGAAUCAUAUGAUCCUUUGGACGUUGAGGUAUUUUCACCUUACCAAACACCACCAGGGGGGCUUAGACUGGCUUGGUAAGUUGCAGCUAGAAGUACUCCUAAAAUUACUAGUAAGGCAUUGCGGUCCUCCCCUGAUAUAUUAUCCAUAUUGUGAAAAAUUAGUGAUGAUGCCUUUGUCACAUGCUUGACGAUUUGUUUCUCCAAUUUACAUUUAAAGUUUGAAACUUCUGGAAUAAAGCAACCACGCAGAAUAGUAAUGCUUUCCCUAUUAUGUUGUUGUUGUGCUACAUCCAUUACCGUCCAACCAGCCUGGUUGUUGGCAUGCUUAUCGGCUUUGCAGUUUAAUAGUAGUUUAAGCUCUGUUCAAAAAGGCUACGUUUAGUUAAUCCUACGUAUGAAAUACAAAAGAACCUAAUCAAUACGGACUGCUAUUGAAGUAGAUGAGUCAAACCUCGGGUUGAUUAUGGAAAGCAGCUAACUGCAGUGCAGUGUUUCCAUCUUCAUCUAUUUGGUUCACCACUUCCCGAUAAUAGUCUGUCUUCCAAAGUGUUCGAAUUAGGACUUGGAGAACAUCCAGUCUGUUGUUUUCUACAGCAAUAUGCAAAGCAUUGCGAUUCUCAAUUGGAACAUAUUGUAUACAUUGAGGACAAAUCUCUAAAAUUCUAUCCAACAUGCCAUCAUGAUUUCCAGCUUCACUUAAGAAGUGCAAGGGAGUCUUACCGUUCUUUCCUUUGACACGAACAAGAUCAUUAUCCAUUUCCAAGAAACGUAGAGCCAUCUCUUUAUGCCCUUGUUUAACUGCAAUGUGAAGUGGGCUCAGGCCCUGUUGGUUUAGCUUCCUAGCAAAUGCUGGCUUUAAGUUCAUCAUUUCCAUUGCAAACCUAAUGCAUCCUUCUUCUGCAGCAAUGUGUAAAGGAGUGUCGACAAACUCCACCUCAUCAAAGUGCCUCAAAACAUUUCCAUCUCUUUGAAUUAAAUUGUACAAAUCAGUAACAUUUCCUGUACGAGCUGCUGUUCUCAACCUUUCAUCCAUGUGAGGUGGAAGGACCAAUUGACAGAAGAAAAUUUGAAAGAGCUUAAGCCCACUUACAAGGUUUACUAGAAUGAGUAAAGACUAAGGUGCUCUGUGAAAUGAAGUAGGUCUUUCACAUGUUCAUACUCGAAAGUUUAAAAUAGGAAACAUUUAUCAAGAAUUUUCUGCAGCUUUGUUUAUAAAGAAAGCAGAAAAAGGAAUCUUUCAAGUCCGCCUGCUUAUUAUUUUAAAGAAAGUUACAUUUGUCCAAAUUUUAAUUGAUCUUCUUGCCAUUGGCUAAGCAGCCUCUCAUAUUAUUAUUUAUGUAUUUAGGUUAGUUUAAAAUUUUUAAAAUUUUAUAUUACUGAAGGUAAAAUUGUAUUACCUUCUUAAAAAUAAUAAUAAUUUAAUUUAAUCUUUUAAAAUUUAUAAAGAUAUAAACAAUUAAAAUGAUGAAAUUAAAUUUUUACUAUCGUAAAAAUUAUAAUUUAAUUUCGAUUUCUCUUAAAAAAAUUAUACCAAAUAAGUUUUUUAAUUCAUAAAAUAUGAUCGUUAAAGGUUGGCGAGUGAACCAUUUUGUACAUAUAUCAUAUCACAUGGCCACUCUCGUGAUACUAUUUUAUUUUAUAUAUCAUAUUAUAAUGGUGUUUUUGGAUCACUAGAGGAAUGUUAGAAAAAAAAUCAUAAAAAUAUCAAUUUAAAAAAAAAACAAAUCUAUUAAAAAAUGAGAGUACACAUUAAUCUUUUUAAUUACGCAUUGAUUAAACAAUUAUUAAAUGACAUUUUAUAAAAAAAUUUAAAAUACAUUUAAAUUAACUAUAAUUUAUUUACACACACAAAAAAAAAAAAAAACUAUAAUUCAUAGAGUCUACAUUAAAGAGUGAGUUAGUAUAGGAAAGGUUAUAGCAAUGGAUGUUUAAUCUUUUUGGUGCUGUGAUCUAAGCCAACAAAGGAACAAUAGAAAAGACAGAAAUUGAGCGAUAAAGUAUAUACAUAUUUAUUAUGUUUUUGAAGGUUUCAUUAACCUGGAGUUAUUAUAUUAUAAAACUUUGCAUACUUUAAGGUUAAAAACUUGUGUUCAUCCAUGUGAUCUAGUUUUAUCCAAUGAUAAAACUAUGCCUUUUGUAUGCCCAUACUCCAAAUGUAAACAAAUAGCAUCUACAAUAAACUUCAUACUUCACUAGCAUUGUAUAUCCCCUCCACCGCCACCCCUGUGGCUAUCAAUAAGUUCAGAAUUAAGUAGCUGUGGUUUUCUCUUGUAAGGAUGAGAACACAAGUUUCAAUCUAAAAAAUAUUAUUUGUUGUGUUAAGAUAUAAUAAAUCUGUUAAAGAAGUAGUUACAGAUUAGCUGAGUUGUCAGCUAUAUUGUUAAGAGAAGCAGUUAGUUAGAGAGUCUAUAAAUGUUCACGAUUGGCAUUGUAUUGAAUCAAGUUAGAAGUCUAAAUUCAGAAUUGAAAACAUUGUUCAUUAAGAAUUCUUUAGUUUCUUAGAACUUACCUAUAUUUCUUCAUGGUAUCAAUCGCCUGGUGAUCCUCUGCCAUGGCUACCACGAAUUCUGCUACUUCUGAUUCUGUAGAACCGCAAGUGUCUGCGUUUGUUGCUGAUCGAGUUGUAAAUUCAUUUCCUCGUCAUGAGGUUGUGAAGCUAGAUGAAGGCACCUUUGUUCAGUGGAAACAACAGGUGCGUUUUAUUGUUAAUGGUUACAAUUUGUUUGGAUUUCUUGAUGAAUCGGUUUCUCCUCAGCUGCGAUUCAUGCAAGCACCGGAUGGUGCCCUUGUGGUGAAUUCGACAGCCUCUGUUUAUCACCAACAGGGUAAUUUGAUUACAUCCUGGCUUCUAUCAACAAUCAAUUCUUCGAUCUUGUCUUCUUUUACAAAUGUGCAAACCGCUUCGGAUGUGUGGACGACGGCGUUGGCCUUGUUUGCAGCGGACACAGAUCUGAAACAGUCCCGCCUGAGACAUGAUCUUCAUUCCAUCAAGAAGGGAAAUCUGUCCAUCCGAGAUUAUGUUGGAUGUGUGCUCUUUUGGAGGCCUCUGAUUCUUCGAUCUCGGUGGCGGAACGAACGACGGUGUUUCUUCCCGGUCUUCCCUCGGAGUUUGACGCCGUGGUGUCGUCUGCUACACUGUCUUCGACCUCUCUUCCUUUCCAGCGUCUUGUCGAUGCGCUGAUCGAGUAUGAAAAUCGUCAGGUGCAAGCGGCUAAAGAAGUUGUUUAUGCCGCGAAUUUAGUGGAAGACUCGUCACCGGUUGUGGAUGUUUCAUCACGUGGGGGACGUUCGGUGGUGCGUGGCCGUGGUCGGAGCUUUCGGCCUCGGCUUCAGUGUCAGAUCUACUCAAGGUUCAGUCACGUUGCUCAACGGUGCUAUUACCGGUACCAUCAUGAAGACGCAUCUCCGGUGCAAUUUCCGUCGUCGACUCCUCCUGCUACUGGGUUUUGUGACUAGCCUUCACAGCAAAAUACAAGGCCUAGAAUUUCUAAUGUUGGUCAAAAUGGUUAUGGGUCUGGUCAACAUGGUGAUAAUGGUCAAAAUUGGUUUGUUGAUGGACCAUUUAAUACACAGCAGUGGGGGCCGCAUGAACUUCAAAAUGUUGGGCUCAAUAAUGGUUGGCCUAGGCAAAAUAUUGAUGAGGGCCGUAUGUUUAGGCCUCCAUAUUAUGGGCCGAAUGUUCUUGGGCCUAAUCAUGGGCCGAAUGAAGGAUUAGACAGGAGAUUUGGGCCUACUCAUGAUAAUGGGCCGAAUGAUGUUGGGCCGAAUGCUUCUUUAUUAGCACCUAACCCUGUUUCGAAUAAUGUGCAGCUUGACCCGGCUAAGCCAUCCGGUAAUGUUGGUGUUCCGUGGCGUACUAAACCACGAGCCUGUGUGUUUUCAGUGUCCAAUAUUUGUUUUGGGCUUCCUAGAUUGGGAGAUCUUCAUGCGUCUGACUAUUCUGAUUUGUCUAUCUCCGGUUCGCAUAUAAACUCCACACAACAUGGGAUUAGUAGAGAUGGCUCUGACUCUCCGGUUCCUGGGCCAGCUAGCACUACAUCCUGGUAUCCUGAUUCGGGUGCUAGUAAUCACGUGUGUCAAGAUCCUUCUGCACUGCGUGAUGCUGUUCCAUAUUCAGGUACGUCCUCUCUUUUAAUAGGUGAUGGUACGCCUGCUAUGAUAUCGUUUGUUGGUCAGGGUGUUUUGUCUACACAGUCUAGGUUACUUCGGUUAUUUAAUGUUUUGUGUGUUUCAGCUAUUCGAAAAAAUUUAUUGUCAGUAUCACAAUUUGCAACUGAUAAUGGUGUUUUAUUUGAGUUUCACUCCAUUUAUUAUGUGAUUAAGGACAACAUGACACAGGAGAUUUUGCUGACGGGCUGUAUACAUAAUGGGCUAUAUCAGUUUUCUAUAUCAGAUGCUUCUAUUCCUGUUACAUUUCAUCUGUCUACUGCUCAGGUUGAAAUUCCAACUCGGACUGCCGACAAUGAGUUUUGUUUACUAUGGCAUAAGCGUCUUGGCCAUCCAUCAUCGAAUGUUGUUAAGAAUGUUCUUGAUAAAUGUCAUUUCAAUUUGAAUAAAGUUGCGAUAAGCGAUGUUUGUACUGCUUGUAAAAAAGGAAAGUUUCAUAAGUUGUCGUUUCUUGUUUCUAGUACUGAAUAUACUGAUCCCUUCUCUUUGGUUAUUUCGGAUUUGUGGGGACCUGCCUCAAUUGCUUCUGGUAACAAUUGGUAUUAUGUGUCGUUUAUCGAUAUGAGUUUUCGGUUUACUUGGGUGUAUUUGAUUAGGCAAAAAUCUCAGGCUGUGACUUACUUUAUUCGGUUUCAGAAACUUAUUCAGAAUCAGUUUGGCAAGACCAUCAAACAGUUCCAAAGUGACUAGGGCGGGGAGUAUCGAGCAUUUGCUUCAGUUCUGGCCUCUCAAGGUAUCAUCCAUUGCAUUUCAUGUCCUCAUGCCUCUGAACAAAAUGGUGUUGCUGAGCAUAAACAUAGACAUAUUAUGGAAAUGAGACUCACUCUUUUAGCUCAAGCUGGUCUUUCAAUAGAGUUCUAGGCGUAUGCCUUUACAUGUGCUGUUCAUUUAAUAAAUCGUCUUCCCACACCAGUUCUGAAUUGUAGGACUCCGUAUAGAGCUCUGUAUGGGACUGAACCUAUCUAUGAUCAUCUACGUAUUUUUGGAUGUUGCUGCUAUCCGUAUUUACGCCAUUUUCAGCGGCACAAGUUAGAGUUUAGGUCUCAACCGUGCACGUUCUUGGGUUACAGCUCUUGUCACAAAGGGUAUCAAUGCCUUUUGCCUGAUGGUCGAAUUAUUAUCUCGCGUCAUGUAGAGUUUGAUGAAUCAAGGUUUCCCUCUCCAACGUCUCUAUCACGGUCUACUCGGGAGGUGAGUACUAUACCUACAUGUUUUCCUGUACUUAAGACUAAACCAUUGUGUCAAAGGAACUCAGUAACUAGUCCUAUUUGUCCGAGUACGGUGCAUGGGUCUUCGAUUCCUCAGAAUGGAGUAGAUAAUAGUCCGGAAAAUACUAAUGGUUCUAAUACUCCCUCUUUAACUAGGUCUUCGAUUCCUCAGAAUGGAGUAGAUAAUUCUCAAAAUAAUUUUUCUUCCUCUGGUGAUUUGUCUCCUACACCUGUGGUUCCAGUUCCAUUUGUUCCUACAGGACCAGAGGUUUCUGUUCCUAACAUGAAUGUUCAUUCCAUGACCACUCGGUCAAAGGCUGGUAUUUUUAAACCUAAAGUUCUUGCUGUUGAAGUUGUAGAACCAUCAACGAUUGAGAAAGCUUUUACUAGCCCUGAAUGGCAGACUACUGCUCAAUCUAAGUAUGAUGCCUUAAUCCGUAAUGGUACCUAGGAACUUGUCCCUGUGCCAUCAGGUAGGAAAGUCAUUGGCUGCAAAUGGCUAUUUAAGGUCAAGAAAAACCCGGAUGGUACGGUUGAAAGGUACAAAGCAUGUUUGGUUGCGAAAGGUUGUUCUCAAGUUCCGGGUUGUGAUUUUCAAGAGACGUUUAGUCCAGUGGUAAAACUUGCCACUAUUCGAGUUAUCCUAUCGGUCACGGUCACUAAAGGAUGGUCGCUUCGACAGGUUGAUGUCGAUAAUGCCUUUUUAAAUGGUGAUGUUGAUAAUGAAGUGUUUAUGCAACAACCCCCAGGAUAUGUUCACCUUGGCUUUGAUGGGAGACCCUUGGUCUGUCGAUUAAAAAAGGCUUUAUAUGGAUUGCGUCAGGCUCCACAAGCAUGGUUUGAGAAGUUGAGAUCGUUUCUUCUAACCGUUGGGUUUAUUGGUUCAAAGUCAGAUGCGUCGCUAAUUGUUCAUAUCUGUUCUGACUCUACUCUCUAUGUUCUUGUGUAUGUUGAUGACAUAAUCAUAACUGGUAAUCUGUCGUCAUCUAUUGACUGGUUUGUGAAGCUGCUGAAUGAUGAGUUCUCGUUAAAAGGCAUGGGUGAUCUUCAUUAUUUUCUGGGUAUUGAGGUUACUAGGUCCUCCUCUGGGUGUCUUCAUCUUUGUCAAAAGAAGUACAUCCGAGAUAUGUUGGAGCGUAGUGGUUUAUCUAAUGCUAAAAGUGUCCACACGCCCAUGAUUAGCUCGUCACAUUUGUCUAAAAAUGAUGGUGAUCCUCUUUCCGAUCCAAUUGCGUAUAGGAGCCUGGCUGGUGCAUUACAAUAUGUUGUUAUUACUAGGCUUGAUAUUGCAUAUGCGGUAAACAGGAUUUGUCAGUUUAUGCAUAGUCCUACCAUAGUUCAUAUGGUUGCUCUUAAGAGGAUAUUGAGGUACUUGUCUGGUACUCUUGAAUUUGGGAUUGUUUUUAGUCGUUUUGAUUCACUAUCUCUAGUUGGUUUUUCGGAUGCCAACUGGGGGUUGGAUUUCGAUUAUCGGCGUUCUACUUCAGGAUAUUGUGUGUUUUUUGGGUUCAACCCUGUCUCGUGGUCCUCUAAAAAACAGCAAGUGGUGUCUCGGUCUACGGCUGAGGCUGAAUACCGAAGUCUUGCUGCAAUCACCAGUGAUGUUUUGUGGUUACUCUCGUUGCUUCAGGAGCUACAUAUUAGGUCUGUUAAUCCGCCUAAUAUCUGGUGUAACAGUUCCAGUGCCGUAGUAGUUGCUACCAAUCUUAUGUUACACUCCAAAUUUAAACACGUGGAGUUAAAUCUGUUCUUUGUUCGUGAAAAGGUUGCUGCUGGUUCUGUUCUGGUCAGGGAAGUUCCUGCGUCCGAUCAAGUUGCUGAUGUCUUAACUAAACCACUCUCAGUUUCGUAUUUCACUCGAUUUAGGAAUUUUCUUCGGGUCGUUUCGGUGGGGAAGAUGGAUGCAUGUUAAGAUAUAAUAAAUCUAUUAAAGAAGUAGUUACAGAUUAGCUGAGUUGUCAGCUAUACUGUUAAGAGAAGCAGUUAGUUAGAGAGUCUAUAAAUGUUCAAGAUUGGCAUUGUAUUGAAUCAAGUUAGAAGUCUAAAUUCAGAAUUGAAAACAUUGUUCAUUAAGAAUUCUUUAGUUUCUUAGAACUUACCUAUAUUUCUUCAUGUUGGAAUGAUUUUAUAGCUACCAAGUUUCAAUUAAUGAGAUCUGUUGAAAUUUUUUUUUUGGUUAUGAAAAUAAAAAUACACAUGUAUAAUAUGUUUAGUGAACACAUUUAAAAUUAAUUUGUAAAAAUUAUUUAGACAUCUGUUGAAACAGAUACAAAAUAUACUAAAGGUGCGACUGAAACAGAAUGAAACUUUAGACUUGUCUUAAUUUUCGAUUAGAAAAUUGAAGUGUUACAACGGUUAGUACACCACUUUAUGCAUAAUCUACAUGAAUUACGGAAUAACCAGCAUCCUCAAGCUAAGAUCAUUGAAACCAUUUUUAUCAACCAUAGCAAUCACAACCAACAAACUAUAACCUACACUUAAAACGGUUCCUUUCAGAAACUCAUCAUAUAAGAAACGAAAUAACAACAAUUCUUGAAUUAUACCUAAAUUUAUUUGUAAAUUAUCUAAAGCCAAAAUAGAAGUCCAAGGAAAUAAUCAACUUUCUACUAUUGAAACACUGAAUUCUGACAACCGGUAUGCAGUACACGAACGCAAUUAUUGAAAUUAUAUGGAUAAGUUUAGAUGCUAAAGGGGGAGUAGGUAUAUAUAAAAGAUAUUGAUUGAUUGAUUGAAGCAUAAGUAGUACUUGAAGCCUCACAUUGUGCUUCCCAUCUGUUGAGACAGUUACGUAAACAAUAAUUCGUGUAAUGAUGUAAUUAGUGUUCAUUGCCCUUGGGGCUGCACAAGUCACAUAAUUUGCUAUAUUUGGGUUUAAUUAUGGAGACAAGCCAGUAACUAAAUUUUGGUUCCAAAGUUCACGGGUAUUGAAACAUGGGCCCUCAAGCAGUCGAUUGUUGGGAUUGUGAGGUUGGGGAUGGUUGAAAAUAGAAAUCUUGGGAUUUUUCAGUGCCGUCCAAAGGUGUUUAUCUUCAUGUUGGAGCUACGGUUCACUUUUAGUGUAAAACAUGGGAGAGGUUUCCACUUUCAAAGGUGCUUAUAUAAGAAUUUAUACUUUCAUUCGGUUCUUAUGACUUCUUUUUUAAAGUAAAUCCUAAUAUGAUAUUAAUCUCUAAUGUUAAUCUAAUAUUUAUCCUAAUAUUGUCGUCAACACCAAGAAGAAGAAGAAGAAAAAGAAAACAGAAACUCUAUCUUAUUACCUAAUGGAAUUUUGAAAAAAAAUAAAUCUAAAAAAUUAUUUAAAAUUCUAAUUAGGUAUUAAUUUAUUGGUAUGUUAAAAUAAUUUAACAGUGUUAUUGUAACUGACUUAAGUUGUUAAUAAUUAAAAUGAAAUGAUUUUUUUUUAUUAAAAUGAAAGUUUAUAAUGUAAAUUAUCUAAUAUCCAUUGUAUUUAUUUUCACUAAAUGAGAAUUACAAGUUAAAAUAAGUUAAAAUCUUUAAUAGUAAUUAUUAAUAUUAAGUAUUUUUUUUAUCUUUAAUUUAUUGGCACAUAUGGGAAAGAUAUAAUUUUUAUAUUCUUUUAAUUUUUUAAAAACUUUUUAUAAUUAAAGCAAAAAAAUAAAAAGAAUAGGGGUCAAAUUGAUAAAUGUUGUAAAGGUUAAGGGGCUAAAUUUGUUAUUGUAUCUAAUUUUUUAACAGAGUUAAUAGAAAAAUGAACAAAGGGAUUGAAAAUGAGCAAAUUGAAAAGUAGAAAGAUCAAUUUUGAGCAAAUAAAAGUAGAGAAACCAAAUCUACACAAACUGAGAAUCCAGGGCUAUCCUUACAAUCUAACCUAAAAUAUAAAAAAUUAAAUACAUAAAUAUUAUUUUAGUAAUUUCUAAACAAAGUUAGCACUUUAAUGUAGGGGUGUUCAAAUUUCAGUUAAAAUCGAAUUAAUCGAUUGAACCAAUCUAAUUCGGUUAAUCAGUCGGUCAAUUAAUCUAAUUCGGUCGGAGGCCAAUUAAUGAUUUUUUGAAAAUUCGAUUGUCGGUUAAUUCGAUUUGAAAUUAGGUAAUUAACUGAAUUUAAUAAUUAAUAACACAAUUAUAUGUAUUUUUAAUUCAAUUAAUUCGGAUAAUUCAAUCAAAUGAACCUUAUCAAAUUAUUUUUUAUUUAUUUAAUAUUUAUUUUAACUAAAAAAAAAUACAAAUUUCGAUUAACUGUUUUUAAAAAAAAUUCCCGUAAUGUUUCCUAGCGUAUGCAGGUAAAUUUUUUUUUAUUUUUUUUCAUUUAUUGGUAAAUUAAUGGUUAAUAAAUCCUUUCAUUCUUUAAUCUUCCCCCAUUUUCUUUCCUUUAAUUAUAUUUAUCCAAAUAUAGGGUUAAUGUAGAAUUUUUAUUUUAUUUUAAUUUUUACCAUUAUCCUUUAUAUUUUAUCUUUAAAAUUAAAAAUUACAUUUAAUAAAUAGUAUAAUUAUAUUUCGAAAUAAAUUUUAAAUGAUAUAUAAAUAUAUUUUAAAUUUAAUUCUCAAAAACUUAACUUUUUAAUAUUUAAUUUUUCUAUUUAUCCAACAACGUUUAAGUAUUGCACUCACACUCGUAAAUAAAUAAAUAAAUAAAUAAAUGAAGGCCUUUUGUAAUUAAGAAAGUUGAGAAUGGGUUGCUCCUCAUAUGGUGGAAUUGGCUACAAUAAUGAAGGAAGGAAUAUCCAAUAAUUGGGAGGCAAUGGCAUGCCCUACACAUACUUUUUACUGUCUGUGGUAAUGGAUCAAUUGCACCUAUUUUGUUUUCUUCACUUGUUCUUGUCCUGCAUUAUUUGGAUUUGUGAGUAAAUUAACCGAGACAACUUAUUCAUCAGACUUACUUGGAGAGAAGUGUACGAAGUAUCAUCUCUCGAGAGAGCACACAAACUCUUCAUAUAUAGGUAUCACUUAAGGAGAAAUGUAAAAUUUUAGAUUACAUUAUCUUUUUUAUCGAUCUUACCCAUUAUAUAUAAAAUUUGGGAUUUAGAGAUUAAGAAAAAUGAAAAAUAAAAUUUUAAUAAUUUCUUUAUUCGCACGAGUUAUAUUAAAAAAAAUUAUUUAUUACACAUCCAGUAAAAGAGUGAAUAAAAGAUUUUGAAAAUUAAAAAUUAUUAAAAGAAUUGUGAGCUUUAUUUUUCAGUUUCCACAUGACGAUGGUCAAAUUCAUGCUUAUCCAAACCUGCAGGUGUAUGCAGAACGAUAAAGCUAAUCUUGACUGCUAGUCUUUCUUCUUUUUUACUUUUGAAUACUCUUCUCUUGUUGCUUUCAUUGAAAUAAUGUUGGACUGUAAUCUUGAAUACCAUUUAAAAUUUUUUUAUUAUAAAUAUUAAAAUUAUAACAUUUUAGUUAUUUAAUUUAAUCAAAUAUUAUAACUUGUUGAAAUCAUAAAAUAAAAAAUCAAUUCAAAAACAAAAAUCUCUUUUGUUCAAUUCUAAUUGAAUUGGUGUCUCUAAUCAAUUGGACAUCAAUUCGAUUAGGGAAUUACGAAAAUAUCUUUUCAUAUUUAAAAUAAUUAAUAUUAUUCGAAAGUAUUUUAAUCUUUUUAUGCAAACUUAUCAAUAAAAACAUGAAUCUAAUGGGAUUUGACGUAAGACUCAUCUAUAGAUGAAUUCAAAAUUUUUACUCGAUUCAAUCGAACAAUCACCUCUAAAUAUUACACAUUUUGAAUCUUCAUGUUGGUAAAGAUAAAGUGGAGAAGUUAUCUUUUGUGUGUAUGUGUGUUUUAGUAUUUCCUUUAAUUGUGUGGCUAAUUAAGUGCCUUUAAUGACACUUUUAAGCAAUCAUAUCCAUUUUAUUUAUGAAGGAACUUUGUGGUCAUGAUCGGGAGAUCCGAAUUUAGCAUAUUUACAGAGAAAGAAAUCUUGUUUCAGAUUUCUUGGCCCAUACGGGAUCUGGCUCCGGCUUUGAUCGAAGUUUACUACGAGAGCCACCUGGAAAUGCUCUCUCAACUUCAACUACACUAUGUGAUUAUAUUGCUGGUUCUUUGCCCUAGCGCCUCUGUUCGUUUGUGGGUAAUUAGUUGUUGUUAAGGCUUUUGCCUCUUUCUAAUUUUAUUAAAAAAAAAAAGGAAAAAACUUGGCACGAUGGAUCCAUCUUAGCUAAUAAAAAACUUCAAUCACCGAAUUGUACGAAAUUCUAACUUAAAUUUAAAUGUAACAACCAGAAUCAUUCAUCAAUCCACAAUAUCAACCAAUCUCAAUUCAAACACAAAAAUAACGAGUGAAAAAAAUAGUUCAACCCAUAAACAUUGACCACAAAGGGAAAUUUGAAACACUUACCACCAUCCCCUAUCAGAAAGUCUUUCCCCCAUUCAACAACUAGAAAUCAGAGCUCACCAAAAUGUCUAUUCUUUUCAAUCUGAACCGACUCUACAAUCACAUAUUGCUCAUGGUCAUCAGCCUAUAAAGCCAGGAGCAUUAUUAACUUCUAAAUCCAAAACACUAAUAUCAGCAACCAACCCUACAAUGAUAGUCUAAUUGACUCAUUUAAACAAGUUUCGUUUGUCAAUCUACAUUCCGUAUUUGGUAAUCUCCAAUAUUGUCUCGGAAUUUAGGAUAGCUGGAACAAGAAUACCAGCAAAGAUGCAAAGGGAAACGACUUGUAGGAGGAGGAAGAACCUUCUUUUGGGUACAAACCUGUAUAGCAUAUAAUAGGAUGUCCUGUAUAACGUCACGAGAGCCAGUACCGUUGCCAAGCAGUAAUUAGCAAUGCUGAGACGAGGAUAGGAAACGGAUCCAGGAGUCGAAAGAGAGAACAAAUACUCAAGUGCGAGUGUCCGUAUGGAAACAGCAACUAAAAGCAUGUAACAGGUCCCAAACAAGGAAAGUGUUAUGAGAAUAAACAAGCAGAUUGAACGGCUGGGUAGGAGAUAGGCUGUUAAAACAGUUGCUGCCCAAAAAGUUAAAGUGUUGUAUAACCAAAACAUUGUGGACACGUCUAGUAUAUUUUUAAAUUUUUCUUCUUCAGCGGGUGGAGGAGUUGGUGCGGGUCCAGUGCUGGUUGAACCUACAGAUGCGUCAUACCUGAGAUGGAAAUUCCGGGAAUUUGAAAUGGUAUCAGGCUGCUUUGGAGGGUUCAAAGUGGCAGUGUAUGUGGCUGUUAUAAUUAGCACUGUGACCACUAAAAAUGUGUUACGCAUCUCAUGUGGGAUUCCCUUCUUUCCACGACUUGCCAUUGUUGCAAAUUUUUGAAGAACUGACACCUUUCCUUUUAAAGAUUCGAUGUGGACUGAGGUUUUGGGAAGCGAGGAACCACUCAAACCUCCUGCUUUGCUUAUCAUGUCUUUAAUGGACUCCUUAUAGUCCACUUUCCCUUCAACCAAUGGGUAUUGUGAUGGGAUAUCAAGUGCAGUCAAUCCCUCCGCAUUUUUGGCAUUGAUAUGGUCACCACACAAGCGUUCCAGCAGUACUUUUACCACCUGUUAAUUAGAAUAUUCAUACAAGAGUAACCUUUGAGUAUAUAUAUAUACAUAAAUAAUUUCACUAGCAAAAUUAUCAUACCUGAGGUCUGUUUCUGAUAGCAGCGACAUGUAAAACAGUGUUGCCAUCAAUGUCUGCCCAACUCAGUAGUUCUUUCUCCCAACGGUUGGCAGCUUUAUGGCGGCUCCUUAUAAGCCACCCCACCAAGACUUGGAAAGCUUCAAACCUGUCAUUUUUUACGGCAAGAUGGAAAACCGUCUCAUCUCGAACAGUCACAUCUUCAAUAGCCUCGGGGCAAACCUCAAGGAACUUGAUCAAAAAAUCAACAUUUCCAUUUUGAACCACAUGAUGCAAAGGAGUGAAGCCCUCCCGCCCUUUGACACGAACAAGGCCUUCAUCAAACCUGAGAAGUCGAAGCACUGCUUGAGUGUGUUGAUUUUGCAGAGCCAAGUGCAUGGGGCUAAACCCAGCUUGGUUUAGCUUUCUUGCAAACGAUGGCUUUAAGUUGAUCAUCUCCAUCAUAAAAUCAAUAUGCCCUGCAGAGGCUGCUACAUGCAAAGGAGUAUGGAAAAAAGGUACAUCAUCGAUACGCUGAAAAACAUAUGGAUCAUUCAGAAUUAACUCAUACAAGAUGUUUAUGUCUCCUGUUUGUGCAGCACCUAUCAUCCUCUCAUCCAUAGCAAGGUGCGGAAAUUUGCAGAAUAUAGAAAUGGAGUGAAGAAAAAACGCUUUAGCAGACGAUGUGAUUAUGUUAAGGAUAUACUGAAGUGUUUUAUUAUUUUUUCCAGAUGGAGUGUGUGAUAUUUUAUAGCACUUAAUUAUUUUGGAUUUAUAUGUGAUGUCAGCCACUACACGUAUACAUGUGAAUGUCACCUAUUAGAAAGAAAUAGUAAUUAUAUUUAGUAAUUAAAUUCAUAUUUAAUAUAUAUUUUUAAUCUAAUUUUUUAACUCAAUUUAAUUUUAGUUAAAACGUUUAAAAACAUUUAUUUAAUUUAAUUUCUUUAAUAUAUUAAAUAAAUUGAAUUAGAGAAUAUAUUAAAUAUGGAUGAAUACUAUAUCAUACUAAUUUUAUGUCUCUAAAAAUUAAUAAGGUGUCAUUAUUUUAUUGGUGCUUAAAAAAUUAAAAUAUUUAGAAUCAUCCUAAUAUAAGUUAUUCUAUUAAUAAUAAUAUUUGGUACUUCCACGAGUAAGUUCAAUAGUUUGACAAAUGUCUUAUAAAAGUAUAGUAAAAUAUUAAAAAAAAUUAUUUAGUGACUUAAUUUUUUAAGAACAUUUGAUAAUUUAUAAAGAAAAUAAAUAAUAAUUUUUUUCAAUAAAAAAGUGUGAAAAAAUGAUAAGUAGAUAAUAACUAUUAUCACUUACAACAUGUUUGGAUUAAAAAGAUAGAAAAAAGGAGGGAAAAUUAAGUAAAAUGAGGGAAAGAAAAUUCGGUUUCUUUGUUUAAGUUAAGUAAAUAUCGUAUCAUUAGAUUUUAUAUUUUAGGGUCUGUUUGAUUGAAGGAAUUGAUUUUCCGAAAAAUCAUUUUUAACUUUUCCAGCGUUUGAUUGGCGGAAAAUAUUUUCCAUUUGGAAAAUGAACUCCAAAACAUGGAAAAAUGGGUUACAUUUUAGGGAAAAUGUCUUACCCUUUCAAUUUCCGUAAGACAUUUUCCGUGCUCUCCUCUCUAUCUCCUCCUUCAUUCCUUCCUUCAUUUCCGGUAAAAAAUUGUUACUGUUUAUCGAUUUUCUAGUAACUUGUUUUUUUAAUUAUUCAAUACUUAUUUUUUUAACACAAUUACAAAUAAUUUAUUUGAUACUAAUUUUUUUCAAUUUAUAAUGAUUAAUAUUGUAGCUUAAUAAUUGAGUAUUAUUAUAAAUAAAUCAUUGCAAUAUAUGUAAAAAUAAUUUAAAAUAUAAAAAUUUAUUAAUAUAUAUCAAUAUAUGUAAAAACAAUUUUUUCAAAAAAUAUUUACCAGAAAUCUGCCAAACAGCCGAAAAUAUUUUACACAGAUUCAAUCAAACACCAGAAAAUAUUUUCCAGUAAAUCAUUUUACAGAAAAGUAAAAUAUUUUCCCGAAAUCAAUUUACGGAAAAUAUUUUACUGGCAAUCAAACAGACCCUUAGAUUAUUAUCUCUUCUUCUUCUUCUUUUAACUUGUAACCAUCUUAUUUUUAUUUUCUAUUUGUUUAGGUUACUAGAAAUAUUUAAUUUUAAAUUUGUUUGAUAUAUAUUUUUAAAAAUUUUAACAAUAUUUUUUAUUAACUAUUUUGUUAAAUUAUUAGGAAUCCUUCAUUUGUAAUUUGGUUAAGAUAUAUUUUUUAGUUUGAUCAAAUAAGCUUAUUUAAAAAAAAAAGAGAGAAUAUACCAAUAUAUUAUUGGUUAACAUUUUAAUUAUUAUUUUAUAUAGACUAUUGAUAUUGUUCUAUAAUUUUAAUUUGCUGUGAUUUAAUUUUGUUAUUAUAUAUUAUUUAUGAACUGUUAAAAUUAAAAAAUAAAAGUAAAAUAAUUCAUUUUCUUUCCUUUUCACAGUUUAGCAAAACAAGUCCACAAGGUCGCCCCAUUCAACAAAAAUUAAAUUGUUUAAAUAUAUAUAUGUAUAUAGGGACUAGUUUUAACAAAUAAAAAAUAUAGAAAAACUACAUUAAAAAAAUAGAGAAUGGAGGAAAACAGAGGGAGAAGCAGAAGACAAUAAAAAAUAAAGGAAAGUUAAAAGAACAUAAAAAAAUUAAAUUGAAUUGCUCAAAACGAAAAAAAUAUGGGGAUCAGUUGUAUAAAUCACCCUAAAUUUUUUGUUUGAAAGAUGAUUUAACAUGUCACAUCAGCUUAUCGUUAUAUGGUUAACGGAAAUUAACAGCUCAGUGACUAAAAUGUUACAACGCGAUAACGUAAGUGACUAAAAUGUAACAUUUCAAACAUAAAUGACUAAAAUGUAAGCAAAAGUGACUAUUUUAAUAAUUUACCCUUACAUUUAUCCAAACAUACGCUUAAUGUAAACAUUUUUCAAUUAUUUUUAUUUUAUUUUAUUUUUAACCAUUAUCCUUUAUCCUUACUUUAAAAAGUAUAAUUAAUAAAUAGUAUAAUUAUUUUUCAAAAUUAAUUUUAAGUAAUACACCAAAUAGAUUUUAUAACUUAAAUUUAAUAUUUAAGUUUAUAAUAUUUUUUUAUCAAACAACAUUUACUCCUAAGUAAAUAAAUAAAUAAAGGCCUUGUGUAAUUAAGAAAGUUGAGAAAGGGUUAAUCCUCACAUGGAAAAAAUUGGCUACAAUAAUGAAGGAAAGAGAAAAACACUAAGGAAUAUCCAAUAAUUGGGAGGCAAUAUGUCAAUUAUGAGCAUACCCCAUACUGUCAAUGGUGAUGGAUGAAUUGUCUACUAUACAUGGAUUUUGUUUUCCUUUUUUUUUUCCUUUUUUUGUUCUUGUCCUGUAUUAUUUGGAUUUGAGAUCCCAAGCUAUGUAUGUCAUCACAUUUUAAAUAUAUAUAUAUUUAUUAUGUAUUGAGUAUCAGUUUUAUUGGUAUAAAUAUUAUUGUUAAUGUAUGAGAAUAUAGAUUCAAGUGUGCACUACACCAAAACAGGCUUUUAACGGCACUUUUAGCGGCGUUUUGAGCGAAGACGCUGCUAAAAAUCGAAAAAUAGCAGCGUUUUAGGAAAAGCGCCGCUAAAGAGUGAGCAUUAGCGGCGUUUAUAAAAAAUGCCGCAAAUAAUACACCCAAACAGUGCCGUUUUAUGUCCUUUCGGGGGAAUUAGUGGCGUUUUUUGUAAAGCGCCGCUAAGGCUAAGACUUUUAGUGGUGUUUUUUGAAAAUCGUCGCUAAUCUAGGUGUUUUAGCGGCGUUUUUUGUUUAUGCGCCGCAAAAAUAAUUUAUCUUAAUUGAACUAUUAUUUAUAUUGUUUAAAUCAAAUUAAACAUAUUUCUAAUAGAAUAUUUAAAAUCUUCAAUAAAAAAUAACAAGUAUAAAUAAUUCGAAAUAAAACACAUGGAAAAAUUAAAAUAGUAUUAUUUAAAAUAAUUUUAAAGUUUGUUGGGUACAUUACUGAUUGUUUUUUAAUUUAUAUAUUAAAAAUUUGAAAUUAUUAUCGUAAUUAAAAGAGAUAGUAUUAAUUUAAAUUUAAAAUAUUGAAUUAAGCGUAUCACUAUAGUUAAUAUAGGGUUUUAGGUUUUAGGGGUAUAUAUAUAUGAUAUUAUUAAUUUAAGAUUUUAAGUCGGUUUAGGGGUUACUAUUUUAAGGUUAUUAUUAUAAUUGAUCAGGAGUAUAUAUAUAAUAUUUGAUUUAAGGAUAUGGUUUAAGGGCUGAGAUAUAAUGUUUAGGGGUUAGGGUUGGGGUUAGCACUUAAGGGUUAUUAAUUAGGAGUUAAUUAAGGAUUUAGGGUUUAGCUAGGGGUUGGGUUAGGGAACGUAGGGUUUUAGAUUAAUUAGUAUUGCCAAAUUAUAUAUUAAAUAUGUUCUUAUAUAUAUAAUUGUAAAAGAGGUAAUAAUAAAUUUGUUUAGGAUUUUUCGGUUCGGUAUAUGAUUUGGUUUCGGUAUAUUAUUAAUUUAAAUACGAAUUUGAAUAGUAAUGCUCAAAUAUAUAAUUCAUGAAUAACACUUAAAUACUUAAAUAAAUUUGUGAAUUUGAAUUGAAAUCAUCCAAAAAUAUGCAUAUACCUGAGUCGGUAUCUUUCCUAUUUUGAUCACUUCAAUAAAAAAAAUCCCAUAUAUAUAUAUAUUUAGUACUCCUUAAUUAUUUGUUUUCAUUAAUUUAUCUAUUUGAUGAAGGUCAAUAUAAUAAAUUAGUUAAUUAGACAAAUUUAUUCAUUUAUCAAUAAAAUAAAAUAUUAUAAAUUUCAAAUUUUAUACAAAAAUAAAUAAAUAUUAUAAAGAUAAUAUUGUUUAUUGCUACUUUAUACAAAAAGUUUUUAGUAUUAAUUAUUCUUUAAUCAAUUAUAACUAUUUUAUGAUAUUUAUUAAAGAUUUAGGGAUUAUUUUGGAUGGCCGUGCUAUUUUAAAGAUUAGGGGUACAGAUUUAGGGUUUGGGAUAUAAGAGUUAUCUAGGGGUUUAGGGGUUACAAGUUACAAUUUAGGGGUUAAAGAUUUAGGGUUUAGGGGUUUAGGGGUCGGAUAAGGAUUUUAGGUUAGUUUAGAUUAAUUUCUUUAAAUAAUAUUUUAAAAAAUCAAUCUAAAGUAUCAAUUGAUAUAUUUAAAUAUUAUUUUAAAUAGAAUUCAUAAAUAAGUUAAAAAUAUAUAUUGAUAUAUAUUAUAUGGAUAUGGUUAUAUAUUUAGGUAUAAUUAUUUAUUUUGGAAAUAUAUAUAUAUAGGACCAAAUACAUAAGAAAUGAAGUAAAAAAAACAAAAAAUUUCAAAACGGCGCCAUUUUUGAAUGAAUAGUUAAACUUUUAGUGGCGUUUUAACUGUUAAACGCCGCAAAUAUGGGAAAGCAGUCAUGGCGUUUGUACAAGAAACGCCGCAAAAGUGUCUUUAAAAUUGAGUAAACGACACCGUUUGUCUACACGAUUUUUAACUUAUAAAAAGUUUAGAAUUAUUUACUUGAAACGUCACCAUUUGGCUUGUUGUACGUUAAGUAUUAGUGGCGUUUUUACAAAAACGCCACAAAAUGUACAAUUUGAGAACAAAAAAACAGCGUCGUUUCUGCAUACAGGUUUAAAUUUUUAUGGCGUUUUCGCAAAAACGCAGGAAAUUUAGGAAGCAAUAGCGGCGUUUUUCAGUAAACGCCGAAAAGGGUAUUAAAAUAAUGUCUAAACGGCGCCGUUUCUGUACAUGAUUUGUAACUUAGAAAAAUUUUAGAAUUAUUUAUUCAAAACAUCAAUUAAGUAUUCGUGGCAUUUUUACACAAAACGCAACUAAUAAUACAAUUUGAGACUAGCAAAACGGCGCCAUUUCUGUUUAAAACUUGAACUUUUAGUGGCGAUUUUAUAUCAAACGCCGCAAAUGGGUUUUAAAAAAAUGGGUAAACGACGUCGUUUCUAUACAGUAUAUUUUACUUUGACAAAUUUUAGUGGCAUUUGUGCUUAAAACGCCAGAAAUAAUGCAAUUCCAGACCACGAAAACGGUGUCGUUUCUGUUCACAGCUGUAAUACGUAGUGGCGUUUUUAGGAAAACGCCGGAAAUGUGGAAGAAGUUGCGGCGUUUGUACCUAAAACGCCGCAAAACGGUGUUAAUAUAAUGGCUAAACGACAUCGUUUCCGUAACCGAUUUUUAACUUAUAAAAAUCUUAGAAUAAUAUAUUUAAAACGUCACCGUUUGGCUUAAAAUAGAUUAAGCAUACAGGUUUAAAUUUUUAUGGCAUUUUCGUAAAAACACAGGAAAUUUAGGAAGCAAUAGCGGCGUUUUUCAGUAAACGCCGCAAAAGGGUAUUAAAAUAAUGUCUAAACGGCGCCGUUUCUGUACAUGAUUUGUAACUUAGAAAAAUUUUAGAAUUAUUUAUUCAAAACAUCAAUUAAGUAUUCAUGGCGUUUUUACACAAAACGUAACUAAUAAUACAAUUUGAGACUAGCAAAACGGCGCCAUUUCUGUUUAAAACUUGAACUUUUAGUGGCGAUUUUAUAUCAAACGCCGCAAAUGGGUUUUAAAAAAAUGGGUAAACGGCGUCGUUUCUGUACAGUAUAUUUUACUUUGACAAAUUUUAGUGGCAUUUGUGCUUAAAACGCCAGAAAUAAUGCAAUUCCAGACCACGAAAACGGUGUCGUUUCUAUUCACAGCUGUAAUAUGAAGUGGCGUUUUUAGGAAAACGCCGGAAAUAUGGAAGAAGUUGCGGCGUUUGUACCUAAAACGCCGCAAAACGAUGUUAAUAUAAUGGCUAAACGACAUCAUUUCCGUAACCGAUUUUUAACUUAUAAAAAUCUUAGAAUAAUAUAUUUAAAACGUCACCGUUUGGCUUAAAAUAGAUUAAGUAUAAGUGGCGGUUUUUAUUAAAUGCCACAAAAAAUGAAAUUUCAGAGUAACAGAACGGCGCCGUUUCUGUUAAAAGGUUUACUUUUUUGUGGCGUUUGGUCUAUAAACACCAGAAAUUUGGAAUAAGUAGUGGCAUUUUUUCAAGAAACGCCGCAAAGGUGUUUUAAUAUUUUUUCUCAACGAUGUCGUUUCCGCAGAUGUUCUUUAACUUAGCAUUUACACUCGACAAAGCACAGAAAGCAAAAGCCAAGUGCAGAGGCCGAUUGGGAAGGGGAAAAAACCUAAGAAAAAAAUCUAAGGAAGAGAGGGGAGGAGAAAUCAGAAAUCAUCAAAGAGGAAGCAACGAUUGCGUCAUUCUUGACAGUAGUUGCAGAAUUUCUGGUUAAAAGGUAUGCGUUUAAUCCUUCUGAAGAACAUCGUCUUGAUUUAGGGUAAUUUUAGGUGCAUUGUGUUUUGCGAAUUUGGGGUUUAGGAAAAAAAUUUAGAUUUUGAGGUUUGCGGUUUAGGUUAAAACACCAUUCUUGUUUGGGAAUUUGGGGAACUUGUAAAUUAUUUAUUUAGCAAUUUAAAUAGAAGGGUUUAUUUAGGAAAAUUUUGUGUAUUUAGGGGUUGCCUGAAUACAAAUAUGGGUCCUCAACACAGCCUGUUGUUUCUCCAUUACAGCGAUUUUUGGAGAAGCAUAAAAGGGUAAGGACAGCCCUUCUGGUUGUGGUAGUAUUUGGUGCUUCUAUGGUCAUCUUUAUGGCUGUGGAUUCUAGAGUUUAAUCUCGGUUCCUCUUAAACAUAUGUGGCAACUAGGACAAUAAACAAAACUAUUAAUCAUGACAGUAUAUAUGAUUGUGGAUGGUGCUGGUGAGCUUGAAAAUACAUUCCCUUUAAUAGCUCUACUAAUAUUUUGCAUAUGGACUAGACAAGAGAUACCAAUAAAUAACUCGUCUGGUCUUACACCUGAAAGACUCAAAUUAACACAGAUUUAAACCCAAGCUAGCUGGUGAAGGUUAAACAAACCAUUUUCCUAAAAUUUUCUUGGCUGAGCCAUUAUUCGGACCAUGCAAUCAUUGUUGCAAUAGUGCAUAAUUAUGUUUGAUUCGUUUAGUGUGCUUAUUUCUCAGCUGGACAUAGUUGAUCUCCCAUGACAGAGUUAUGGAUAAUGAUAUCAGAAGUUCUUUAAUGAACAUAGUGGUGUCAUCGUAACUUCCACAUUACUUUGAUAACUUUAAUUGGUUGCAUUAUUCCUCCUAUCUAUAGUAUAUUGUUUGUGGUGGAUGGUUUGACAUGUCUCAGUGCUGAUAUUUCAUUAUUCAAAUAAGAUUUUUAAUUUUGGAUUUUGUUAUAUUUAAGCUUUAUACUAAUUUUUUCCUAGUACUAACUUACUUAUGUUUUCCUUUUUAUUUUUAUUUUUUGCAGUAGUUUGCUUCGAAGUCCAGGAAAUUGAGGUAUUUAUUCCUAUGUUUCCCACCUUGGUUUUCUUAAAAAAACACCUCCAAAUGUUUAAAUUUUGGAUUUUGUUAUAUUUUAUCUAUGUACUUUAAUUAUUAUUUUUGAGUUUUAAAAGGGAGUUUUAAUUAAGAAUUUUUUUUUAAGUUGUGGGUAUCGGUUUUAAUUAUCAUUUUUGAUUUAUAUGUUGCUAGCUCAAUUUGCAUGUUACUUUGCCAAAUUUUUCCAUAACUGCAAGGUAUAAAUUAUGAUUGUAAAUCUUGUACGUAUUUUUUACCCAAGCAAAAACAAUUACGCAAAUUAUUAAAAUUCUUAAAUCACUUUAUAUAUUGGAGUAAGUGAAUAAAUUAUGGGCGAAUAGUGGAUUUGUUUUAAAGUGAACAAAUUAUCGAUUUUCAAUUUUAUGCCAAUUAAUAAAUUAUCGACGUUAGUUCUCAUUUAUGCGAUUGAAUGUUAAUGUUUAAUAAUAUAUGAUUAUUCAAUAAAUUGAUCGAUUAAUUGAUUGAAUGUCAAUGAAUUAUCAAUUUUUGUAAGUUAAUUUGGUUAAAUUUAUUACUUAAAUACAUUACUUACUAAAAUACAUUACUUACUAAAAUUUGUUUAAAUUUAUUACUUAAAUAUGUUACUUAAAUACAUUACUUACUAAAAUUUAAGUAUAUAUUACAUUACUUACAUAACUUGUUAAAAUAUAUUAUAAUUUUAAAAAUAAUUAUAAUUAAGAUACAUAAAAGUGCUAUACUUACAUCAUACAUUAUUUACACAACCAAAAAUUGAAAUUUACAAGAACUUACAUAACUUGUUAAUAUUUAUAUAAACUUACAUAACUAUCACAUAAACUUACAUAAUAUAUAACUUACAUGUUACCUUACAUAAUACAUAACUUAUAUAAAAUUUUUAUAUAAACUUACAUAAUACAUUAUUUACAUAUUAACUUACAUAAGUUAUCUACAAGCUUGUGGUUAAACUUGCAUAACUUACAUAAUAACAUAACAACUUACAUAAUAUAUAACUUACAUGUUACCUUACAUAAUACAUAACUUAUAUAAAAUUUUUAUAUAAACUUACAUAAUACAUUAUUUACAUAUUAACUUACAUAAGUUAUCUACAAGCUUGUGGUUAAACUGGCAUAACUUACAUAAUAACAUAACAACUUACAUAAUACAUAGCAUAGAUAACUUACAUAACUUACAUAAUACAAAACUUACAUAACUUAAAUAUCUUACACAACUUACAUAACGUACAUAAUACAUAACUUACAUAAUACAUAAUAACUUAUAACUUACAUAACAUACAUUACUUUGAUAACUUACAUAACUUACAUAAUACACAACUUGUUAAGCUUACUUAAUACAUAACUUACAUAAUACAUAAUAACUUAUAACUUACAUAACAUACAUUACUUUGAUAACUUACAUAACUUACAUAAUACACAACUUGUUAAGCUUACUUAAUACAUAACUUACAUAACUUAUACACGUACAUAACUUACAUAAUUUACUUAAUACAUAAAUAUAUAUCAUAUGAUAUACUUACAUAACUCAUUUAUACUUACCACUCAACAACUUACCCUUGUAAUUUCUGGUGAAAAUCAGACGUCAAGAAAUAAGAAAUGGACCGGUCUUGGAUGAAUUUAUCAAGGGUAAGCGACGAUUAUCGAAAUGGAGUACAGACUUUUCUAAAUUUUGCAUUUCAAUAUGCAAGCCAGGAGAACAUGAUUCUUUGCCCGUGUAAGAAGUGUGUCAACAUAAACUGGCAUUAUCGUGAAGUUGUAUACGAGCAUCUAAUUGUUGAUGGGUUUGUUCAGGGUUAUAAACAAUGGUUUUUUCAUGGAGAAUGCCCGCCUAGUACUUCCUCAUCAAGGAUGGAUGUAUCUUAUGACAGUACUACUUACCAUCAGUCUGUUAGAGGGGAUGACAUAGAAGGGAUGUUGCGGGAAGCAUUUAAUAUUCACAACCAUGGUUUACAGUCGUUCCCAGCCGACUUUGUGGCACCUGAUGAUUGUAAUAUCGAUGGAAAUGCUUUUACCGAACCCGGAAAAAGUGUACAUCAUGAAGAGCCGAAUGGAGAAGUGGCGAAGUUCUACGCGCUACUUAAUGACAUGAAUGAAGAACUGUUUGAGGGAUCAAAAUUCUCGAAAUUGUCUUUCUGUAUUCGUCUUUUUCAGUUAAAGUGUUUGGGAGGGUGGACCGGGAACUCUUUAACAAUGUUGUUAGAGUUUCUGAGAGAGAUGUUUCCGUUUGCAAAAAUCCCUCAAUCAUGCAAAGAUAUGAAGAAAAUGAUAAAAAAUUUAGGUCUUGGGUACAACAAAAUCCAUAGUUGCCCGAAUGACUGCAUGUUGUAUUGGGGCGAUCGAAGAAACCAGCAAUGCUGUCACAUAUGCGGCCAAUCACGUUGGAUAAAUAGAAACAUAGAAGAUGGGAACGAUGAUGAAUAUGAUGCACUGGUAAGAAAGAAGCCGGUCAAGAUUUUGCGGUAUUUUCCGCUCAUACCAAGGCUUCAAAGGCUUUUCAUGUCAUCGAAGACAGCGGAGUCUAUGACAUGGCACCAUGAUGGACGAACCGAUGAUGGGAAUAUGAGGCAUUCGGCAGAUUCUUUAGCUUGGAAAUCAUUUGACAAUAAAUUUCCAAGCUUUGCAAGUGAUCCUAGGAGUGUAAGGCUUGGCUUAGCAUCUGAUGGAUUUAAUCCGUACAAGAUCAUGAGUAUUGUGUACAGUACUUGGCCAGUAGUGCUUGUUCCUUACAAUCUGCCUCCGUGGAUUUGCAUGAAGCAAUCUUCCCUUAUCUUAUCUAUGAUUAUCCCUGGAGAGAAAGGGCCCGGGAAUGAUAUCGACAUUUAUUUACAGCCACUUAUUGAAGAGUUAAAACAAUUGUGGGCUGGUGUCGAGACAUACGAUGUGCUGAGAAAUGAGAACUUUAAUCUACGUGCAGCUUUGAUGUGGACCAUUAAUGACUUUCCCCCUUAUGCCAAUUUAUUCGGUUGGAGUACAAAGGGUCGUUAUGCGUGUCCUUGUUGUGCUGCACAAACAUGUUCGCAAUGGUUGUACAAUGGGAAGAAGUUCUCUUAUAUGGGGCAUCGUCGGUGGUUACCGAAAAAUCAUAGAUUUAGAUUUCAGAGUUCUGUAUUUAACGGUACUGAAGAGUUCAGAGAAGCUCCUUCGCAGACCAGUGGCUCUGAAAUCUUGUUCAUGUUGGAAGAUAUGAAUUUCAUUUAUGGAAAGAUGAACCAACCGCCAAACACGCAAAGAAAUAGAAGAUCAAACGAUGAAGCUGAUGAUGACUCUGAUGAAGAGGACGAUCCUAAUGAGGCGGACUUGUGGAAAAAAAGAAGUAUUUUUUUUGAGUUGCCUUAUUGGGAGCAUCACCUUUUACGACAUAAUCUUGAUGUUAUGCAGAUUGAGAAAAAUGUCUGCGAGAACAUUGUGGGUACAAUUUUGAAUGUCGACGGAAAAUCAAAAGACAAUCUUCAGAGUCGACUUGAUUUAGUACAAAUAGGAAUCCGACCUGAUCUUCAUCCCAAUCCACUUCCGAAUGGAAAAUAUCGGUUGCCGCCAUCUAUUUUUUCAAUGUCGAAGACGGAAAAAGAAGUGUUCUGCACAGUGUUGAAGGAUAUAAAGGUUCCAGAUGCGUAUGCAUCAAAUAUAUCUCGAUGUGUUAGUGUUAAAGAUCGAAGAUUAUAUUCGCUAAAAUCACAUGACUAUCACAUCUUGAUGCAAGAUUUACUGCCAGUGGCUCUACGAUGUUGUAUGUCCAAGAAGGUGACGUCUUGUAUAAUUGAACUAUCCAACAUAAUGAAAGCCAUUUGUGGCAAAGUUUUGGAUGUUCAAGAACUUCAGAAGGUACAGGAUCGAGCCGCUUUGACUUUAUGCAACAUGGAGAAAAUAUUCCCACCUUCCUUCUUCACCAUUAUGGUUCACUUGAUAAUCCAUCUCCCGCACAAAGCAAUUCUUGGCGGACCCGUUUUCUAUCGAUGGAUGUAUCCCAUAGAAAGGUGUUAAUUAAAAUUUUUAAAAUUUUCCUUCAUUCACCUCUAUGCCUUUAGUUUCAAUAAUUAAGAAAUGUUAUAUAUUGUGUUUAGGUUUCUAUCCAAAUUAAAGUCUUACUGCCGCAACAAGCGAUAUCCAAAAGGAUCAAUUGCAGAAGGCUACUUGGCAGAAGAAUGUAUGACCUUCUGCUCAAGAUAUUUGGAAGAUGUUGAAACAAGGUUAAACAGACCAAAUAGGAAUGCUGGACUCACGGACCAUAACUUAGCCGAUACUUAUUUGUUCCAAAGUUUUGGAAAACCAAUCGGUAAAGUUGAAAUUGCAGAAUUAGAUCAUUUAUCGUGGGUACAAGCACAUCGAUAUGUUCUGUUUCACCACGAAUCAUUGGAACCUUUACGGAAGUAAGUUCUACAAAUUUGAUAAAUAUUUAUCAAACUAAUAACUGUUUAUCUUCUAACAAAGUGAACAUUUUUUUAACAUAGUGAGUACAAACAAAUAUUGAGAUCUCGUUCGCGCUCCCGAAGAACACAACAUCGAGAUAUCAAUAAGUUAUUUAUAGAAUCUUUUUAUGAAUGGUUAAGCCAAACGGUAUGCAGUUCGAGCUUCCGUUUACAAAUAAUAAAAUCCGUUUUCUUAUAACAUUUUUAAUUACUCAGUUUACUUUCCAUUCAAUAGGUUUGGAGUGGGAAGAACGUAAAGACGAAGUUAAAUGGCUCUCCCAAGGUCCAAAUCGAGUGGUUAAAAGAUAUAGUGCGUUCCUCAUCAACGGAUUCAGAUUUCAUACAAAAUAUCGCGAGAGGUUGAGGAGAACGCAAAAUUGUGGAAUAGUUGUCAAUUCUGCAAUUACAAGUUAUGCUAGUGCAAGAGACAAUAAUCCUGUCGCGGGAAAUGUGGAAUAUUUCAGACAUCUUACUGACAUAAUUGAGUUGGAUUACUACGGCAAAUGGAAAGUUGUCUUAUUUCGUGGUGAUUGGGCCGAUGUUAAUACAGCUCGUGGAAUUAAGCAAGAUCAAUUUGGUUUUACAAUGGUGAACUUUGACCGAUUGAUUCACACAGGACAACAACUGAUAGAUGAGCCGUAUGUAUUCUCAUCUCAAGUCAAACAAGUUUUUUACUCAAAAGAUCCAACUGAUGAGAGUUGGUACGUUGUACUCCGUAACAUCCCAAGAGACUUGUUUGACAUGGGCAGUGGAAGUAGAGAUAACAUCGACGACAGAUCAGAAACUUUGCCCUUUCCAGAACAAAACUUAAACGAUAAUAUCCCUAGUACUAGUGCACAAUUUCAAUGUGUUCGUCAGGAUACCGAUGAAGAUAUUUACGAAUAAUGAUGUAGUAAGAUUUUACGAUUGUUUAAUUAUAAGUUUUUUUUCAUAAUUUAAAUAUUGGUCUUAUUAUAUAUUUCAACUGUUUUAUAUGUGAUGUUAUUGUUGUAAUUAGUUAUUAAGUUGUCAACUAUUUUAUGUGUAUUGUAGAUAAAAUGCCUAGAAGAAAAAUUCUAAGGGGAAGCAUUGUUCAAAAUGAUCCAAACACGAUAGAAACAAAUAGUACUGAACAACAGACAGCAAUUGGAUCUUCGAAUGUUCCGAUUACAGCUGAUGAUCCUACAGAAGUUCAAAGUAAUUUUACAUUUAAUUUACAUGCGUGUUGACUUAUAGUUGCUUUUUUUCAAAUUCUUAUAUUAUAAUAUACCAUUUGUAGCUGAAAAUGGUGGGACGCGCAGAGGUCGAGGACGUACGCUACUUAGAGAGUUAUACGAGUUAGAUCCAGUCGAGCGUGUCAAAGUUGGACGAAACAGUUUUGGUCAGCCUGUUAGAUCAGAAGCUCGACUUUUAGCAGGAUACAUGGGCAUUUUAGCACGAAAUCCGAAUAUGUUACCUAUCAACUACGACUCAUGGCAUCAAAUGCCCGGUAGCAAAAAAAACCAAGCCGUCGAUAAUAUUAAGGUAACAAAAUGUUAAUGUCAUCUGUAAUGCUUGGGAAAUAGUUUCAUUUAUAUUUACUUUAUUAACUUGUGUUUUUUGUUUUUUGUAGACGAGGUUUGCUUUAGAGGUCUCGGAUGCUUAUGUAAAGAAGGCAUUGGGAAAAAGAUGGAGAGACAAUAAAAGUACUUUGAAGAGAAAUUAUUAUAAGACAAAAACAACCCUCGAUGAGAAAUUGCAAAAUGUCCCGCCGGGUAUGUUGAGGUACCAAUGGGAAGAUACGGUUAGAUUUUGGCAUUCGAAGAAAGGCGAGGUAUGACGUACUUCCAAACUAUUGUAAUUAUUUUGGUAAAUAGUAUUUUCUAUUUACGUACUAAAAAGUUCAUAACGUAGGAUCGUGAACAAGUUGGAAAAAGUAGCAGGCAGAAACAAAAAUUCACCCACACAGCCGGGUCGAGAAGUUUUACAUGUGUAGCUGAGGCGGAGGUAUUUUUAAUUUUUUAAUAUUGUCGAAUAUGUAUAACUUUCUAUUAAAUAAUAUUUUUACUACUAUAUUGUAAGAACUGUCGUUCGGUCAAAAAGUUGGACGCCUUCAACUUUUUGAAAUUACACAUAGGAAGAAAGAUGGAUCUCCCAUGACUCCUGAAGCUGGUGAAAUAAUGAUACGUUUACUUAAUACGAUUUGACUUGUUUUAGUUAUUUAUAGUGUUUAUUUUCUAAUGGUUUAAUUCAUUGCUUGUAAUGCGACUAUUGUUAUGUUGCAUAUGUUUUUUAAUAUAUAAUAUUGCGUUCCUAACUAUGUGAUUUAUUUAUUAGGAAAAACUAAAGGAUAAAAAGGUUGAGUACGAAGCGAUUGCUUCUAGUGAUAGUUCUGUUCAUCUUGAAAACAUUGAUAAUCGGAUUAUUACUGAAGUUUUGGGUCCUAAAAGGUAUGGUCAGGUUCGAUUUCAAGGAUCUUUUGUUAGCCCAACCCAAUAUUUUGGAUCCAGCUCCCACCAAUACAUGGCUUUAGGGAGUCAGGCUCAAGCUGAAGUUCAGAGGUUAAAAGACCAGAUCGCUCAGAUGCAAGCGACCACAGUUGAGGUUCAAAGGAAAUAUGAAGAACUCCAGCUACAACUUAAAGCAGAGGCGGCAGCGAGGGAAGCAGCGGCUGCAGCGAGGGAAGCAGAGGCUGCAGCGAGAGAAGCAGAGCAGACCAAAAAGUACGACGAACUCCAGCAACAGCUUCAGAUUAUGAUGAAGAUGUUUCAGUCGCAACUUCCGCCUUCAUAGUGUAUGGCAUAAAUAUUUUUAUCAUUUUAACAUUUAACAUUUUUGCAAAAUAAUAUGAAUUCACUUUUAUUUAUUGAUAUUAAUAUUAUUUUAUUCGUUUAAUUUGAAAUAUUAUAUAAAUUUAUUGCUUUUGGCUGUUUUAGAUCUGGUUGCUUUUGAUUUGUUGUUACAGGAGGGCUGAAAAAAUGAAAAAUUUAAUAAAAAAAUCCCAAAAAUAGUGGCGUUUUUGUAUAAAAACGCCGCUAAAGAACAUGGUCUUUAGUGGCGUUUUUACCAAAGCGCCCCUAAAGAACAUGGUCUUUAGUGGCGUUUUUUACUAAGCGCCGCUAAAGAACAUGGUCUUUAGCGGCGUUUUUUUGUAAACGCUGCAAAUGUUUGCGAUGUUUUCCUUAGUGGCAUUUUUUGCGGCGCUUGUGGAAGCGCCGCAAAUACCUUUAGUGGCGUUAAAAAGCGCCGCUAAAGGCCUAAAAAAAUGCCGCUAAAGACUUGUUUUGGUGUAGUGGUGUUAAAACGCAUUAUCCUCUUAUUUAUGAAUUAGGAAGUAGUUAUUGGUAGUUCUAGACAUUGCGUAGAAAAUAAUAGAUAUGAUGAGAAUCUAUAUUGAAACUUUUCGAAAAAAUAUAUUUAUUACACAUGAACUAAAAGAAAUUUCUUUAUGGGUAGUUCAAGAAUAUUGUUGAAGCUAUAAAAUAAAAAUUCAAUUGGAUAAUAGAAAUCUCUUUUGUUUAACAAAAUAUUAAUCAUUGAUUGAGUUAAUAUUAUGAGUCAAUCGGACACCAAUUUAAUUAAGAAAUUACGAAAAUAUCAUUCCAUAAUUAAAAUAAAUUAUAUUAUUUGAGGAUAUUUUAAUAUUUUUAUGUCAAAAAAAUCAAUAAAAAUAUAUAUUUAUUUUUCACAAAUAUAUUAUUCUAUCAAUUUUCAUCAACCAAAAAAAAAGUAAUUAAAGUAAAAUUUACCUUUGAUAUACCAGAUGAUUUCAAAGAGAAUGAUUAUAUCAAUGAGUUUAACAAUUAAAAAAUAUAUUUUUUUCAAAGAUUUUAUAAUAUAAAAAAUUUUAAAAAUUUUAUAUAAAAAUUAAAUAAAUAUUUUAAAUGAUAUUUGGACCAAUUUUAAUAAUUAGUUUAUAAUUUAGAGUUGUAGAUAAUAUGGCUGAUAUAUAUAAUGUCUUGGUCAAGUCAUGGUUUUAUAUAUGUUUAUUUGUGAGCCCUACACUCGCAUCAAAUUUAGAUAUCACAAACAUGAUUUAAAACAUUACUAGCUGUGAGCAAUUUAAAGAAAUUUAAUUUCUUUUUUACAAUUUUAAGUUAAUCAAUUAUUUGAUUUUUUUAGGGGCGAAUUCAGAAAAGUUUUUUAGAGGCCGAAAUGAAUUUUUAAUUUUUAAUAGUCUAUAUCUUUAUAUUUUUAAAGGAUUAAAUUAAAAUUUUAUAAUUUUAAGGGGGGCAAAAUGUAAUUUUAUCUCUACUAAUUUAAAACUUUAAGAUUUUUUAAAGGACCUAAAUAAUAAUUUUUCAUUUUAAGGGGGCCGGGGCCCCUACCAACCCUUUAGAUUUGCCUCUGAUAUAUAUAUAUUAUUUAUGUUUUGUAACUCAAAAUUUAGUCAUAUUAUCAAUAAUAUUUUAAUAUGAAAAAUUUACUUUUUAAAAAAAACUUAUUUAACUUGUCUCAAUUAAAUUAAAAAAAUUAAAAUCAAAUUAGAAUAAUAAAAUAAUACCUAUUUACGCGAUUGAAUCUAAUACUCACCUCUCAAUAUUACACCUUUUGAAUCUUCCUAGAUCAUAAAAGGAGAAGUUAUCCUUGGCGUGUGUGUUUUAGUGCUCCUUAUUUCCUUUAAAAACAAAGUUUAUUUAUUCCUUUUUUAUAGAAAUGAAUUGAUAUUUAAACUGCAAAAGAAGAACCACUAUUUGAACAUGUAUAAAUUAAUAUUGUACGCAAAUAUAAACUUUAAUACCAAUUAGAGAAGUAAAAUAAGAUAUUGGUGAAUCAAAUUUAUUAAAUAAUUUAUAUACAGAAUGGAUGAUAUAAUAUUUCUGAAGUCUUCCCUUGGUUGACCAUAAAAGGAGAAGUCAUUGUUUUGUUUUUUGGUAUUUAUUUGUGACCCCUACACACACAUCAAAAUCACAUAUCAUAAACAUUGAUUUAGAAUUAAACUAUAUAAUAUUAGACCUUUUGUAAUCUUCCUAUUGUUGACCAUAAAAGGAGAAGUCAUCCUCUUCUGUCUUUUCUCCCCUUUAACUCUGUGGCUAAUUAUGUCAAAACAAGGUUUUUUUUUCCCUUCUUUGGUAGGAAUUAAAUUAAUAAAGAUUAUUGUAAUUUAAAAUCCAAUUAAAGUUACUAUUUGAACUGGUAUGAAUUAAUAUUGUUAUGUCUAACAUUUAUAUCCAAUAAUUUUUACUAUAGAGAAAAGAAGUAAGAAAAUAAUAUAUGAUGUAAAAUUGUUAAUUUGAGUCUUAACACAGUCGGUAUUUGUAUGUUGUUUAUGUAAUUUUUCUUUCUAGUUAAAGGUUGGAGAGGAGUUAGGGUGAAGCUAGAAAUUUCUUUUUUGGGAGACGAAAUUAAGCUGUAUAUUUUUACGAGAGUUAAAAUACAAUUUUACCAUUUCAAUAGCUUAUAUCUUUACAAUUUUUAAUGGACUAAAGCAAUAUUUUAUCAUUUUUAGGGCUAAAGUACAAUUUUACUAUUUAUUAACUUAAAAUUUUAUAAACUUAAUUUAAAGGGUUAAAUUUUAAAUUUCACAUUUUAAGGGAAGGGAUAAAAACCCUGCUAGGCUCCCCUCUUGCCGCCCCUGAGAGGAUAUAAAGUAAAGCCAUAAGGGUCUAAAAUAUAUGAAUUAUGAGUACUUAUUACACUUGACCAAUUGCUUUUCUUCAAACAAAACAAAAACUAAUGCACAUGAAAAUGCAAAUUCACAUGCAACCUAGAUAUGCAUUCUAUAUACAAUGCAAUGCAAUAAAUAAAUAAACAAAUAUUAUUUAACUAUGGAGUUGCCUCUCCGUAAGCACCUUUGUUUAACAUUUUUGGCUAGAUGUUUUUAAAUGUUAUUUCACCACAGAAUGAUUCGGAUAACAUCUUGACUUAAUAAAAUUGAACAUUAGGAACAACUUAAAAGUCGAGGGAACUUGAGAGUUUUGAUCCCCUUUUGGUUCUUUAACCAACCAUUCUCACCCCUAAUUAUAAUUCCAAUACAGUAAAAGUACGUGAUUGAGUUGAAUGGAUGGUGGUUGUUUGACAUAACAUGUAGAAAGUGAAAAAAUAGUUAAAAAUAAAUCAAGUAUUAAAACUAAAAGUUUAUGAAAGAAAUAAUUUUUUUUCGUUUCCAGGCUUUUACAAAAUCGUGUAGAUUAUUCAUUUUCUUUCUUUUGCUUUUCUUUUCUGACGAAUAAAAUUUAACAAAUGAUAAAAUUGAUCUAAUGUUAUAUAUUUGGUUUAAAAUUUAUGUAACAUAUUAGUAUUUUAAUUAUUUUUCAAAUGUUAUAUAUUUGUUUUAUAAUGGAAACUAAAGUUCGCAUUUAUUUUUUUUUAGGUUUUUUAGGGUGAGUUUAGAUAGGCGGUGCAUUUAUCUACGGUUAGUAUAAAAAUAAAAAUAACGGUAAUAUUAUAUAUUAUAGAGAUAUUAUGGUGUGAGACAAAAAAUAAAUUAAAUACACCGCACCCUACUAUCUAUCCAAACUUAAUUUUAUUAUUUAAAAAUAUAAAUAUUUAAGAUAAAUAGAUAAGUGGGAAAUAUUGAAUGGAAUAAAGUAAUUGAAGCAAUCAAUUGCUAUAUCAUUUCACACACUUUCCCAAAGCCACAUAAGGGGAGAGAAGGGGCCACGCAGCCCUCCUAAAUAGUUGAAAAUAAAUCAAGUAUUAAAACUAAAAGUUUAUGAAAGAAAUUCUAGUAUUAUCAAUUUUUCGUGAGGCUCAAAGCUAUUUGGAACAAAAAUAAAAUCAAUAUGUAUAGGCUUAACAAAAUAGCUAUUAUCUUGCAUUGUUAUUUCAUCCUAACCUCUUCCCUCAUAACUUCAUCUUCUAUUUUCUGUUCGACUUUAUCAAAAGUCUCAAGAAUUUCCUCCCCGUCCUUUUUAACUUCAACGAAACUUUCUAGGGAAGGAAGCUCUAUCGUGAAUGACUUCGGUUCUAGUCAAAGUAAAAUAUAGUUUUUUUAGGUUUUUCGACUAUUUAUGCAUCAAACUUUUAGGACAUUUUGGACAUCUUCCUAAUGUUUUUGGGCUUUAAUCUGUGAAAUAAAUUUAGAUAAAUCUUUCAAGUCACAUCAACAUUUUAUUAAUGAUUUAAUAAAUUAUUAAUAAAAAGAUUUAGGAUUAAUGUACAAAUUUGUCACUAUACUUCAAUUUGAUUGAUAUUUGAUAUUGAAUUUUAUUGCUUUACUUUAAUUUAAUUGAAUUUUGCCACUAAGAUUUUUUUAUUGAAUUUUCUAUUCAAUUUAAUUUUAAAAUAACUUGAAGGCUAAAUUGAAUAAAAAUAGUUUUAUAUUUCGCUUUUAUAUUUAAUAAUUAUCCUCUCAUCCAUGGCAAGGUGCGGAAAUUUGCAGAAUAUAGAAAUGGAGUGAAGAAAAACCGCUUUAGCAGAGGAUAUGAUUAUGUUAAGGAUAUACUGAAGUGUUUGAUUAUUUUUUCCAGAUGAAGUGUUUGACAUUUUAUAUCACUUAAUUAUUUUGGAUUUAUAUGUGAUGUCAGCCUCUACACGUAUACACGUGAAUGUCACCUAUUAGAAAGAAAUAGUAAUUAAAUUCAUAUUUAAUAUAUAUUUUUGAUCUAAUUUUUUUUAAUUCAAUUUAAUUUUAGUUAAAACGUUUAAAAACAUUUAUUUAAUCUAAUUUCUUUAAUAUAUUAAAUAAAUUGGAUUAGAAAAUAUAUUAAAUAUGAAUGAAUACUAUAUCUCUAAAAAUUAAUAUAUUAUUAUUUUAUUGGUGCUUAAAAAAAUUAAAAUAUUUAGAAUCAUUUUAAUAUAAGUUAUUCCCUUGAUAAUAAUAUUUGGUAUUUACACGAGUAAGUUCAAUAGUUGACAAAUAUUUUAUAUAAGUAUAAUAAAAUAUUUAAAAAAAUUAUUUAGUGACUUAAUUUUUUAAGAAUAUUUGAUAAUUCAUAAAGAAAAUAAAUAAUAUUUUAAAAAAAGAGUGAAAAAUGAUAAGUAGAUAAUAUCUAUUAUCACUUACAACAUGUUUGGAUUAAAAAGAAGAAAAAGGGAGGGAAAAUUAAGUAAAUUGAGGGAAAGAAAAUUCGGUUUCUUUGUUUAAGUUAAGUAAAGUUGUUAAUUUUUUAUUAGAUUUUAUAUUUUAGAUUAUUAUCUCUUCUUCUUCUUUUUUUAGCUUGUAACAGCCUUAUUUUUAUUUUCUAUUUGUUUAGGUUACUAGAAAUAUUUAAUUUUAAAUUUGUUUGAUAUAUAUUUUUAAAAAUUUUAACAAUAUUUUUUAUUAACUAUUUUGUUAAAUUAUUAGGAAUCCUUCAUUUGUAAUUUGGUUAAGAUAUUUUUUUUUUUAGUUUGAUAAAAUAAGCUUAUUAAAAAAAAAGAGAAUAUACCAAUAUAUUAUUGGUUAACAUUUUAAUUAUUAUUUUAUAUAGAAUAUUGAUAUUUUUCUAUAAUUUUAAUUUGCUGUGAUUUAAUUUUGUUAUUAUAUAUUAUUUAUGAACUGUUAAAAUUAAAAAAAAUAAAAGUAAAAUAAUUCAUUUUCUUUCCUUUUCAUAGUUUAGCAAAACAAGUCCACAAGCUCGCCUCAUUUGAAAAAAAAAUUAAAUUGUUUAAAUAUAUUUAUCUAUAUAUAUAUAGGGACUAGUUUUAACAAAUGAAAAACAUAAAAACUACAUUAGAAGAAAUGGGGAAGGGAAGAAAACAAAAGGAGAAGCAGAAGAGAAUGAAAUAUAAAGGAAAGUUAAAAGAACAUAAAAAAAUUAAAUUAAAUUGCUCAAAACGAAAAAAAUAUGGGGAUUAGUUGCAUAAAUCAUCCUAAAAUUUUUGUUUGAAAGAUGAUUUAACAUGUCACAUCAGCUUAUUGUUACACGGUUAACAAAAAUUAAUAGCUCAGUGACUAAAAUGUUAUAACGUGAUAACGUAAGUGACUAAAAUGUAACAUUUCAAACAUAAAUAACUAAAAUGUAAGCAAAAGUGGCUAUUUUAAUAGUUUACCCUAACAUUUAUCCAAACAUAAGCUUAAUGUAAACAUUUUUUCAAUUCUUUUUAUUUUAUUUUAUUUUUUACCAUUAUCCUUUAUCCUUAUUUUAGAAAAAAGUAGAAUUAUUUUUCAAAAUUAAUUUUAAGCAAUACAUCAAAUAGAUUUUAUAACUUAAAUGUAAUAUUUAAUUUUAUAAUAUUUUUUUAUCAAACAACAUUUACUCCUAAGUAAAUAAAUAAAUAAAGGCCUUGUGUAAUUAAGAAAGUUGAGAAAGGGCUAAUCCUCACAUGGUAAAAAUUGGCUACAAUAAUGAAGGAAAGAGAAAAACACUUAGGAAUGUGAAUGAGCAUACCCCACACACAUACUAUUUACUGUCAACGGUGAUGGAUGAAUUGUCUACUAUACAUGGAUUUUUUUUUUUUUUUGGUUCUUGUCCUGUAUUAUUUGGGUUUGUGAUCCCAUGUAAAAUUCCAGUCACUAUUUCAUAGCAUUUAAAAAAAAUUAUUUAUUAUCAAUUGAGUAUUAGCUUGAUUGGUAUAAGUAUUAUUGUCAAUGUAUGAGAACAUAGGUUCGAGUGUAUUAAAGCUUAUUAUCUUUUUAUUUAUGGAUUAGAAAGUGAUUAUUGGUAGUUCUAAACAUUGUGUUGAAAAGAAUAGACAUAAUCAGAAUUUAUGUUGAAAUUUUUCAAAAACAAUUAUUUAUUACACAUUAAUUAAAAGAAAUCUCUUUAUGGGCAGUUCAAGAUUGUGAAGUUAUAAAAUAAAAAAUUCGAUACGAAAACAAAAAUCUCUUUUGUUUAACAAAAUAUUAAUCAUUGAUUGAGUUAAUAUUAUGAGUCAAUCAAACAUCAAUUUAAUCAAGAAAUUACGAAAAUAUUAUUUUAUAAUUAAAAUAAAUUAUAUUAUUUGAGGAUAUUUUAAUAUUUUAUGUCAAAAAAAUCAAUAAAAAUAUGAAUAUGAUGGGAUUUGAAAUAAAAUCUUGAAUUUACCACUCAACCAAAACUUUAUUUUAUCAUAUUUUAUACAUUUUUAUUUUAAUACGCACAAUUUAUUAACUUCAUCAGUUGUAUAUAUAUUAAUAAAUUUAUUGAUUGAGUUAAUAUCACAAGUCAACUCGACACUAACUGACAAUUGACGACAACACUUUGAUAGACAGUUGUAUUGCGUUUAAUUAGUAUUUUUAAUUUGAUGUAUUUAUAUGUUUAAAUUUUAUUUUUGCUCCCAAAUUAAUUUAAUUUUUUAUUUUAAUGCCAUACAUAUUUUAUAUAUUCUUAUAAUUAAUUAUCUUGAAACCAUAUGUUUCAUUAUUUACUUCUUUCUUUUAAGCAUGCAUCUGUGUUUCAAAUCUAAACAUGGUUGAUUAUGUUAAUUAAUGUUACAAAUUGAGAAAUUUAUUAAAAGUAUUGAAAUCUUCACAUCUAACCUACUUUUAUCAUGUUUGGAAGAUGCUAUUGAUCUUCUUCAAGUGGUUUUUCACAAAUAUAUUAUUCUAUCAAUUUUCAUCAACCAAAAAAAAAAGUAAUUGAAGUAAAAUUUACCUUUGAUAUACCAGAUGAUUUCAAAGAGAAUGAUUAUAUCAAUGAGUUUAACAAUUAAAAAAUAUAUUUUUUCAAAGAUUUUAUAAUAUCAAAUAUUUUAAAAAUUUUAUAUAAACUUAAAUAAAUAUUUUAAAUGAUACAAUUCGACCAAUUUUAGUAAUUAGUUUAUAAUUUAGAGUUGUAGAUAAUAUGGCUGAUAUAUAUAAUGUCUUGGUCAAGUCAUGGUUUUAUAUAUGUUUAUUUGUGAGCCCUACACUCGCAUCAAAUUUAGAUAUCACAAACAUGAUUUAAAACAUUACUAGCUGUGAGCAAUUUAAAGAAAUUUAAUUUCUUUUUUACAAUUUUAAGUUAAUCAAUUAUUUGAUUUUUUUUAGGGGGCCGAAAUGAAUUUUUAAUUUUUAAUGGUCUAUAUCUUUAUAUUUUUUAAAGGAUUAAAUUAAAAUUUUUAUAAUUUUAGGGGGGUCAAAGUGUAAUUUUACCUCUACUAAUUUAAAACUUUAAAAUUUUUUAAAAGACCUAAAUAGUAAUUUUUCAUUUUAAGGGGGCCGGAGCCUUACCAACCCUUUAGAUUUGCCUCUGAUAUAUAUAUUAUGUAUGUUCUUUAAAUCAAAAUUCAGUCAUAUUAUCAAUAAUAUUUUAAUAUGGAAAAUUUACUUUUUAAAAAAUUUAUCUUGAACAAACUUAUUUAGCUUAACUCAAUUAAAUUAAAAAAAUUUAAAUCAAAUUAAAAUAAUAAAAUAAUACUCAUUUACUCGAUUCGAUCUAGUACUCACCUCUCAAUAUUACACCUUUUGAAUCUUCCAUGACAGAAGUUAUCCUUAGUGCUCCUUAUUUCCUUUAAAAACAAAGUUUAUUUUUUCCUUUUUUAUAGAAAUGAAUUGAGAUUUAAACUGCAAAAGAAGAACCACUAUUUGAACAUGUAUAAAUAAUUUAUAGUUGAUAGUUAUAUACAGAAUGGAUGAUAUAAUAUUUCUGAAGUUUUCCCUUGGGAGAAGUCAUUGUUUUAUGUUUUUUGGUAUUUAUUUGUGACUCCUACAAAUUAUAUAUAAGAAAUUCUAGUAUUAUCAAUUUUUUGGAGGCUCAAAGCUAUUUGGAUCAAAAAUAAAAUCAAUGUGUAUAGGCUUAACAAAAUAGCUAUCAUCUCAUCCUAACCUCUUCCCUCAUAACUCCAUCUUCUAUUUUCUGUUAGACUUUGAGAGUUCAAUUACGAAAAGGGAAGUGUUUUUUUCGGCUCUUAAUGUAAUUGAUAGUAGGCUAGGAAAUAAAGAUUAUUCGUUUGUUUGUUUAAGCCUGAUUUUGACUUGUUUACUAUAAUUAAAUUAUCACUUCAAUAUAUUUUUAUCAGUUUGAUUUAUGUACUUUCAUUCUAUGUACUUCGUUAUCUUAUUUAUAUUUUUUAGAAAAAAAAUUUUCUAUCUAAUUAAAUGCUGUCACCUAUGAAAAAAUUUAAAAUUCCACUGAAGUAUAUAAAAAUUCAUAAAAAUCGUAAAAAAAGCAUAGAACUCUAAAGAAAUUAAUAAAAUUUUAUAAGCACAAAUUUCCAAAAUUAAAAUUAAAAUAUUUUAUUAAAAUUUUUAAAUUUUUUAAAGUUUCAUAUAUUUAUUGUUUAAAAAUUAUAUCAUUUUCAAAAAAAGAUUAUGAAUUUUUUUAGGUAUUUUAAAAAUAUUUUUCUAAGUCUUAAGAUUUUAUUUUUUGCAUUUUAUGAUUUCUUUUUUGGAUUUUUAAUGGUUUUUAAAAUUUUAUAAUAUUUUCUAAAAUGUUUUAACUAUUUUGGUCGUCCAGGUUUUGUGAAUGAAGCGAAGGGUAUCUUUAUUGUGGUGAACUUUUAAUUUACUCAAAACGAAGUGAUUUAUUACGUUGUGUGAUUUGCAGAUAAGUGUUAAAUAUGAAAUGUGUAAGGCCCAAUAUUUGCCCGGCCCGUAAUAAAUAAACCAAAUCAAAAUUUAAAAAGUCCAAAGUCCAAAAUUACAAAAAUCUAUCAGACCCAAAAUAUAAAUCGAGCCCAUUUAUAAAUGGCCCAGUACAAACCCAAAUUACAGCUAGCCCAAUAGCCAAAAUCAGCCCAGAUUUUUUCAUUUUGCAGAAACCCUAAACAGUUUCAGAGGUACCAGGCGCCGCAGCCAAGCCCUCGCACAUGCCCCACGAACCACGCUUCCAGCGCCUCUCCCCACAUACACCUAGCCACGUCCCUGACACCGUACGGCCGUACCUGCAGCAAACGCAAACGAAAAACGCAGCAGAGAAAGAAAUUGUAUUUUUCAUUUUUAUUAUUUUAAAACGAAGGGAUAUAAAACAGGAGAAACCUUUUGUAUUUGAGGGGGGAUUGAUACGCAAUAUCAACACACGCAUAUUGUAUCAGAAAAACGAAAUCAAUACAGAAGAAAGGUUUUCUUUUUCUCUUUUCUCGAUUGGGUUCCUUUUUCUUUGGCUUUUCUUUUUUCUGUUUUGCUGUUAGCCCUAUACAUAAGCAUAUACAUAUAAUAAAAGGGAAAGGAAGUACUUACCUCGGUGACCCUGUCGUCGUUCUCAUCGGUUUCGUGGAUACCAAAGAGGCUAGGUAUGGUUUUAGCCUGAGAACGGCGCAAGGGGAGAGGGGAAAGGCAAAGUUUUUUUUCUGCUAUUUUUUUAGUGGCCGAAUAACCUUGUUUAGGGUUUUAAAAUUGGUUUUUUUUGGGUGUUGAAACGGUGUCGUUUGGGGCCUGAAUCAGUGGCCACCAAAACGACGUCGUAUUUGUAUACCCGCACGUCCAACCCGACCCGGACCAGCUAGAUUCGCGCGUUUUGGCCUCUGGUGGUAUAUUUUCGCACUUAGUCCCUUGCCUUUAAAGCGCAUCCAAAUCAAUCUUUUUAUUUUUUUAGAUUUUGCCUGAUAUGUCACUGUUGUUUCAUUUUGGUCCCUUCUGCCAAUAUGCGUUUUGAAGGGCAGGGAAUAUUUCCCAUUUAAUCCCUCAUGUAAUGCGCAGGCUUCAUUUUGCCUUUUAAUUUCCUUUUAAUUUAUUUUCUUUUUUCGAUUAAGCAUUAAAUCCAUUUUAAUCUCUAUUUUAGUUUGUUCAUAUUAAUUAAUUUAAAUAUUUUGGUUCUGUUUUCUUUAAUAUAUUUCAGUUUAAUCUAAUGUUAUUUUAAUAAUUCAACUUAUUAGUAUAAAUUCAUUAUUGGUAUUAUUUAAAUCUAUUGAACCAUUAUUCUAAAAGUUUUCUUUCGUGUGUUAUUUUAAGUUUUCAUAUAUUAUUAUUAAAAUUUAAUACUUAUUAUUUUUAUGAUAACUAAAUAUAAUUUGUACAAUUCUAUAGUUUUAUAAUAUUUAUUUUUAAAUUUAUUGGGAUACUAUUAUUUUAUGAAGUAUUUGUUUUUAACUAUAUUUUUCAUUUAUUUCAAACUUUCAUGUGUAUAUAUAUUAUUUUAAACUUAUUUUAAUAUAUAAUUUCCCUUCUUUUAUGUUACUUUUUUUGUUUUUGUUAUUUAAAAAAAAACUUGUUACAUUUUAUUUAAUUCGCUUGUUACCCUUUUUUAAUAUUAACUUUUUAAUUCAUUUUGCUUGCUAAUAUGGAUGUUAGUAUUUGCAUAAUGUAGGAUAUAAAAUUGUUGCUCUUUUGUAUAUGAUAUUGUUUAUUCAUAUAUUAAAUUUUUGUUAUUCAUUAGUGUAUGCUUUAGUUUACGAAUAAUCAAUUCGCAUAGUACAUUAUUAUACGAUCGUUUUUAUUUAUUCAAAAGAUUACAAAUUACAAAGUUAUUCUAUUCAAAAACUUUCAAAAAUACUCGAAGUUUGAAAUCCUCGAGAGAAUUGAGCCCUAACGUAUUGGGUUCCAAUUUUUUUCGUCGAGUCUAAAUAAUUGAACAUUUUUUAACAUACAAAUUUCAAAUAACCCAUUCUCGGGAAUUCAACACGUUGUGUCCUAACGUAUUGGAUAUGACAUGUUAUUUUCUCGAGACGAGGAUUUUAAAAAAAUAAUAAAUAAAGGCAAUGUUCGGUAUUUGGAAAUUUGGUGAAAUCGAACCCUAACUUACUGGGUUUUGAUCUUCUCUUUUGGCCCAAAUAAUUAGAUAUCCUUCUCAAAAUGCAUAGUUUUAAAAAUCAAAUUUAACUUCAAAAUAAAAGGAUUGUAUUUUAAAUUUUUUUUCAAAAUCUCGACAUUAAGACAUUGAACAAUCAAUUUGGUACCAAUUUUGGGCGUAUCGAGGGUGCUAAUCCUUCCUCGUGCGUAACCGACUCCCGAACCUAUUUUUUUGAAUUUCGUAGACCAAAACCGUUGUUUUAAUAAAAUCAAAUCGUUUAUUAAAAACAACCACUUUUUAAGGUGAUCCGAUCACACCUUAUCAAAAAAAGAUUGGUGGCGACUCCCUUUUUCCGUUUCCGUUUUCAAAAUCCAAGUCGACCCCGUUUUCAACAAAGAAAUGGUGUCUACAAAAUGAAUUGUUGAAUUUGAAAACAAUGGUUUAAUAUUGCAGGGAUUUCCAGCAUUAUCAUAAAUUUUAGUGAAUUUAGAGACGAAAUCAGAGUUCCACUGAGUUUUGUUCAAAUCUGGGGAUUUCAUCGUCAUAUAGGGUCGAUUUGGAUAUCUAGGAUACAAAGCUUCAUAUCAUUGAUGUUCGGUGGCCAUGGGUAUAUGUUGAUUUUGAGUUUAUCGUUGCCCCAUAAGUUGGUUGCACUAAAAAAAAAGGGUAUUACCAAUGCUAAAAAUUGUUACUAAAAUUUUAUUGUAGCAAUAAAAGUUGUUGCGGGAUUGUUGUGUAUAUUUUCGUUGUUUAAAGUAUACGCAACUCUACUCAAUUAUGUAAUAUCUACUCUUAAAUAUGGUCUAUUUAACUACAUAUUUAAGCACAUCAAACACAAAUUAAUAAUUUAGAAAUAUCAAACCAAGAAUUAAUCACACAUAAUUGGGAACAAUAAACUAAGUAUUUAUUGCAUAAAAUAAAAAAAAUGAUAGAAUCCAUCAUAGGGUUCAUUUCCCUAGGUAUUUAGAAAAUUAGUUCAAGCUUGAAAAUAAAAACAUCCAAGAUAUAGUAUAACCGAAAGAAAUAAAAAAAUUCAUGAUAAUCUCCUAGGAAAUCAACUGAGAAUCUUCAAUCUUGACGUAAAUUUGUUUUCAAGAUGGCUUCAAUGGCAUUUUUCGAGUUGCUUUCUUGAAUAUUUUAUGACGGCUCUCUCAUAUACUUUCUUAAUUUUUCACAUAUACGUUUCAUAAUGCCCCAAAAAUCUAAAAAUCUUGAUUUUACAUUGUUUGUGUGGCAAUUCCAUGAAAUUGACAUAGCCUACCACACACUCGUGUGGGUCACAUGACUAUGUGGUUUGCUCAUGUGAAAUUUAGAAAAUGUAAAAGAUUCCCUAUGCACCAUCUAUUAUGAGUCUACUAUAUGCUCAAAUAUGUAUGCAUCCGUAUAUUGCAUAUAUUGUUGGGAUGUUAGGCAAACAUUUAAGCAACUCUAGUAUAGGCCAUUAGAUAACAACCAAGAGGGUUAUGAGGUAUCUUUAGAAAACAAAAUAUUACAUGCUCACAUAUUGGAUGUUUGAUAAGUUAGAGAACAUCAAGUAUACAAACUCCAAUUUUGAUGAAAUAUUGAUGCAAAAUUUUGUCACUAGAGUGCAAAUUGUAACAAUAGUUAGUAGUCUUUUAUUCCAAUUGUACAAGCCCAAAUUUGCCCGAGGCCCAAAAACCCAAUACACCCAAACCUCAGCCUAAUUACAAAUUUAACUCAGCAGACCCAACCCAACACCGAUGACCAAACCUCAAUCCAAUAGCACCUAGCCCAACAAGAUUAAACCCAAACCCGAGGCCCAAUAUCCAACCCAAAAAAAAUGAAGGCCCAGUAGCCCAAAAUGUUUGAGACUUUUUCAGAAAAAAUGAAACCCUAGCCUACUGCCUAACCCUAGCCGCCUCUGCCUCCUCUGACAUCUUCUAGUCUGGCUGCCGCUCGUAGCCUCUGCCACCGCCACCUCUGACGCCGAGCCGCCCAUCAAUCACCUACUCCAUCAACGUCAACACCUGCAAACAAGAGAAAAAGCAAUAGCAAAUAAUAGCAAAAAUAUUGUAAAAAAAUGGCUAUAAAGCCAUAACCACCACUGUAAACGGGGUUCUUCCCCCCCCGAUUUUUGUAUAAAAAAAUAUUAGCAGGGAAAUAAAGGAAAAAAGAUUGAAGGUGAUUUUUUCUUUUCUUUUCUUUUCGGUUUUGUAGACCUGUUUUUCUGUUCUCUUUUCUUUUUUCGUUUACACGUAUGUAAAUAAAGGUAGUAAAUAAAAGGAUAGAAUGAAGACUUACCCAUUUCGCCUUUCGGUUACGCCGCCGUCGGGGUCUGCUCAUAAUUGAAAUCGGCCCGAAAGAUCGAGUUAGGGGGUCCUUUGUCUUAAUUUUUGGGCCAAACGAAUCUAGCCUUCGAUUGGGUCUUAAAACGGGGACUAGAAUGCCCAUUUUGCGCAACGCCGGCCACCGUCCACGGUGGCGCUAUGGCGGUGCUAAGAAGACCCAAAGGCCGAACGUUUGAGAGGGAUGAGGAAAGGUUUUUUUUUGUUUUUUUUUUAAAUUAGUGGCCGAAAUGUUUUUUUUGAAGAAAAUAUGGCUUAAAUACCAUUUUCGAAAUAACAUCGUUUCAAUUUGGCCCUCCAGAUGCCAAAACGGCGUCGUUUUGAAAGGGGCCGGUUCUACUCGACCCGUUUGGCCAGGAUCCGCGUGUUUUAGCCUUGAGGGGUUAUUUAUGCGGGGAGUCCCUCCGCUUUUGCAGCGUAGCCGAUAUGAUCCUUUUUGGUCUUUUUGUUAUUUGGCCCGCGAAUUUUACCUCUAUUUCGAUUUGGUCCUUAGACCAUGUGCUGCCCCUAGUCGAAACGCAGCAUUUUAGGACUGGGAAAUAUUUCCCCACAAGUCCCUCACGCUUUAAGCGCGUUUUACUUCAGUCCUGCACUAUUCCUUUUGUUUGUUUGCAUAUUUAAACCCCGAAGUUCGUUUCAAGUUUUAAUUUAGUCCUUUUGUAUUUUGUUUAUUUUCUUAUUAAGUAAUAAAUUUGAUGUUAUACUGUUAUUAUUAAUUAUAAUAAAUAUUAUUUGCUCAUUUUUACCUUUAGAAUUUCAAAAUUUAUCAUAUAUAUUUGUAUAUACUUAUUUUGAUAUUUUGAUAUUUUAUAAUUUAUAUCUAUAUAUCUAUAUACAUAUUUAUACAUAUAUACACAUACCUAUAUGUUUUAUAUUUUCAUAUAGUUUUUAUAUACAUAUAUAUUCUUAUAUGCACAUGCUUAUGUUUUUUUAUACUUUAUAUAUAUACACCUAAACAUGCAUAUUUUUUUAUAUGUACAUACAUUCAUAUAUUUUAUAAUUUAAGUACAUAUACAUAUAUAUGUACAUAAACUUUAUUAUUAUUAUUUUUUUUGUAAUUUAUAUUGUUAUUAAUUGUUUUAUUUGAUAUUUAUUUAUUUGCUCAUCUUUAUUUUUAUGAAAUGCUUUAGUUCUUUUUACAUUAUUUUUAUGAAAUGCUUUAGUUCUUUUUACUUACUCAUUAUUUCAUGUAUAAUUGUUUUUUUUAUAUAUGUGUCCUUUUUAUUGUUGCUCGUAUUAUUUUACUUACAUUAUCAUAAUUGUCAUUCCAUUACGUCAAUUUUCACCCAAAUUCAAAAAAAGAAAUUUUAAAAAUAUAAAUAAUACUCGGUAUUUGGGAUCUUCGAGAGAAUCGAGCCCUAACGUAUUGGGUUCCGAUUUUCUUCGUUGAAUCUAAAUAAUCGAGACUACUCUUUUUUAUAUAUAAAAAAACAUAAAUAAAAGCUCAUUAUCGGGAAUUCAAUACGUUGUGUCCUAACGCAUUGGAUAUGAUACAUUGUUUUCUCGAGAUGAGGAUUUUUCUAAAAAAAUAAAAAUAAGGCAAUGUUUUGAGUUUGGGAAAUUCAAGAAAACGUGCCCUAAUGUGCUGGGUUUCGAUUUCUCGUUUAGCCAAAUAUUCUCUUAAAUCUUAAUCUAUGUCAUUUAAGUUUUUUUAGGAUCGUAUUUUAAAUCUCUUUAAAAUUUUCAGUUUUUCGACACUAAGAUAUUAAGUGAUCAACUAGGUACCAAUUUUGGGCGUAUUGAGGGUGCUAAUCCUUCCUCGUGCAUAACCGACUCCCGAACCCAUUUUUCUGAAUUUCGUGGACCAAACUUGUUGUUUUAAUAAAAUCAAAUCAUUUAUUAAAACAACCACUUUUUGAGGUGAUCCGAUCACACCUUAUCAAAAAAGAUUGGUGGCGACUCCCACUUUCGUUUUCAUUUUUCAAAACCCAAGUCGACCCCGUUUUAUCAAAAAAAUGGUGCCAACAGCUUGGCGACUCCACUGGGGACCCAAGAACGAGAGUCAAGCCACGAGUUGAUUAUUUUUUUAUUUUUUUGUCGAAAAUCAAAAAAUUAGUUUAAACAUACGAUCCUUUCGUUGCAUUUCAUUCGUCUUUAUUAUGAUCUUCAUCAUUAUAGUUUAUAAUUGUUGUGUUAGUUUAAGUUUUGGUAUCAAUUUGUACAUUGCAUUGCAUAACCGUUGGUCACACCCUUCUUAGUGGGAGUGAGAAACUACGCUUUCGUGAGGUUUUCACCUCUGCAUAGGAUAGUGAAUCGCUUCUGGUAUAUAUCCGUACCUAUGUUUUCGUGAGAUUUUCAUCUCCGCAUGGCCAUAGGGAAAUGUAUUCCCCUGAACUGAACUCAGUCUGCAUGAGCCUAUAAUGGGUCAGGACCGAGGAAUCUGCUGGUUCAAGUACCCCUUACUUUAGAGCCGAACCGCAUGUAAUGAGCCCUAGGAGCCUACCCUAGGUAGAACCACACCAAAUACCUAGAGGUCACCUGAAAACUUGGUUUAAAUUUACGAUCAUUUUGUUGUAUUUCGUCCGUUUUGGUAUGAUUUUCAUUACUUCGAUUUGUAAUUACUCUAUUGGUUUGAAUUCUCGAUAUGUUUCUGCGCAUUGCAUUACAUGACCACUCAGUUACACCCUUUUAAGUUGGAGUGAGAAGCUACUCCUUUGUGAGGUUUUCACCUCCGUGCAGGAUAGUGGAUCACUUUUGGGAUACAUCUGUACCUAUGUCUUCGUGAGAUUUUCAUCUCCGUGCAGCCAUAGGGAAAUGUAUUCCCCUGAACCGAACUCGGUCCGUAUGAGCCUAUAAUGGGUGAAGAUCGAGGAAUCGGCUGGUUUGGGUACCCUUUCUUUAGAACCAAACCACAUGUAGAAGACCUUAGGAGCCCACCCUAGGUAUAACUACUUUGAACCCCUAGUAGUUACCCGAAUAGGUGCUCUUUUUGUUUUUUUUUCUUGUUUACUUUUGCUUUGUACUAACCUGUUUUGUUUUGGUUAUAACUGCAUUGCAUUUUCAUCAUAGAAAAGAGGUGUUGAUUCAAAUUUGAUUGCUAAAUAGAAAAGCUUGUCAUGGAAAACGAAUUUCUUGAUAAAGUAGAAUAUGAUGCGACUGUCUGAUUAUGGACUAAUUAAACACAACAAGAGAAGGUUAGAAGUUUGUGGAGGAAUAUACGACUAUGCUUCACUGCCUGAGGAUUCAAACCGACAAAGAUCAUUCGAGAGUGGUCACGAAACUAAAGAGCAUCGUAAGGGAGCAAUGGGUCGUGGCUCAGAUCAAUCAAAAAAGAAGAUAGUAAAGGUAAAUUUUGGGAAAUUCGCAAGAUUUGAUCCUAACAUCUGGAUAUGAAGAAAAGAUCAAUGUCUUCGCCAGGAAUAUGGGGGCAAAGCAGCAGAUGUAAUCUAUUUUAUGUAAAGAAAUUUAUUCUCUAGAAAAGUUGUUCUAAUGGAAUUGAAUUAGGAAUCAAUGCCUCUCUUUCUUUUUGCAUUCAUUUCACGCAUUUGUAUUAUAUAACAUCACAUGCAUUAAGGACCAUCAAAAGACUCUAAUUGAGUAAAAUGAUUUCAGCUAAUCUAGAGAACCAACACCCUUACGGAAUCCGAGCAAAAACUAAAAGAAUGGACCAAAGAUUGGAGAGAUUAAAACAAAGGCAAAUACAGAUGCAAGAGCAAUUUACCAAAUUUCAACAAGAUAUGAAGGAUCAGAUGCUAGAAGUCCAAAGAAAUCUGAUGAGUCAGUUAACCCAGUUAUUGGAUAGAGGGUUAGAAAAAGGAAAAAACCCAGUGGUCCAUUUUGGAGAUAAUGAUGAAGACCCUGCUCAUUUUCUAGGUUUUACCCCAACAAACAUCCAAGCACAACUAAAUGCAUGUCCACAAAAGGUAAAUGUUAACAUCUGACCACAAUACCAGACCAGUACCUCGACACCGGUGAAUUUCACGACAGGCUCAGGUUACAACCUUAGGGGAAAUCUAACUAGUCCCGUUGUCCUUGAUGAUCUAGCGGGAACAAAACAGGUGAGAGUAGAGCUCUCAAAACCAUUUGGAGAUCGUUACAAACAGAAAGGGCAAGAGUGGAAUCCUCAAAUCAAUACUUCGAGGGCCCCGAGGAAGAGGAAAGAUGACGUGAAUGAUGUGAGUAGGUAUAAUGAGGGUUAUUCAAAGCUGAUUACAACAAGCCAGAAAAGGACGGUUGAUUCUAGCCAUCAGAUCUCCCAGAGCAAGAAUUCGGCACAAAGUAAAACAUUGAGAAGUCCAAAUUUGUACCAAUCUCAAUGUCAUUUCGGGAGCUGUAUCAUAAUUUAUUUAACGCACACAUUGCCUCCCCUUUCUACUUGAAGCCUUUACAACCUCCGUACCCCAAAUGGUACGACACGAAUGCACAAUGUGACUAUCAUGCAGGAAUUACGGGGCAUUCAAUAAAAGAUUGCGUUGCCUUUAAAAAGGUGGUUGAAAGGCUCAUCAGUAUAGGCAUUGUCAAGUUCGAUACAAAAAAAUCUGCUGCCUAAUCAUAUUGAUAAUCGGGGUGAAUGCGAUGAAUGAGGAAAUAUUGGGAAACGUUCAAAUUAACGCUGUGCGAAGAAACAACUGAAGAAGGGACCUUGUUAGAUAUUUACCCGUACAUACUUAGGGGUGUUUUGAGCAAUGAGACUGUGGAAGAGAUCCCUGUAUUUUGUAGAGCUAAUUCGGAGUAAUAUCCAAAACACGCUUAUUGCUUUAAGCCUAGGGGCAAUAAGAAUCCUUUUGUGAGAUAGGCUUAUGUCCAACAUCUUUAUUUCAAUAAAAUGCAUCUUUGUUUCUCACUUCGAGCAAAUUUUUAUUCUUAGAUUCUUUUAUUCUUUGGAUAUACUUUCGUCCCUAUAAUAGGUCUUCAGAUAUCAAUGAUAUGAGCGACACUGCUAUUGACUCAGAACCUCCUUUUGAGCAAGAUAUGUGUCCAGAUUAAACUUCAAAACUUUGGAGAUAACUAAGACUGUAGCUUAUCUCUUAGUUUGUUAAGGACGGGAGAACAAGAUCCUACCUUACAAAGAAUCAAUGGAAGCCAUGGCCUUUCUCUAGAUGGGGCACGGAUGUCAUUAGGCCAAUCUCGUCUAAGGUUUUUGACGGCUAUCUUUAUAGUCAUCGAUUACUUAACUAAGUGGGCAGAAGUUGCUUCAUAUGUCAAUGUCGCAAAGUUAACAGUCUGUAAAUUCUUGAAAAAUCAUAUGUUAGUAUGGAAUGUCAAAAAGGAACAUAUCUGACAAUACACUAAAAGUGAACAACGACACAAUAUCAGAAGUUUGCAGUCUGUUCAAGGUUAACACAUUUUGCCCUAGAAUGUACGGUGCAGUGGGAGCAAAAACAAAACAAAAAAGAGGAAAAAUUACUGCAGGGGCAACACAUUGGCUUAGCGCAGUUUUGCUCAUUGAGGUCAAGAUUCCUUCCCUCCGAGUGUUGGAUCAGAUCCCGAUUGAAGAGAAAUGUUCAAAGUUAUCCGUCUGGGUCAAAUACACCAAAAAUAAAAGAUGCGAGCUCAUCAAAGAAGGUUCACCCUAAAGAGUUCCAUGAAUAGAACCUAACAUCGAAGAAAAUCCUCCCCAUACAAAAGGGACUUUAUAAGAAAGAGGAUCUGGAAAAGUGUUGAUUUCGACCAGAAAGGAUAGCAAGGACUUACCUAAUCCUACGAGUGCGGAUUCAAUCAAAGAAUGUAAAAAAAACAAACAAACAAACGAAAAGAAAAAGAAAAGAAAAGAAGAAUGAAAAAAGAAAAAGGAGAGGCCAAGAUGAAAACCCGCAAAGGGCGCCUUGAGACCAAAGGGGUUUUGAAUUGAAAACCCAGGAAUGGGUAGUUCAAAUUUUGAUCAAAGGUGGGGCAUGCGGUGGCCUUGUCCUCUCUGAAUUAGCAAGAAGGUGAGACGCUACAUCUCAGGCUAUCAACAAAGUCUUUUAGGACUUCUAGACACAUAUCAAGUUCAAAAGAGUCCUCAAGAAGCUUAUACAGAAAAGCUCAUGUUGCGAUAUCUGGGGCACCUGUUUCCAUUUUAUUCAUUUUUAUUUUGGCAAAAUAUGCCAUCUUGAUUAAUUUAUUCUCAUUUCGUAUCUUAGCAAAUUUACUAUCUUGAUUAUUUAUUUCGAGCUUUGUUCUCAAUAAAAUUUCAUCUUGUCCAUUGUGAUAAUCCUUUUCAUCUUAUUCAUUUUGAAUCUUAGCAAAAUUCGCUGUUCUGCUUAAUUUAUUUGUUUAGAGCUCUGCUCUCAAUAAAAUUUCAUCUUUCCCACUAUGAUAAUCUUUUUCAUCUUAUCUUAGCAAAAUUUGUUAUCUUGAUUAAUUUAUUCAUUUUGAGCUUUGUUCUUAAUAAAAUUUCAUCUUAUCCAUAUUGAUAAUCUUUUUCAAGCAUUUUACAUUGAAAUAACGAUUAAUUGACUGAAUAUUCAAGCAAAAGAAGUUUUGCAUAUUACUCUGAAAGUUUCUAAAUAAUACAGGAACCUGAAAUAGGACUAUUGUUUAGAGCAUACCAAUAAAGGGUGAAAUGUCUAAGAAGGAAAAGUCUAAAUUAAGACUAUCCUUUCGAAUUUUGUUGUCCAAGCAUGAAUUGAACAAAACGAAAAAAUGUCGAGAUGGUGACAAAGUUUCAAUGAACAAACGAGCAAUGAUCACCGAGUUAUAAAAAGAGGUUUUUGGAAGAAAAAAUUCCACAAUCGUGCAUAAACAUUUGGUAUGACACCUUGGGAAUGGUGUAGAAGACUAAAGAGAUUCAGAUACUGUAUCCCUGAAUUACAGUGGGAGAGGAUUGAGAAAAGUCAGAUCUUAUACUCAGUGGGAGGAAGAUGGCUCGAAUUUUAUGCCCCAAAAUUACCAUGGACUUAACCUUGAAGAUUACAACGGAUUGAACUCUGAAGAUUACAGUAGGGGGCAAUCUGGCUAAGUAAGAGAUGAGUGUUACCAGUCGAGCAAGAUAGCAUUCUGAUAUGUUGGUAAUAAAACCUUAUUGAAUAACGAGCAAUAACAACCCUAACAUUAAAAAGGGAUCAUUCUCAUGACAUUCUGCAUUCAUGCAAAUAUAAUUCACAUACACACCUAGUUAGGAGCAUUUGAUUCGUUCUGAUCAUAAUAUCCUAAUCAUUAGGCAUAAAUAGAUUCAUAAAAUGGACUUUACAGGUCAUGUUCCCCAGAGAACAUAUUAAUAAAGUUACCCAUACCCCUGAAGUUGCAAUGGGAUGAAUUGAAGUUGUCAUGUCAAGUCUUAUCUCUCAGAAAUUAUAGAGGAGUGGACUAGAGAUAGCAGAUCUUAUCUUCCUGUAUUUGGCAGCGAAGUAGAUCGUAGAUAGCAGAUCUUGUCUUCCUGUAUUUGGCAGCGAAGUAGAUCGUAGAUAGCGGAUCUUGUUUUCCUGUAUUUGGCAGCAGAGUAGAUCAUAGAUAGCAGAUCUUGUCUUCUUAUAUUUGGCAGCGGAGUAGAUCGAAGAUAGCAGAUCUUGCCUUCCUGUAUUUGGCAGCGAAGCGUAGAUAGCAGAUCUUGUCUUUUUGUAUUUAGCAGCGAAGUAGAUCGUAGAUAGCAGAUCUUGUCUUCCUGUAUUUGGUAGAGGAGUAGAUCAUAGAUGGCAGAUCUUGUCUUCCUGUAUUUGGCAGUAGAGUAGAUCGAAGAUAGCAGAUAUUGUCUUCCUAUAUUUGGCAGCGAAGUAGAUUGAAGAUAGCAGAUCUUGUCUUCCUGUAUUUGGCAAUAGAGUAGAUCGUAGAUAGUAGAUCUUGUCUUCCUGUAUUUGGCAGUGGAGUUGGUUAAAAAUUACAGAUUCUAUCACCUUAAGCAGUAGUGGAGCAGAUUAAAAGGAUGGAUCUUAUCUCUUCGAAGUUGUAGUAGAGCAGAUCGCAUCAAACUUUAUUGAAGCUACAAGUCUUAUCUCACUGAGGUUGCAGUAGAAUAGACUGAAGAUAGCAUAUAUUAUCUCUCUGGAGUUACAGUAGAGCAGACCACGAUGAUUUUAUCUCCCUAAAGUUGCAAUGGAGUGUACCAAAAUAAUAAAUCCUAUACCUCUGAAGUUGCAGUAGGUCGGACUAAAUCUACCAUAACAAAUCCUAUCUCCCUGAAGAUGCAGUGGAGCAAAUUGAAGACCGACUACAAGUCUUAUCUCCCUGAAGUUGUAGUGGAGCAGACUGUCGAUAACGGAUCUUAUCAUAUUAAAACCUUAUCUUCUUGAAGUUACGUGAAGCAGGUUGAAGCAACAAGUCUUAUCUCCCUGACGUUGCAGUAGAGUAGAUUAAAACCACGAAUCUCGUCCCCCUGAAGUUGCAAUAGAAUGGAUUGAAGCUACGAGCUGUAUCUCUCUGAAGUGCAGUGGAGUGGAUUGAAGCAACAAGACACAGUGGAUUGGAAUGAGGCUACCUGAAGAAGAGAAGCACUAGAAGAAGUCAAGACUCGGCGAGACCGGGUAAAUUUGGUCUUUCUUGGUCUUUGCUCUAUUCUCGUUAUACGACAACGAGGAAAGAGGGGCAGCUGUACAAGCCCAAAUUUGCCCGGGGCCCAAGAACCCAAUGCACCCAAACCUCAGCCUAAUUACAAAUUUAAAUCAGCAGACCCAACCCACCUAAACACCAACCCAACACCCAUAACCCAAACCUCAAUCCAAUAACACCUAGCCCAACAAGAUUAAACCCAAACCCGAGGCCCAAUAUCCAACCAAAAAAAAAUGAAGGCCCAGUAGCCCAAAAUGUUUGAGACUUUUUCAGAAAAAAUGAAACCCUAGCCUACUGCCUAACCCUAGCCGCCUCUGCCUCCUCUAACAUCUUCUAGUAUGGCCGCCGCUCGUAGCCUCUGCCACCACCACCUCUGACGCCGAGCCACCCGUCAAUCACCUACUCCAUCAACGUCAACACCUGCAAACAAGAGAAAAAGCAAUAGCAAAUAAUAGCAAAAAUAUUGUAAAAAAUGGCUAUAAAGCCAUAACCACCACUGUAAAUGGGGUACUCCCUCCCCCCCCCCCCCCCCGAUUUUUGUAUAAAAAAAUAUUAGCAGGGAAAUAAAGAAAAAAAGAUUGAAGGUGAUUUUUUCUUUUCUUUUCUUUUCGGUUUUGUAGACCCGUUUUUCUGUUCUCUUUUCUUUUUUCGUUUACACGUAUGUAAAUAAAGGUAGUAAAUAAAAGGAAAGAAUGAAGACUUACCCAUUUCGCUUUUCAGUUGCGCCGCCGUCGGGGUCUACUCAUCGUUGAAAUCGACCCCGAAAGGUCGAGUUAGGGGGUCCUUCGUCUUGAUUUUUGGGCCAAACGAAUAUAGCCUUCGAUUGGGUCUUAAAACGGGGACUAGAAUGCCCAUUUUGCGCAACGCCGGCCACCGUCCACGGUGGCGCUAUGGCGGCGCUAAGAAGACCCAAAGGCCGAACGUUUGAGAGGGAUGAGGAAAGGUUUUUUUUUGUUUUUUUUAAAUUAGUGGCUGAAAUGUUUUAUAUUUUCAUAUAGUUUUUAUAUACAUAUAUAUAUUCUUAUAUGCACAUACUUAUGUUUUUUUAUACUUUAUAUAUAUAUACACCUAAACAUGCAUAUUUUUUUAUAUGUACAUACAUUCAUAUAUUUUAUAAUUUAUAAUUUAAGUACAUAUAUAUAUAUACAUAAACAUUAUUUUUUUUUGUAAUUUAUAUUUUUAUUAAUUGUUUUAUUUGAUAUUUAUUUAUUUGCUUAUCAUUAUUUUUAUGAAAUGCUUUAGUUCUUUUUACUUCUCAUUAUUUCAUGUAUAAUUUUUUUUAUAUAUGUGUCCUUUUUAUUGUUGCUCGUAUUAUUUUACUUACAUUAUCAUAAUUGUCAUUCCAUUACGUUAAUUUUCACCCAGAUUCAAAAAAAGAAAUUUUAAAAAUAUAAGUAAUACUCGGUAUUUGGGAUCUUCGAGAGAAUCGAGUCCUAACGUAUUGGGUUCCGAUUUUCUUCGUUGAAUCUAAAUAAUUGAGACUACUCUUUUUAUAUAUAUAUAAAAAAAACAUAAAUAAAAGCUCAUUAUUGGGAAUUCAAUACGUUGUGUCCUAACGCAUUGGAUAUGAUACAUUGUUUUCUCGAGAUGAGGAUUUUUCUAAAAAAAUAAAAAUAAGGCAAUGUUUUGAGUUUGGGAAAUUCGAGAAAACGUGCCCUAAUGUGCUGGGUUUCGAUUUCUCGUUUAGCCAAAUAUUCUCUUAAAUCUUAAUCUAUGUCAUUUAAGUUUUUUUAGGAUCGUAUUUUAAAUCUCUUUAAAGUUUUCAGUUUUUCGACGCUAAGACAUUAAGUAAUCAACUAGGUACCAAUUUUGGGCGUAUCGAGGGUGCUAAUCCUCCUCGUGCGUAACCGACUCCCAAACCCGUUUUUCUGAAUUUCGUGGACCAAACUUGUUGUUUUAAUAAAAUCAAAUCAUUUAUUAAAACAACCACUUUUUGAGGUGAUCCGAUCACACCUUAUCAAAAAAGAUUGGUGGCGACUCCCACUUUCGUUUUCAUUUUUCAAAACCCAAGUCGACCCCUUUUUAUCAAAAAAAUGGUGUCAACAACAAUAACAAUAGAAGCACAUCAAAGUCAAAGCACAUAGGCUUUAAGUUCAUUGUUAUUAUAAUAAAAGUUCAGGGUGGUUAGAUGUCUAUAAAGUAUAUUGAGACGAACUCCAUGAUUACGGAUUCGCUUAUUAAGUGACUACCACCCAAAGUUUUUUUCCUGAGCACACUGUUGAUAUGGGUGUAAUGUCAUUUAAGGAUAUUUGAUUUUAGUAGGAGUUUGUACUUUUAAAUGUUUUUAUGUUAUAAACACAUUUUCAAUUAUUUUAGUUUACGAAUAUUAAGUUUAUUUUUUAUAGAAAUAAAGUUUAUUUGGUAAAGUUUGAUCUCACUAAGGUUAAUAAGGACCAGUUAGAAUAUGCAUGUUUGAAUCAUAUUACAUAUAAUUUUCAUGUUACACAUCCAUACUUGAUCUAUGUCAUUUGGUUGUGCUAAUAUAUGUGAUUAGGGAUGGAUUUAAUUAUGAUAUAUGUAACAAAAGUUGCAUUCGUUCUAUGUUAACAUAAUUAAUGGACGAGAUUGUUCGAAAUAUCUUUUGGAUAUGAUAGUAAAAUUUUGAGCUCAUAAGAUUAUAUAAUGACAUGUAAUUAUAAAGUAAUCGGUAUAUAUCAAAAGUCUUUCCCACAUUCAUCAACUAGAAAUCAGAGCUCACCAAAUGUCUAUUCUUUUCAAUCUGAACCGACUCUACAAUCACUUAUUGCUCAUGGUCAUCAGCCUAUAAACCCAGGAGCAUUGUUAACUUCUAAAUCCAAAACACUAAUAUCAGCAUCCAACCCUACAAUGAUAGUAUUAUUGACUCAUUUAAACAAGUUUCCUUUGUCAAUCUAUAUUCCGUAUUUGGUAAUCUCCAGUAUGAAUUCAGAAUUUAGGAUAGCUGGAAUAAGAAUAGCAGCAAAGAUGCAAAGGGAAACGACUUGUAGGAGGAGGAAGAACCUUCUUUUGGGUACAGACCUGUAUAGCAUAUAAUAGGAUGUCCUGUAUAAUGUCACGAGAGCUAGUACCGUUGCCAAGCAGUAAUUAGUAAUGCUGAGUCUAGAAUAGGAAACGGAUCCAGGAGUCGAAAGAGAGAAAAAAUACUGAAGUUCGAGUGUCCGUAUGGAAACAGCAACUAAAAGCAUGUAACAGGUCCCAAACAAGGAAAGUGUUAUGAGAAUAAACAAGCAGAUUGAACGGCUGGGUAGGAGAUAGGCAGUUAAAACAGUUGCUGCCCAAAAGGUUAAAGUGUUGUAUAACCAAAACAUUGUGGACACGUCUAGUAUAUUUUUUAAAUCUUCUUUUUCAGCGGGUGGAGGACUUGGUACGGGUCCAGUGCUGGUUGAACCUAAAGAUGCGUCAUACAUGAGAUGGAAAUUCUGGGAAUUUGAAAUGGUAUCAGGCUGCUUUGGAGGGUUCAAAGUGGCAGUAUAUGUGGCUGUUAUAAUUAGCACUGUGACUACUAAAAAUGUGUUACGCAUCUCAUAUGGGAUUCCCUUCUUUCCACGACUUGCUAUUGUUGCAAAAUUUUGAAGAACUGACACCUUUCCUUUUAAAUAUGCGAUGUGGAAUGAAGAGAUGGAGGUUUUGGGAAGCGAGGAAGAGGAACCACUCAAACCUCCUGCUUUGCUUAUCAUGUCUUUAAUGGACUCCUUAUAGUCCACUUUCUCUUCAUCCAAUGUGUAUUGUGAUGGGAUAUCAAGUGCAGUCAAUCCCUCCGCAUUUUUGGCAUUGAUAUGGUCACCACACAAGCGUUCCAGCAGUACUUUUACCACCUGUUAAUUAGAAUAUUCAUACAAGUAACCUUUGAGUAUAUAUAUACAUAAAAAAUUUCACUAGCAAAAUUAUCAUACCUGAGGUCUAUUUCUGAUAGCAGCAACAUGUAAAACAGUGUUGCCAUCAAUGUCUGCCCAACUCAGUAGUUCUUUCUCCCAACGGCUGGCAGCUUUAUGGCGGCUCCUUAUAAGCCACCCCACCAAGACUUGGAAAGCUUCAAACCUGUCAUUUUUUACGGCAAGAUGGAAAACCGUCUCAUCUCGAACAGUCAUAUCUUCAAUAGCCUCGGGGCAAACCUCAAGGAACUUGAUCAAAAAAUCAACAUUUCCAUUUUGAACCACAUCAUGCAAAGGAGUCAAGCCCUCCCGCCCUUUGACACGAACAAGGCCUUCAUCAAACCUGAGGAGUCGAAGCACUGUUUGAGUUUUUUGAUUUUGCAGAGCCAAGUGCAUGGGGCUAAACCCAGCUUGGUUUAGCUUUCUUGCAAACGAUGGCUUUAAGUUGAUCAUCUCCAUCAUAAAAUCAAUAUGCCCUGCAGAGGCUGCUACAUGCAAAGGAGUAUGGAAAAAAGGUACAUCAUCGAUACGCUGUAAAGCAUAUGGAUCAUUCAGAAUUAACUCAUACAAGAUGUUUAUGUCUCCUGUUUGUGCAGCCCCCUUCAUCUUCUCAUCCAUAGCAAGGUGCGGAAAUUUGCAGAAUAUAGAAAUGGAGUGAAGAAAAAACGCUUUAGCAGAGGAUAUGAUUAUGUUAAGGAUACAAUGAAGUGUUUGAUUAUU